rnacentral:lncRNA from 1 species
CUUUUUUUUUUUUUUUUUUUUUUUUUUAAGGUAGGAGGAAAGAACAUGAUAAGAAUGUGGCCAUCAUCGAAGGUGGGCAGUGGACAUGUUUCAUGUUUGAAUGUUGAAUUCUUUUGUAGUAGUUGGUUGUGUUUUAUAUGCAUGUUUUAGUGUCAUUCAUUCCUUUCUAGAGUUUCUAAUUGAAUUUUCGGCUUUUUCUUCUUUGCCAUUUUCUUCCAUCCUUCGACUGUCUUGUCCCAAUAAUUUUUUUGGAAGUGAGUACGGUGGAAGAGGGAGAGAGGCAAAGUAAACAACGUGUAAUGAAUGUGUAUAAUUUGCUUUUGAUUUUCCUUGUGGACCUAGUUAGAAAUACUCCUAAUUCGAGAACUCUAAUUAGGACUUUUGUUCAAAAAUUUUUGUAAAAUUGAUAGUAAAUCGCUUCCCUUCCCCUCCCCCCACCCCUUUUCAUAUUCAAUUGUGUGUGGAAUAAGAUUCGAAUCUUGAACUUGACAGUAAAAAAAAAAUUCUAAAAACUCUCCCUAAUCACUUGACUGAUAAUUUGUAUAUCUGGAAUCUGAAGUUGGUAAACUUCUUUUUUUUUUUUCUCUCUCUCUCUCUCUCCCCCUCCCUCUCUCCUUAACAAAGUUUAUGCAGUGUAAAGAGGCCAAACCCAGACCUAAAAGGCCAGGAUGGUCAAUGGGCUAUGAGAUGCUCGUGUACUGGACUGGAUGAAUAAGAUUUAUGGUUCACCUGACACGGCUUGGGCUUGUAUAUCAGUGGAUUGAUUAUGCCGCCCAUUGCUUCCUCAUUAAUUUUGUUCCAUUCAAAUUGUAUCGUGAAAUACUGUUUGUAACAUAAAUGACUCGUUUUAAUUGGCAGUGGAUAUUAAUUAGGUAUUGGACUCUCAAUUAUAGGAGAAUAUCUUAAAUACUCUUCUUCUUACAUGAGCAAAAAAUGAAUAGGACUAACGCAAGUUUUAAUUGCUUUUUAGCAUAUUCCACUGCAUUGGCUAUAUGUUCCUCAAACCAUCGAUCACAAAUGCUAAAAAUUCCAACAUUAACACAUCAACUUCGCCCUUAAGCAAUGCUCAUGGAAUAGUCCUUAGAUUAGACAUUUAGACAACCUGCAUAAUUAAACAUUGGUCUUAUUACUUUUUUUUUUCCCUAACAAGAAAGAGGUGAAAUUGAAGAAAUAGGGAGAGAAAAAGGGAAUUUGAAUCCAAAAAUGAAUCUUCGGUAGCUCUCAUAAUUCACCGAAAGUUGAUACACGUUUACUAGUGUGAAUAACAAAUGAGGCAAAACAUAAGAUGUAAAAUUUAAAAAGCGUGCACUAUUGCAUUCUUUUAAUUUAAGUGAGGGAACUAUUCCCUCUAGCUCCCGACAUAGUUGAGUUCUCUCCUAAGUAGGCUGGAGUAAUAAUAGUGAAAGAGUUGAUGAUUUAAAAAAAAAAAAAGAGAAUAACAAACUAAUGGAAUAAUAUUCUUGUAUAUUUACUUGUUUUAUUUAUUGAAAAAAUGUUAAGUAUCAGUGUGUCACACAAAACAUAAACAUAAGAUGGAACUCCAUUUUCCACCUUUUUUUUUUGUUUUGUAAAUUCAGUUUUACUUGGAAUUUGUGAGUUGUGACUCUGAGUGGAAUGGUUGUCCUCGAUUUUCUAAGUUUGUGAGGAGGAUAUUCUUUUAACUUUUCCUAUAUUUACAAAAGAGUUGACUAUUCAAGUUAGAAACCUUUCUUUACCUCUUUUUUCUGCUCUUUCCUCAAAGUACUGAAGAACAUGAAUUCUUGUGGUCUACUGAGAAUUAAGGUUUGCAGAGGCAUCAACCUCGCUGUUCGUGACACUGUUAGCCAUAGCAGUGACCCUUAUGUCGUCGUCAGCCAUGCUGGCCAGGCCUGUCGUCUUCUCAUUACUUUUUCUACUGGCAAUUCUUUUUUUUUUUGGCUCUGUAAUCAUAUCAUGUAUUGCUUGUAUCUUAUAUGAUUCAUAUGGUCUUUUAAUUUGUGGGUUUUUUCUGUGAUUAUUCAAAUCAUAUUGGGUUUUCUUUUUUGUUUCCAAAGAUUGCAAUUUUGGUGUUAAUCUCGUCGAAAUCGGCAUCUGUUGCAAGCUGAAGUUGUAGAAUUAGAAGGCCAUGUUAAUUAGAAUUAACCAACCAGAUUGAUUUUCUAAUUAAAAUAUUAGUUGAAGAAGAAUAGGAAAAACAUAAAGAAAUUAGGUCUGAAUACGAAGAUACAUAGAAAUUUCAAGAUUUUUUUUAAAUUUUUUGAAACUGAAUAUAAGAUUGAUGCUGGAGAGGAUACCUGCAACUGAGGAAAAGGAUCAGGCAAGAAUGAGAAGCAUGGCUGAAUAAGGGGGAUUGUGAACUGAGCUAGUGGCGUUUAUGCCAGAAAGUUAAGUAUACCAUUUCAUGGUGGAAGUGCUGUUUGGCCUAUUUGUAGUUAGGCUAUCAUGGUUUUGUCAGCUAAAUGCUCAAAAAUGCUGAUUGAAUUUCAAGAUACUGAAACUGAAAGUUCAAUUUCAAUGUUUCUUUUCGUUCUUGCAUUAUACUUUCUGCUUAAUUUGUUUCUUUCUUAUUUAAUAGAGCAAACUUUUGGUUGUUCAUAACAUUCUCAAAUAUGGCAUUGCAAAUGCUUUGCUUUGUUAUUUGAUAAGCUUCCCAUUUCUGGACAGCUAAAAACGUAAUUGGUUGAUUACAAAUGGAGAGAUGCAUGCUGUGUUCACUUAGUUUUAGCACUGCUAGUACCGAAUUGACUUGGCAAGUGAACUCGCUGCAUAGAGAUGGCGUUUCAAUUUUCCUUCACCGUUCACCACCAACAAAAUAAUGACCAGCCAUUUUAGGAAUUUGUAGAUGUUGGAUAGUCUUAAUGAACGUGGUUACAAUGUGCUUAUUCUGCUGAAUAAUUUGUUGAUUGAGGAAUUUGAUCUGUUAUCCCCCUGAUGGCUGCAAGACAAGUUUAGUAGUGAUUACUGAAUUUUCUUCAAUCAUGUAGAUCGUAGGAUCGUGUACUGCUUCUCAUGAUGUAAGGUUUACUGCAGACUGUGAAGACAAGUGUGGUGAAUAAAAACUGCUCCCCUGUUUGGAAUGAAAGUCUGACUCUUAGUUUGAAGGAUCCUAAUGUCCCAUUUGUUCUGGUAAGUCACAUUUUCUUUUCCUUUCUUAUUGAGUGUCUGCAAUGAACAUCCGUGACUUGAAUGGAUCUAGGUCGGCAGUCUUGCCAAACUGAUAGUAUAAAGCAAUGAGUUCAAGUUUAUGUUCUCUAUGCAUUUUGCUUAAUCAAAAGUGUGUGUUCCUUUGUAUAUCUGUCUUGCCUUCUGGAGGACCAAAAUAUGGUGAUCAUCAUGUAUGACUUCCACUGAUUAACAAUGGAUUUUGUAUCUUUCAGAGAGUAUUUGAUAAAGACACGUUUACGGGAGAUGAUCCAAUGGGAGAUGCAGAAUUCAACGUGAAACCAUUUCUCGAGUGCUUGAAAAUGGGUUUGCAAGACCUCCCAGAUGGGACUAAAGUUGACAGAGUUCAACCAAGCCACGACAAUUGCCUUGCAGAUGAGAGCUGCAUUGUUUGGAACCAGGGUAAAAUGUUCCAAAAGAUGAUACUUAGGUUGAGAAACGUGGAAUGUGGUGAAGUAGAAACACAUCUUGAAUGGCUUGAUUAUCCUGGAUUUAGAGGCUAAAAGCAAGACUGAUUCCCUCGCUGUUGUGUACUUGUGAUUCGAGGGCUGAUGAUGAAGGCAUACAAUCUAAGUUCUUGCUGUAUAUUUAUGGCUGUUCCUCAUGUAAUGUUUGAGAGCUAAGGUAUGACCCUCACAGGAAACUAUCUCGGCCUCUUGUAUGGCUAUUGUUCAGGUUACUGCUUUGCUGGUGUAGCUAUAACAAAUAUAACCUUUUCUGUUUCUUUACCUGGGAGGGGGAUUGAAGAAAGCAGAAAAGGAUAACGCGAAUAAGAGAAUAUUGAAUCCUUGCUUUAAGACGAUCGAGAUGAAUAAGGCCCUUAACUAUUCUAACUGAAUAUAACGUAUUUCUCAGCAAGAAAUUUGAGAAUUUUUUUUUUUGAAAAAGUUUACAAUCAAGAACUGAAUUCGCCCUGGCUGAUGUUAUUUUCUCUUUCGACAAUUAACAGCAGAAAUUGAUUAGAUGCCAUUUUUCUCUUUCAUCAUUUACCCCUGAUUUCCUUUCUCUUUAGUUGUGAUAUUAUUUGCUUGACAUUGACGAGAAUUGUUUUUUUUUUUUUAAUCUUAUUCUGAGCUUGAUCAAAUUGAAGGGGAAAAAAAAUUAAUCUGGUGUUAUUCCCAUGUUCUCCUCGUCAAGCAUAAGGAACUUGGCAUAUUCUUGAACAACCUUCACGACCUUUUUUUAGUCAAUCAGUUAUAAGAUCUUGUAUCUCUAAACUUCAUUUGGAUAAAUUACUUCAGAAAAGCUACACAAAAACUGUUCUUGAUUUAGAAUAUCUCAGAGACUUUUUUUCUCUGAUAAAUAAAAUAUCUCGAAGACCUGAAUAAUCUAAUUUUCAUUUAGAUACUUGAAAUUCUUGGGACCAACAGAUAUGUUCACUGAUUCUAGUUAUAUAUAGAUCUCAUUUUCAAAUCCCAGGAAAUGAUGCUCAGGAAUCCAGUCCUCGAUCCGAAUUUCUAAUUUGACUCGGCAUUCCGGUUAAUCCCCACAGAAAAGGAACCCCCCCCCCCUUCUCCCAAAAAAAAAAAUUAAUGCAGAUCACUAUAUUUUGGUUGUUUUACGUAAUAUUAAUUCUUCAGAUGCAAAGAUAGAACACUUUUUUUUUUUUUUUUUUUGCCUUUUGCAGUUUUUGGAACCCCAAUUGGAUUAUUAGGUGUCGUGGAAUAUACCAUUUUUCUGUUCGAUAGAAGUAUCAAUCGCUGAAGAAGAUAUGCAUAGAUAAAACAAGAAAAAAAAUCUCAGGGCAUUUGGAAGUUUGUUCUCAGAUAUUUCAUCCUUUGCAGGAGAUACAUAUGCAAACUGUAAGGUUAUGGUUUAUUCACCAAUAAACCUUAUCUUCCUAACUUUCAACCCUUGUCCGAAUAUCAUCACCAUUACACACUUUGAAAAUAAACUAAGGGCGCCAAGUUUGAAGCAAAUAAUAACAAUGGCUUCAACACAAUCACAAUCCCUACAAGGUCUAAUUUCCAAAACAAACUUUCCAUCACUUCCAAUAAAUAAACCAAUAUUGCACAAUACAAAUUUCAAGAUUUCAUUCCCAUUUCCCUCUAGAAAAUCUUUACCACGCGUCGAAUCUUCCAGCACUGUAAAGUACAAUGAAGUUGUGGUGGAUGAAGAAAUGGAUAAAAUUAGAAGACUGCAAAAUGGCUCGGAUGUUCGUGGGGUGGCUCUAGAAGGCGAAAAGGGGAGGACGGUCGACCUAACGCCUCCCGCCGUGGAGGCGAUCGCAGAGAGUUUUGGUGAAUGGGUUGUGGAGAGAUUGGAGAAGGAGAAAACAAAUGGAAGUGUGGAAAAUGUUAGGGUGUCACUUGGACGUGACCCUAGAAUUUCAGGUGCAUCCUUAAGUGCUGCUGUUUUUGCUGGUCUUGCUCGUGCUGGUUGUCUGGCUUUUGAUAUGGGGCUUGCAACUACACCGGCUUGCUUCAUGAGUACAUUGUUGCCUCCAUUUAUGUAUGAUGCUUCCAUAAUGGUAUUGAAAAACAGCUCCAUGUUUUUGAGCUUGUUAUGCAUACAUAUAAAAAUGGUAUAGACUGAUUUCUUCAAUGAUUUUGCACUAAAACUAUUGUUAAACAUAGAUAUCAAGUCUUGAAGCUUUUAAGGAAAAUAAUAAAAUUUGUAGAAAAUGCCUUUUGAGACCGUGUAGGAGAAGUUUGUGAAGACAAAACUUUUUAAAGCUAAAUAUUGUUUCCUUUUGCUUUCUAAGUGAUGCUAUGGCUAUUAUUUCCUGAAACAUGAUUUCAAGAAACCAGAUGGUAAUCUUGCUCUUCAACUUUUGUAAAUUCGAACUUCAAAAGACACUUGAUUUUCACAAAUACUUUUCUUUCAUCUGAAAUAAGUUAAAAGCAAAAUUAAAAGCCCGCUGGGAAACUAUAGUCUUUAAAAAUAGUUCAAGGCUUUAAGCAAAUGAGAGAAAAUGGGAAAAUACUACUACUAGGCUUUGGAUGUUUCUUUUAGUCUGUAUUAGUAUGCUAAUACGUGGAAGAAUUGAGAAAUAUAACAUGAUGCAGAUGACAGCUUCUCAUUUGCCAUACACCCGGAAUGGUCUGAAACUUUUCACCAAGAAAGGAGGCCUGACAUCGCUGGAUGUGGAGGAAAUAUGCUACAGAGCCGCCCGGAAAUAUGCUAAUAGACUUGCAAAAGUGUCAACUGCUCUACGGAAUCCACCAAAAAGAGUGGAUUUCAUGAGCACUUAUGCAAAACACCUCAGAGAUAUCAUCAAGGAAAGAGUUAAUCAUCCCUUGCAUUAUGACACUCCUCUCCAAGGAUUUCAGGUUGGAAAUUUUAGCACGAUCUUUAUUUAGUUUGUGACUGAAAAAUUCUCCUGCACGAGUUGUUUUUCCCUUGUUCUGUUCAUUCAUGUGCAAUGGUGGUUCCACCUACCUCAUCUAUGUUGGAAUCAAUUGUUAUACUAGCAAGUGAACAUUGGCCAUAAAAAUUGCAUGAUUGUCUGUGUUGUUAGGGUGAAUAUUAACCUUUGUUUGAUUUAUUUAUUUAUCUUUUCACCCCUUUCUACACCCUUCCUAUUUUCAACUGUCAGACAUAAGAUUUGAAUCCUGAAUCUGACAGUAAAGAAGACUCCAAGAACUCUUUCUUGUCUACUAGAUCGACCCCAGUGGUUAGGAUGAAUAUUAACCUAAAAUAUGUGAUUGAAAUAUACGAAUUUUAUCUGAUUAAUUUUUUUAAAAGUAAUUUUGCGUUUGUCUGAUUUAGUAAAAUGAACUACUGCCUACCAAUAUUUUCAUUAAAGAACUUGCUACGAUAUAAUAACUAAACUUUGGGCUCAGCCUAAUACUUUUGUCCAAAUAAAAUAACUUCAACCAAAGUGUCGGCCCACGCUCUUCCGGACCCCAACAGUCAAUACGCUUGCAACACAGGCUGGCCAGAAAUAGCAAUGAAACGGAAGGCCCAUUCUAAAACAAAAUGAAAAUUUGUUCUUAAAAAGAAAAUGAAAGAAGGAAAGAUAUAUGGGUACCUUCAAUUUACUUAUUCUAUACGGUGUUUUUUUGGGUAAAUUACAGAGUCUUUUUUAUUUAUUUUUCUUCUUAUUUGGGAUGCAUAUGGAGGAAAUCUGAUGAAAUUAAUGCAGAUAAUUGUGAAUGCUGGAAAUGGAUCAGGAGGGUUCUUUACAUACGAUGUCUUAGACAGGCUAGGAGCAGACACAUUCGGUUCUCUACACCUCAAUCCAGAUGGAAUGUUCCCUAACCACAUUCCUAACCCUGAGGACAAAACUGCCAUGGCCUUAACAAGGGCUGCAGUUCUUGAAAACAAAGCUGAUCUUGGCAUAGUUUUCGACACCGAUGUUGAUCGAAGCGGCGUCGUUGACAGCUCUGGCAACCCCAUAAAUGGUGACAAACUCAUAGCACUGAUGUCUGCCAUUGUCCUGAAAGAGCAUCCUGGAACUACAAUUGUGACUGAUGCACGUACAAGCAUGGCCCUGACUAGAUUCAUCACUGACAGAGGAGGUCAGCAUUGCCUGUAUCGAGUUGGAUAUAGAAAUGUGAUUGAUAAAGGAGUUCAGCUUAAUAAGGAUGGGAUGGAGACUCAUCUGAUGAUGGAAAUUACUGGCCAUGGUGCUCUCAAAGAAAACCAUUUCCUUGAUGAUGGUUAGUCUAUUUCUUCUACGGAAAAUAUCAAGAUUGCAGACACUGUAACUUACAAACUUAAAAGACAUAUAUUAAUAGUUUUCUAACAUAUCUCAUGUAACUCAGUCUGUCAAUCUGAUUCUAACUUUAUCCCUAAAUUUAAAAUAAACAUUCUCCCGAUUUCUUAAAAUUACUGGGGUUUACAUUGUCUUUUUUAUUUUGAAAAUCACAAUGUCUGUAAUGCAACUAUUGUCCUUGUUCUAUAUAUAAACAUGAAUCUUAAAUUUUGGCAUGGAUUCUUGAUAUGCACUUUACAUUGACUAAAUCAAGCGAUGUGGUUGAACUUUGCAGGUGCUUAUAUGGUUGUGAAGAUCAUCAUUGAGAUGGUAAGAAUGAAGCUUGAGGGCUCAGGUGAUGGAAUAGGUAGUCUUAUUAAAGAUCUUGAAGGGCCCCUGGAAUCAGCAGAGCUUAGGAUGAAUGUCAUUUCUGAGCCAAGGUUUGCAAAAGCCAAAGCCAUUGAGGCCAUUGAAACAUUCAGAAACUACGUUGAGGUACAUAUCUAUUACUUUGUGCUAAAAAAGAACAAGGAAAAUAGCAAGAACCAUAUCUGAUCAAAUCUUUAGUAUACUUUAUGCUAAAAGAAUGGUAAAUUAUUUGCAGGAAGGUCAGUUGCCAGGCUGGGAUUUAGACUCUUGUGGAGAGUGUUGGGUAAGUGAUGGCUGCCUUGUGGACACCAACGACACUCCAGCAGCUGUUGAUGCCCACAUGUACAGGUGCCAAAAGUUUUCAAACUAAUGCUCCGCCUCCUAUGUUUUUGGGGCUCCUUAAUCAAUCUCUCCUUUUCCUCUAUAACAAAUUUCCGCAUAAAAAUUACACCCCCUUCCCUUAAAUCCGUAUGAUGUAAAAGAAUUGAUCACCUAAUUUGAAAAACAUAAAACUUUUUCAAUGGUCAGGUAGAUCUUUAGGUUGCAUCAUUGUCUUUUAAACCUUAGGUUAUGGAUCCACCAUUGCUUUUGGCGAGAAUGGCUCAAGCUGCUCCUAAUCUAUUUAUCAUAAAAUGUUAACACCUUGACAAACUCUACAUAAUUGUAGUCCCAUUAUUGCUAAAUACAAAUUUGCUCAAACUCCAGGGCCAAAGUUUCUGACAAGGACAAUGCAGAACUUGGAUGGGUACAUCUUAGACAGAGCAUUCACAAUCCAAAUAUAGCUGUGAAUUUGCAAUCCAACGUACCAGGAGGUUGCCAAUUGAUGUCAAGAGACCUCAGGGACAAGUAAUUUCCAUUACUUCAUUAACACUAUUGAUUUCUUGGCUUCAUAUUAGUACUCUUGAAAUUUUGAUUCAUUCAGCCAAUUUAUCUAUGCUUUGAUUCGGAAUUUCAGGUUUCUUUUGGCAAGUGGGAUGGAUAGAAUUCUCGAUAUCAGUCAGAUUGACAAGUAUGCCAGAAGCGGAAGUGUUUGAUGAUAUGCAAAGCCUUGUGGAAAAAUCAAGCAUAGAUGUAUAGUAGAUAGUAUACAUAUAGAAGCAUAGAUGUAUAGUAUAUAGUAUACAUAUAGAAUAUUAGACCCGUGAAUUGUACCUACUUGUACAGUACGAACCCUUUUAUUGUAACAUUCAUAUACUUUUGAUCACUCAUUCAGUAACCAUACCAAUUAUUGUAAACAUUGACAAUUUGAGAUGGAAAACUCAACUUGGCCAUGCCAAGGGUAAUUCAUGCAUAUUUUCCUUCUCUUUUUGUGGCUUUUGACGGUUGUGGUAGCUAAGGUUAUGCUUCUUAUCAUAAGCCAUUGGUAAAUGUUGAUCCAUCCUUCUUGGUGUCACAACGAUUUGUGCAUAAAAGAGACAAACGAAUUUUUACAUGAUAGAUCAUAAAAAUGCUAAAAUGAAAUUUAUUUGAGACACACAUGGCAUGUAUUCUUGACUGGUUUUACAUUGAAAUUCCUGAUCAAGAAGCUUAUCAAGCUUGGAAAUGAUCUUGGUUCUUGAGGAAGUAAGCAUCAAUUAUGUUACUAACUUCACUUGCAAAGUCAAACAUGUGAUCAGGAGCAGGGACAUCUAAAUUCUGCUUCUCAUACUCGUAUGUCCAAUUAAGAAAAUUCUUCUCACCUUUUGAAGUUGCUUGGAAAGUUAUUAGCAAGCUCUUAUAAUCCUUCAGAAGAUCACCCUCAAGAAUUCUGUAAGUCGUUGACCUGUUAUCUUCAUCAACAGUUUCAAUAGUCUCCUUUACAGGAAUUAGUUUGCCAUCUGCAAUUAAUACACAUGAUUACAACAUGAACCAAAUUAGGAAUGAAAAAUCAACAAAAAAAAAAAAACAUUGCAUAUUUAUACAAGGUCUACACUCUUUAAUAUAAGAAGUCCAUGCAGGCCUUACCAAUCAAGUAAUUUACCAAAAGUUUGCAUCCUACUUCUCCCCAAUUUCCUUCAAGUAAUUCGAUGCUAGGAAGUUGUCAGGGCAGAUGCUUGGCAGAUAUUAUUGUUUCUUGCUGCCAUAAAUUUCGAAGAAAAGUAUUCCAGGAGAUGAGAUCUCCUGCUCGAACACUAGCUUGCCACUAAGACUCAUUCUUCUCUGGACAAUUUGAAGUAUAAAGUUCCCUUUGAUCUUUAUAUACUUGUAAAAUGUAGUUGUUUUGUUUCUGAGCAGAAAGUUUAAAAUCAUAUUUUGGGAUUGAGAUCUAUGAUUGGUUGCUUUUCCACGAGGCAGUCAUGAUCUGAAUGGUUGAUCCCUUGAUUAAAAACAAAAAAACAAAAAUACGUUUGAUCACCUAACCUCCUAAUUGGUGUUUUUUCUAGUCUCCCACUCUGAUUUCCUUUUUCAAGAAUAGGACAUCACAACUCCUAAUUGGUAUAUUUUACUCUCCACUCUGUUUAUCUUUUUCCAAGAAAAGGACCUGCGCCAACAAAAUAAGCUGAUUUAUCAUGACAAGAUUUCGUUACACAACUUUCUUUAGAACAGCAAAGCAAAGGGCAUCACAGAUGCUUUUGCUAUAGAAAUUGUCAGCAGAGGGGAUGAUUACAAUCAAUGUAUCACAGAUGUUAGUUCCAUGACUAUGAAGUUUUUGUGUUACAAAUUAACAUCAAAUUGAAUAUGGUUUUUGUCAGCUAAUUAAUAUCCAGAUUUAAUUUGUGUUAUCCACCAAAAGAGAAAAAUUAUUGCAUAUAUCUUCAUCUCCAAACGAAAAAUUCUACAAAGUAAACCUGAUAAUGCAAUGGACACAAACUUAAAAAGCAAGUAACAUGUUUGAUCAGUUUUCAACAAUGGGCUAGAGGUGACAAUGGAGAUUUAGCUGGUAGGCGUCCCUUUGCCAUUUACUAAAACCAUUGGUGGCUACUAGCUAGCCACUUUUUAAAAUCUUAGGGACCUGUACGAAAAUUGCCCCAAUUCUAAGCAUGCAAAAUACAAUUUUGUGAAACCACUGGAUUUUUAAAAAAAAAAAAAAAAAAAUUUCCUCUGUUUUUUUGUAUUCAAGAGAAGUAUAUAUUUGAUGGAGCACUUUGGCAGUACAUGAUUUAUUUCACCUUCCUUGGUCCUUGCCUAUUAAAUAAUGCACAAAAACAGUUUGUAGCCCACAUCUCCACAAUUUCCUUAAUGGUGGAACUUAAUUUACCUAGGCAAAUUUUACUAUUUUAGGCAGGGCAGCUUUCUUGGUGCGACAAGGCUCAAUGAGAGGAUGACCAAAGGGAAAAGAAUCAACCCAAUGAAGCAGAAUUUGAUUCCUUAGUUUGUCAUAUACAACUAAUACUACCAUUUUGCAAUUAUAAGUUGUUGGAGAAGGUUUUUAAUUCAUUCGAUUGGAUCUUCCUAAUCCAUCUAAAGUCACUUACGCUUCAUUAAUUUUUAACCAUAUCAUGUUGGAGAAAACUAUAGCCAUCUCAACUGGUAAAGAAGUAUAAUAUAAUGGUCAAAGGAUAGAAUUCCUCACUGCUAGUUCAAUAAAAUAUUAACAAGUCUUUGGGCAUGAUCUAGCAAAAUAUUCUUCAGAAAGAUUUGCUUUUGCUUGAUCACUUAUUUUAUUAUUAUUAUUAUUUUUUUUUAAAUCUCCACCUUGUCAUCCAAUCUAAUCUAACUCCCUGAAAUUCCCAACAGCUUAAGUUUAAGCUGGUAAAAGUGGAAUAUAUAUAUAUAUAUAUAUAUAUAUGCCACAACCAUGAGUCGAGUUUGCAAGACUUUUUUUUUCUUUGAGCACCCGAUAUUUUCACCUUUAGUAAAAUUAAAUCGAAUUUGAUUCAAAAAGCGUCCAUAAAAUUCGAUUCUUAUUUGAAGGUGAAGGUAUGGUCCAAAAUUUUUCAAAGUGCUACAUACAAGAGUCAAACCUAUGAUCUCCCAUUGGCAUUAGUAACAUGUUGACCGGCUGUCCCAAGUUCAUGAGUCCAAUUUGCAAGACUUGGAAAUACUGAUAAUAUAUUUUAUAAUAAAAGUGAAAAUCUGGAACAUGUAGACAAUUUAGUCGUAUCAUACUCUAUUAUUUUAAUCAUUAAGCUAUCCAACAAACGGCUAAUUUGGUCUAUUAAGCCUGCCUUCUUUACAAUUUGAUCAAACAACAUAAGCUGAAAGCUAUAAUAUGGCUUUGUCGACCAGAUCAUAAUUACUAAAAACACAAAAUUAGCAUUAUGCUUAGAUAAUCAAGUGAGUAAUUAAGUUCUCAAGCUUGAACCCCAUGGCUUUUGUUAUUCAUCUCCAGAUAACGUGCAUCAACUAUGCUGGUAAUUUCGCUAGCAAAGCCCUUCAAUGCAUCAGGAGGUGGAACAUCAGCAUUCAUCUUCUCAUAUAUGUAUGUCCACUUCAAGAAAUUCUUUCCAUGUUUUGGAAUAAUUUGGAAAGUGAUUUUCAAGGUUUUGUGCAUCUUCAUCAGGUCACCCUCAAAUAUAGCAUUUAGGUUCCAAUCAAACUGCUCCCUUCACUUUUCUUAAAUCAUUACAAUUCUCCUAUUAAAAAAAUGAUAAAAUAAAAGUUCGAUUCUGUUUAUGAUAUGGGCCACCCAAUGACCCAAGCUAAAUUUAAUUAUGGGCUUAGUUUCUCUCUGAAUUGUUUGGAGUAUGAAAUAUAACUGGACCACCUUUGAACCCGGCCAAAUUAGACAUUUAUACAGUCUGGAUUACUGGACAAACUGGGAAUAUGCAUUUCUUAAUGGGCCUCUUCUACAUUCUUGCCCGAGAAGAUAGGCCCCGUCUGGUCUCAAAGAUAUGGAUAAAAGAAAAGGAAUAUUGAAAAUGAAGAUUUACGAAUUUAGUAUUUUUCGUUUUUAUUCUUUUAGUUUGUUGAAUAGAAAGGCAUAUAGCUUGAGUAAUGAAGUAAAUAAAGUAUAAAAUCUUUAUACUUUUGUUUUUUACAGUUAAAUAGAUCAAUUUUACCCGAAAAAACAAAAGGGAACUAGCUAACAUAUCCAAUAGAUGGCCAAAUUAUAAUUUGGUCCUUGAAGCCUACCUUCCUUACACUUUGAUCAAACAAACAUACAUUGAAAUCUACGGUAUGGCUAUACCCUGAUUUAUGAUGGUAAUCAGAGUUGAAUCCAUCUAAACUUUUAAUUUCUAAGAGCCACAAGCUCGCAUUAUCAUUAGAUAAUUAAUUGAGUAAUUAAGUUAUCAAACUCGAACCCCAUGGUUUUUUUUUUUUUUUUGAAUUCAGUUCUAGACAAUGUGCAUCAAUUAAGCUGGUAAUUUCACUAGCAAAGCCUUUCAAUGCAUCAGGAGCAGGAACAUCAGUAUCCCUCGUCUCAUAUAAGCACGUCCACUUCAAGAAACUCUUUUCAUCAUUUGAAGUAACUUGGAGGGUGAUUUUCAAGGUGAUGUACAUUUUCAUAAGAUUCUCCUCGGAUAAAUCGUAAGUGAUCCACUGGUUCUUCUUGUCUACAGCUUCCACAGUUUGCAUUGAAGUCAAAACUUUCCCUCCUGCAAAAAAAAAAAAAAAAAUUAUAUAUAUAUAUAUAUAUAUCACAUGAAAAAUGGUUCAUUCAUUAAGUGGUAUAAACGUCAAGCCCUCUGACUCAAGGAUAUAUGGGCACACUUUUGUAGAAUUCUGUUUACACAAGAAAAUUUGGAGAAUUAGCACAAAGUUCAUAUGGUUUUUGGCAAGUGUUAAGUAAUUGUUGCAAUAACAAAAACCAUUGAAACUAAUUUCUAGAUUUUUGCUUCUAGUGUUUCUUUUAGGGCCUAGCAGUGUUAAAUGGCAUCUAGUAUUUCUUUUGAUUACCAUAAAAACAUAAUAGAAUUACCGGUUAAAAGAGCAACGUCACAAAAAAAAAAUUUUGACAAGAAGAAUAUUCUUACCAAUGGAGAAAUGGACAAGAAGAAUGCAGCCCACAUUUCCCCAAUAUCCUGCAAGUAAUUCAAUGAGACGAAUCCUAUCCGGGCAGAGUUUCAGUAAUUUAUGUAUCUUGCUGCCCAAAAUUUCGAAGAAAACAUUUCCAGGAGAUUUGAUUUCCUGGACAAAUUCUAGCUUACCGCCAAGGCUACACAUUAUUUUUAGUGCCACAAUUUUCCAGUAUACACUAUGCACUUGAUGAAUUUUGGAUAAGUCCUCGUAUACAUACCAGGUCGAAAGUAAACUCAAAUCCUUUUACAGAAGUACGUUACAAUAUAAAUUUUAGUUUUAGCGUUUGUUUGCUAAAUCAAUCGUAGUAUUCUCGUGAGCUCAUGCCAUGCCAAGACAAAGAAACGGUAAAAUGGGAUUUACGUUACUUACUCGAAAUGAAUUUUUUUUUAAAAAGAAAAAUACAAAGAAAUUAAUGUUAAAAGAUUUACUCCUUUUCAUAAAUUUUUAUCAAAAAGUACAUAGGGAAAGGGAUGGGUUGGGUGAUUCGGGAAAGGGAAUGUAAGUGAGAGAUUUUGGUUUUGAGCUUUCCACUCACGCUAUUAAAACAUAUAAAUUCAAAGUGUAUGUAAUUAGACUAAUUUUGGGAAUUAUUUAUUCUAACAUGGUCGACAUUAUUGAUGAAAUAUGGCAUCAGCAGAACCUAACACUUUGAAAUUCAUCUGUCCCAGAAUUUCAAAUGGUAACAUUUUUCCUUAAAAAUUUGGAAUAUUUAUUUUAGGGAGGUAAGAGCAUCCAGUGGAAUUGAAAUAUGAAUUUUGGCUAACGGGUGUGCAAUUUGCCCUCGUUGAAAUAUCAGCUUGGCUAACCGGUGUUCAAAUGGCCCUCGCUAAGUGGGACAUUAAGCAUUAAUUUUGAAAAAAUGUAAUUACUUUGAAAAAGUUUAUAAAUUCAGGGGAUAUAAUAAUUGUGAUUGUGUGAAUUUAUAUGGUAAGUUAGAUGUAAUUUAGGUACGUUAACAAGUAUCUACCUGGAUGGGAACCUUUACAAAAAUCCUAAGGCAUUGUUGUUUUGAGAGAAUGGGAGGGAAAGGAAAGCAAACGGAAAUGGAGGGAUAAAGUUUUUAAAUUUUGGAUUAGUUUUUGAGGAGAGAAAGAAAAGGAUUUGAAGGGAAAGGGAGGGAUAAGAAUAGUUUUUUUUUUUCAGUCUGCUUCACAUCCAAAAGUGGACAAAAUUAGAGAAAAAUGACAUCAAAAUUAGUGAAAAUUCACGUGUUUAUAAAUUAAACUUUAAACUAUGGAUAAAAAUGUAAUUGACGAUCGAUAGUGUCCUUUCCUUUCCUCCCAUAAUCCAAACAAAAUAGAUGGACUCAGAUUUCUUCUACUCCCCUUUCUUUUCUUUUCCACUAGAGCCUUCUCCUUUCGUUGUCUUCCCUUUCUUUCAAUCCAAACGGUGCCUAAAAGAAAAUACAAGAUGAUGCGACUAAAAGUUUAUACCAUUCCUAUCGACUGUCAAUUGCAUCAAAACAUGAACUUUGUCUAUAUAAUGUGCACGCUUUGUCACUGAUUUUUGUCGAGUGCUUAGACCAUGAUUGUUAGUGUUGCUUGUUGGAUAGUUACUCUCAGUAAAAUACUUCGAGAUUUUAGGCCAUAGCAUAUACUUAUGGCUUAUAAAGUGCAUUACUAUAGACAAAAACUACCCAAUCAGCAACAACGGUAAUAUUGGGUUUAAAUGGUACAAUACACUAGGAUAAUGUGCAUUUUACCGACUUCAUGAAUGUGAAGAACUAAAUAUUAAGUAUUAAUUAUUUGUUUUUUUGGAUAUAGUUGGCUUCAAUUAGCGCUCAAACUCGAGAUCUCACAAGGAGAAAGAGAUAUUUUUUUGGUAUGGUUUCUCUUUAUUACUAGAGUUGGUAUCAAAUGUACUUAGGAGACAGAUAACUUAAACGACCUUAAGCGAGGGCUAUGAGCUAUAAAACAAGAAGAGGACGAACUACUAGAAGAAGAAUAUGGGCAUAGUAGGGUUCCAAACAAAUCGAAUUGCUCGCUAGCAAUUCGAGUCAAAAGUUGACUUGAGUUAGAUCAACAUCGAGUUCAAACUAACUAAGUCGAACUUCAGGUCAAAUUCGAGUUCAAAGAUGCUUAACUUGUUAGCUUGCGAGUUAACUCGAUUUUAUAUAUUUAUAUUUAUAUUUUUUAUUUUAAUAGUAAAACUAGAAUUUUGCCCGUGCCUUACUAUGGUCUAUUUUUAUUUAUUGCGAAUUUAUACAAAUAUGAAUAAUUUAAAUACGAAAAUUAACAACAAUUCUACGUGUUCAUUCAUACUAACUUUAAAAAAUUAAUGUAUUCUAAAAGUUCAAUUAUUUUAAAGCUUUACUUGUUUUGGCCCUAGAUUCAUUUUCCUCAGUUAUGUAGACCACUGGACAUUAUUUUUUUUGCCCCUAUUAUUUUAUUUUAGUUUUCUUUUGUGUGAAAUUUUGAUCACGAAAUAUAACUAGAAGCACCUGGACCUGUCCAAAUUAAACACAUCUAUAGUAUGGAUUACUGAAUAAAAAGGAGCUUAUGUAUUUUGCUAAGGGGCAUCCUCCACAAAGUGGCACAAUUCAAAGGAAUUCUUACGCAGGUAGACAAACCCGUUUGAGAUGGGGAUAAAUUAAAAAAGAAAAAUUGAAAAGGGAGAUAUACCACCGUUUUAUUAAUUUUUUAAAUUUGGUAAGUCUUUUCUUUUUGAAAGGUUAGUUUGGUAAAUCAACUCAAGUAAUGAAGUAACAAAAGUAUAAACUUUAAACUCUUUACAGUUAAACAGCUCCCAAAAAAAAAAAAAAAAGGGUCAGUUUGCUAAAGAAUACAAUCUAGCUCUCAAGGUUAUACUUCUCAUCAGCCAUCAUACUGCUUCUGCUACUUUAAUUGUAAUAAGUUCAUGCUGGUAAAUGUAUUUGCACCAAAGUCAUGUCCAAAUAUUUAUUAUCUGAGUUAAAAAGAAAUAUAAGUGGUGCGAUAUUUUGGAAUUAUGAUUCUUUACUUUAAUGGAAUAUAUUAGACUAGUUGGCCAAAUAAAAGAAAUCAUUUGGGGUUAUAUUUUGAAAUCAGCAAAUUUGCCGAAGAAAAAUAGGUCCUUGCCAGUACGAAGCAACCACAUGUAUGUCACAAUAAAAUCACAAAUAUUCAUUACUCACAAAUAAUAUUUAUUUAUGUUGUUCAACUUUUACAAACAUUACUUGUGAAACUAACAAGCAUUAGCUUUAUAAUGACAUAGCACUUAAUAGCACACAUUUAUUCGUGCAUCCAUUUUAGAAGACACCAUAGCAACUUCAAACACGCUAAAUACUUAGAAGAGAUAUGUCUAUAUAUAUAGAUGGUUCAAGGAUUUUUGAUAUGAUGAGAUUCAAUGUCUUCAACCAUGUGAAGGAAAAAGUUGAGCAAGGUUCCUGGAUGUGGGGUAUCUUCCUUCAGCUUCUCAUAGUCGAGAGUCCAUGUAAUCAAACUUUCUUUGUCACCAAGAACAUCAACAUGGUAUAUGAUAGUGAAGGUCUUGUACAGCUCCAUCAGAUCUCCUUCAAUCAUCUUAAAUACGAUUGAUUUCUUUUCUUCAUUUAUGUCUUGAAUAAUCUGCUUUGCCACCCUAUCUUUCCCGUCUGUAAAAAUGAAAAGUAAAUCAAUUACAGACUCUCCAAUUCCUAGUCAACAUGCUGGUAAUCCAAAAACAAGGUUUGCGGAAUUCUUUCUUUUCUGUUUUUAGGAUAGACAAUACUAUUUACACAACCAGGGAAGUAUUCUCGUUGUGAAAUACCUGGUAUUUCGCAUAAAAAAUUUGAGAAAAAGCAAAAGAAAAAAAAUUCUGUAGUAUUAAUUGAUUGAAUUCUUUACGAAGAUGGACUUCCUUAAUUAACCUCUGUAGUUUCCACAAUCAGAUUAUUGUCUUUGUAGAAAUACUAAUAAUAAUAUUAUUAAUAGUAAUAGAUCUAGUCCGUUUUUCAUUAAAACUUUUUCCCGAGGCAGAUAUUAAGCUUUUAUCCUUUCUUUUUUCUGGCAAAUAAGUUAGAUAACUAGUUGUGUGCCAGUUCAAAGCAGGGAAAAACAGAUGGAGAGAGUUUAAAUCAACUUAGUCCAGAAGCUGACCGACACGCAACAAAAGCUAAAUGAAUAAAGGAAAAACAAGAAAAACUGCGGGGAAGAAAGUGCUAAAAUAAGGAACUUGAAUAUUGAUUCCAUACCAUGGGUAUAGUGCCAGCAGAUUUUGGAUCCAACAGUUCCAAGAUCACCACCAAGCAAAGUAAACCCUUGAACUUUCUCAGGAGUCAUGGUGGCAAGAUGGUGUGGUCUUUUGCUGAAGGCAUCAUGGAACACAUCUCCAGCAGGGCCAUGGAUGUUAGUUUGACCAAUCAUUUUACCUUUGAGCCCCAUUUUUUUUUUUUUUUUUUUUCUGAGAAACUGAGAAGGAAAUGACCAAAUACUGCUGCAGCAAAAAAAGGCAAAGAAAUAUUGAAGGAAGUCUCAGUUGUGGUCUGCUAGACUAUCCCUCUGCUCCUUAUAUAGUAUAGAACUGAUGGGUGACUUCACCCCCCACCUCCACCCCCACCCUUUCUUUUUCAGGCUCUAUAAACCACGUAAGAGGAACCAAUUAUCUUCGCCAGCAACUAUCAUUUUUUUUUUUUAAUUCAUGAGAUGUUGUAUUGGUACAUCAGCCCUAAUAAAUGAUACUCAGCAUCCAUUAAAAUGUGAUUAUCCUCAUUUUCUAUUAAUCUAUAAUCAUAUUACAUCUAUAGUUUUGCACUUAGGGUCAACAGACUCGACACCAUUCAUUUUUUUAAUGCCUACAACUAAGGUUUUCUUGUGGGCAACUUAAAUUUUAUUUUGAUCAAUCCUCCUUUGUCACCUUAACCAAAUUGGAUAGAAUGAGGUCCAUCCUUAACAAAUAUUUUUGGAUAGAUCUACUUCUCUUCUCCAUGCCCAAAAUGACGGCAUCGAUGAAUUUCAGAUGUUAGUGAAAAGCAAUAAAUCAUAUGUUCCCUUAAAUGGUUUUGGGUAGGUGAUGACUGAGGCUGUAUUAUUACCAAAAAAGAUAAAACUGUAUCACAUGAUUCACAGAUGACACCUCAUUUAAAUCUUCAUAAUUGCUUGCCAUUUCCCAAUCAAUGGGACCAUAUUUCAUCACGGUUUAUCUCUCCAAUGCAAUCUGUAUAUAUAUAAUGGUUUCUUAGGGCAGUAAUUAAUCGGUGGCAAGGCCUUGUUUGGGCUUUGGAUUGCAAUUUUUUUCAAAAAUUUUGAAGAAUAUUCUAUCAACACAUUUCACAACUCUUACCUCACAUGUGUCACAUUUGCCAAAAAAGUGCUACAAUAUUAUUUUUUAAAAUAAAUCCUACAAACUCCAAAUAAAUUUAAAAAAAAAGGGCAUUCUGUUAGGUUCAUGAAUAAAAUAUUAUGUUCCACAUUGAUCUGAAAGAUAGAGAGAAAACGAUUAAUAUGUAAAUAAGGGUCUAAAACCUAAUGAUUUAAGUUUUUGAAUUAGAGUUAGGUUUCUGAUUUAUAUAUUCAACUCUUUGGUGGGCUUUUUCGAGGUGUUAAUUCCUAUCAAAUUCAAUUUAUAAAACUUUUUAACCUGUGAUGUUAAAUGGGGAAAUCAUCUAAAGCUAGGAUUCCGCUAAACUGGUAAGGUUCAUAUACACAGUCUAAGAAAAGUUCGUGUUUGGGUCCUGCUGCGGUGCUUUCUUACUUUGUUUAUUUUACCAGCAUGAGCUCAGCUCGAUCUCGACUGUUUAUUUCACGUCAGCCGAAAAUUUUGAAAUCAAUGAUCCAAUGGAUCGAACCAAGUUCAUGUGGUCCGAUCCAUGUCGAGAAUUUAAUAGUGCGCUUGGCAAGCCAACCACACCGAUACCUCACCUGUUCCCAUCAACCUUCUUUUAAGUUUUCAAAUUAUUUUCCAUCUUACACACAUUUUACACAUAUCAAUAACAUCUUGCACACAUUUUCCACUUCGAGUGAAACCAUUCAUUUUUUAGUGCCUAUAACUAAGGUUUUCUUGUGGGCAACUUAAAUUUUAUUUUAAUCGAUAUCUCUUAGUCUGAUUUUUGCUUUACGACAAGAAUACGUCACCAACAUUGGAUAGAAUGAAGGCCAUCCUUGACAAAUUAUUUUGGAGAGAUCUACUUCUCUUGUCCCCGGCAAAAAUGACUCUCCAAUAAUGACUCCUAGAAGUUAGUUAACACAAUAAAUGAUAUGAAUGAGUUUGGGACAGCUAGCAAGCAAGUUGCUAAUGUCAAUAGUAGAUCGCAAGUUCGACUCUACAUGUGACGUCUUGAAAAACUCCGGUAGGAUGCUCACCCCCGAAUAAAAGUCAAACUUUACGGAUUCUCCUUGGACGGAAUCCGGAUUAGUUUUACUAAGAGUGGAGAUAUCGGAUGCUUAAAGCAAAACAAAUAAAUAAAUAAAUAAUGAUAUCCUCUUCUUACAUGGUUUUUGGUAGGUGACAACUGAGGCAUACUAUUACCAAAUGGGAAAUAAACUGAUGCCAUACCACUUCACAUGAUUCACACAACACAUAAAAUUUCUUAAUUGUUUCCGGCAGUGGGGCCAUAUUUCAUGGGUAAAUUUGGGAUCCUUAUCAAAGAUUAAUUGGGAGACAAGUUAAGGCCUUAUUUGGAUUACAGUUUUCUUAAGAAAUUUUUUUACGUUUUGCGUGAACACAUUUAUGAAUCAUAUUUUUAUUUCACAUAUAUCAAAUUGUUGCAACAUAUUUUUUUUACAAAAACUUUUAAAAAUAGUAGUCCAAAUGGGUUCUUACCUAUUUAGGACUUCGAUGUUUUCUCUGGUUUUAGAAUUACGUAACCUUUGCCUCUUCCUGAACUUUUCGCUGCCAAAAAAAAAUCUAAUUAAAAACUCGUCUUAUGUGGAUGCGGGGCACUGGUGAGUGAAGCAAGGCCAACGCCGUGGUGUAAAUGUGUAAUAUGGGACAUUGACUUCAAAAUUUGGAAAUCAACUAUCGAUCAUCAAAUUAAGCUCAUCCGGUCCAAUCACCAUAAAUUGGAUGAUUGUUUUGGUUCAACCGCACCAACACUUAACCCAUUUUAUGUGUAUAUAUUAUGUGUACUGAGGAUAGCCAUCCUGGCUCGGCCAUAUCGAGCUCAACCCUUUGUUAUUUGGGAUGGGUUGCCACAAGUCUUGGUUACCUAUGCUAGACAUCGCAUGCGGAUAAUCGAGGUGACUCCCACAUCCAUUGAUACCUUGGAUUGGUGCUGUGCUUGACACGAUAUCCGAAGUCUUAUCAGAGAACUUGACACAUGCAUGGCGGACAAGACAUCUGAUGGGACCUGUCAACUGCUUCGUGCUGUCAAAUCAGACUGGACAUGUUAGUUCCUGUUAGGUCCUAGGAAGUUGAAACCCACUAUUCCUUCCUCCCACUUGUCCCCUAUAAAUACUACUCCCUCUCCUUCAGAAAGGGGGAGGAGAAAAAAGAGAGUAAGGACUCUUCUAUUUCUGUUUCAUUAUUAACUUUCCAAGAAAACUAACUUAAUCAUCGGAGGUAUUUCGAGGGAAAAUGCCCUGUCUAGUAUGUGUAUUAAGAAAAGAACACCACCAAAUCACCUCGAUCAGGAAGAGGAGGCAUCAGGUCAGCUCGGCUUGACCAUUUAGGAACAGCCUCUUCAUGUGUAUAUCAACUUUCUUUUAAUAGGAUGAAGACAAGUUUGCAGUAAAUACCAAAUACCCACCAACUACACCUCACAUCACCCCGUUUUAUGUAUAUCAACUUUCUUUUUUAAUGGAAUGAAAAUAAUUCGGGAAUAAGUUUGCAGUAAAUACCAAAUACCCACCAACUGCACCUCGCAUCACCCCGUUUUAUGUAUAUCAGCUUUCUUUUUUUAAUGGAAUGAAAAUAAUUCCGGAAUAUGUAUUUGUUUUCUUACGAGUUUCAAUUGGAUACUCAUUAAGACAUCUAAAGUACAGUAAAAUUAUCAUGUGAAAAUACAUAUUAACAUUUAUUAUACCUCCUAAAUUGCAACAUUUUUUUUCAAAUUAGUUAUACUUUUUCAAAAAAAAAAAAACUAAUAUCUAGUACUUUUUUAACGAGUGGCCAAUACACACUCGUUAGUCAAACCGUAGAAUUAGAUACCCAAAUCUUUUAACCCAAAAAAAGGUCCAAUUCAGUCGGGGGGGCCAAACAAGCUAUAUGUCAUUCAUGUUUGGGGGGGUUAAAUUCUCAGAAGUGAUUUUUAUUGUGAAAAAACAAGAUAUAGCCAUAUAGGCAAAGAAGUGGACUGUAUUAAAUUGGGACAUCGUAAUUCGUAAUCUUUAUCACAGCAACCUUACUUGAAAUACGGGAAUUAAUGAAAGUUAAGUGCACUGGACAUUAUUUAAUGUAUUUAAUAAAUUAAUAGAGGCCCCUUUGAUUCUUGACUCAUGGAUGCAAAGAAACAGGUCCCCAUAAGAGUUAGAAUAAAGUUUGGUACUAAAAAAAUUUUUGUAGGAAAUUAAACCAAGCUAUUUUAGUAUUAGUCUCCUAAUUCUUUUUGGUGUCUUAUUUGUCUAGUUUCCAUAUUAAAUUAAGAAAUCUCAAUCAGUUUUCAAGUAAGUUUUGGGUUAUAACUGUAUUUGUUUUAAAAAAUUUUGGAGUCUAUAAAUACUAACAGCUUAGUAAGUUAUUAUUUGAAGAGUUGACUUGAGUUUUAAGAGUAGGUUUGAGAGAAAAUCUCAUAGUUAAGAUUUGUGAGCGAAAAGUUAUGACUUGAUAUUUAUUAUUGCUGGGUUUUGAAAUAAAUAAAUUAUUGAGUAUUUGUUCUCCUCCUCUUCCCACAUAUUUUUAUAUGUGUCAAAAUUGUUUCUGCUGUGCGCGAGGAUUUUUGGUGUGCUAACAAGUGAUAUCAGAGCUCUAGACUUUGAUCCUGGGGUUUGUCCGCAAAAUUGGGGCUUGGAGCUUGUUCGUGAAACUAAAGUAUGGAUCCCCAUUAUUUACAAUAUUGUCCUGCUUUUAUCUUUGAUGGUAAAAAUAAUUUUGAGACUUGGAGGUCAAUGAUGAAGGAUUUUUCAAAGAUAUUGGAAUUUUGGAAUAUUAUCCAAAAGGGGUUCACAGAAUCUAUAACUAGGGGUGGGUCAAAAAAUCCGUCGAUCCGAAAACCUGACUAAUUCGAUCCGAAAAAUAGGAUAUCUGAUCCAACUUUUUUUAGCGGGGCAGAUGCGGGUCGGGUACCCUAAAAAGGGAUACGAAUAUGGAUCAAGAAAAUAAAAACCCAUGGGUACCCGACCCGCAAGGUAUAUUAUGUAAAUAUUAAAAAAUUAGGGGUCAUUUUAUAAUUUUAUAAUUUUUAAUCCUAAGUGUAAGUAAAGUGACUCACAACCUCAUAUUCUAAUCCCAUAUGAUCCGCCUCUCCUUAUCUUGUUUGAAAAAAGUGAAUAUUCUUGAUGAAACCUAAACCAAAUGAACAAAAUGAAGAAAAAUUUGUGAAACUCUAUCAUAAAAAUUGUUUAUCCAUUUCAUUUCCAUUUCAUUUUAUAUUAAAAAUUAGGGUCCUAGUUGGGUCACCGUCUGAGAUUUUCAUUUGCAAGAAGAAAUCAAAUAUUGAGAGAUUUUCUUGGCCCUAGUUGGGUUCUUUUCUUGGGGGUGGUCCUUUUCAUCCUAGUUGGGUCCUUUUCAUUUCAUCCUAGUUGGGUUCUUGGGGGUGGUCCUAGUUGGGUCCUUUUCUUGGGGGUGGUCCUAGUUGGGUCACCGUCUGAGAUUUUCUUGGCCAGAAGAAAUCAAAUAUUGAUACCAUUAAGCCUAGAAGAUAUUCUUUUCAAUUAAAAAGAUGCAACUUUGGUUGGUUUUCAAUGCAUUUUUCAUAAAUCUGCAAGCUAACUGAGUGUCCCGGGCAAAAAUUAAUUGGUCGCGAAGUUUUAGCAUUCAUAAGACUUUAAUGUUUUCUGUGAUUUUGGAACUAGGUAACCAUACAAUCUUUCUGAACUUUUCUUUACCAAAAAAAAAAAAAAAAUUAUAGCAGGACAAAAUUAAUAGGAGUUCAUGUUAUUUGAAAAAAUCUAGUUUUAUGUGGAUCCGAUGGACCGGCGGGUGAAAGAUCAAUAUCUUGAAAUCAAUAUUGACUUCAAUGUCUUGAAAUCAAACAUGUAACAUCAAAUUUCCUCCUGUGGGGAGGUUGUUUAGGGGGAGUUUCUUCUCUCUUAAAGAUUUUUAGUGAGAGUUUCUUCUCUUCUAAAAAUUUUUAGUGAGAGAUUUUGUGGUUAGUCUACCUCUUAUAUUAGAUAUAGAUUUUUUGAAAUUUGGUUGUCACCAUGUCAAUUCUCACUUUAAUAUAUGAAUUUAAAUCAAUUCAUUAUCAGAUUUAGAAGGAAGCAUGCGGUAUAGUUGGAAGCAUACGCGAAUGAUCUUAAGAUUAAAAAUAUUUUAUCUUUUAAUUUUUUUUAGAAUUUCAAUGUUAUACGUUAUUGAUUUUCUAGAUUUGUAUAAUUGAUAUAAUUUCUGUCACUAACGCAGAUUUAAUGAAAUGAUGCUGUUUUUUUAUUAAACAUAAAUGUGUCAUCAAGUUGAGCUCAUGCAGUCCAAUCAUUGUAAAUAUUGAUUUGAGUGUUUGGAUUGUCAAUUAUUUCACUUUAUUUACACCUUAUUUAUACACACUUAUUUGCUUGCAUCAUCAGCAUAUUUUUUAAUCACCUUUUUAUCUUACAUAUAUCAUAUCAAAAAAGUGCUACAGUACUUUUUCACAAAAUUUUUUCAAAUAAUUUACAAUCCAAAUAAUGUAAAGGAUGAUGCUGUUGGUCAACUGCCCAACACCUCCACUAUUUUUAUUUUUUUAAUAUUUAUAGAAUAAAGACAAUUUAGCAAUAAAUACCAAACACCCACCAAUGCACCUCACCGCACCCCGUUUUCCGCACAUCAACUUUCUUUUAUGGAAUGAAGAUAAGUUAGGAUUCAAUAACCAUAUCCUUUAACCGACGAAAAAAAGAAAGAAAAAAAGAAUCCGAUUUAGUCCGAGGGGCCAAAGAAGCCAUCUGUAAUUCAUAACUCAUAUUUGCAGAAAUGAUUUUAAUUGUCAGAAGAUCAAAAGAUGGGCAGAGUAGUGGACUGCAUUUAAUUGAGAUGUUGUAAUUCGUAAACUUUAUAAGGGCACAAGAGUUAUGAUUAAAUUUGGUACCCAAAAAAAAAAGCAAAAAACUUCGAUAAAGCAUUCUUUUUUUUUUUAAUGAAACGAUAAGAUUUUUUCAUUCACUAAAAGGAAUUUACAUGUGUGAGCAAAGGCUCGAAAAGCUUUACAACUAGUGCUCAAGUGCACUGAGGAAAGUACCAUUCCUCAUUCACAAGAAUGCCUAAGGCAUAAAAACUAAGUCUUUUACAAUUUGUCAUAUUUUCUUCACUAACCAGCUCAAAAGAGCACAUGCAAAACAUCUUCUGCAAUUCAGUAAUAUCAUCAACCAAUGUUGCUAAACGGCUUUCUGAGGAGCUCUGAUGCCUUAACUGUCUCAGUAAUUCUUUGUUGUGGAAAAGGAUUUUGAUCCUGUCCCAAUGUUGCUCCAUAGCUUUACUUAAGACCAGUUUAACUGCUACCGCAUCAUCAAGGAUCUUCGUUCCGAGUGUUCUCUCCUUUAGUGCCCAUUCUACAAUCCUUGUGUGCUGGUAUGUCCUAGCUAUGGCUCCAACUCCAAAUGAAGGCUGUCUUUGCUGGCUUGUUGUAUUCACUUCCAGUAUUAUGAUCCCCUCAUCUUCAUGCUCCUGCUGAUGUACUGUUUGGUUGACAGCUAUUUCUCCUGUGCUCAUGCUGUCCUUAGUUUUUCCUUGUUUCUCUUGUUUCAUCCACUCCUUCUGAGCCUUGUUCAUUGUCUUCACCGGUGGACAUCUGUUUUGAUUUUCAAAAUCCUUCUUAUUUCUUUCUUUCCACACUUGCAGAAUAUUUGCAGUCAGUCCAAUAUGCUGUGCCCCUUCUAGUCUUGUCUUUGCCUCUGAUAUUUUGCUCCACCAUCGUUUGAAGUCUCCUUGUUGAUCUCUAGCUCCAUCCCAUUGUAUUGGGGUCACUUUCCAUAUAUCCAAGGUAUUUGGGCAGUUUAAUAGUAGAUGUUCCACUAUUUCCUGGCUCUCCCCACAAGCUCUACAUAUUGAAUCUCCCAUUCCUGUCCUUCUGAAGAUUGCUUCUCUGACUGGCAAUGCCCCUUUGAUGCACUUCCAUAUAAACAGCUUAAUCUUAUGUUUUAUGUUAAGCUUCCAAAGAGUAUUCCAUAUUUGUUUCAGUUGUUGGCUUUCUUCCAUUAUGCUUGGACCAGCUUUUCCUAAUUUUGCCUUCUCAGUACUGUUAUUUUCUUCCAUCAAAAGUUUGUAUCCAGAACUUACAGAAUAACAACCUCCUGCAUUGUGUUGCCAAAAAUAGCUAUCCUCCCUACCUAUUGAACUGAUAGGGAUGCUUAAAAUCCUCUCUCCAUCACUUUGGUUAAAAACUCUAAAAAUGGUGUUCCUGUCCCAUCUUUUCUGAAUGAUAAGCUCGUGUACUAUCUUUAGUGAGCUGUUAAGAGGUCUUGGGGUAGAAGGCUUACCAGAAGAUGAUCCUGGAAUCCAUUUAUACUCCCAAAUGUUUGUGCUUUUCCCAUUGCCAAUCCUCUUGAUCACACCUUUUUCAACUAAGCUUCUGGCUCCUAAUAGACUUUGCCAAAUCCAAGAGACAUUUUUUUGAGGUUUGCACUUGAAUAUGGAGUCCUUAGGGAAGUACUUAGCUCUCAGUACUCUACUGAUGAGUAGAUUUGGAUUGGUUAAAACUGUGAGAACCCGUUUUGCCCUAAGAAUUUUCCUAGGGUUUUUCCCCUUUAAUUGCUUGUUUUCUGCAUUUUCUGGCUUAGGAAAAUUUUCUUGGUGGAUUUUAUGAGUAAUUAUAGUUUUUAGAUGAUUUUCCUAGCAUUGGGUAGUUUUUGCAAAAUUACGGAUAGAUUAUGGAUGUGGGCCCCGCUAGUGCGAAAAGUUCGGAAAAAUUCGGCCAAUAAGGUUAAGUUUCGGAUACUGUGAAAAAUUUAUCGGGUGAUAAGAGAUAAGUAGAGUGUGUGAUAUGAUUGAUGUGAGAGAGAAAAGAAAGGAUAGGAAUGCAUUUAUUGGAGUGCCACAUGUCACCAUGAUAUUGGUUAGGACUUCAGAGUUACUAUUCUUUUUUUUGACUAUUUUGACUAAGUGGUUAAUAUCUUCAAAAAUCACUAAAAUUCACCAUUUUUCACCUCUUGUUGGCCGGCCCUCUCAAGCUCAAAGAAGGAAGAAACUUCAUCAAUUUUCAAGCUUCCAUUUGGUCCAAUCUUCCAAAAACAAAUACCUAAACUAGAUUUCACUCCAUAAAAUUCCUCCCUUGGGUGCUAGUAAGUAGUUUAGUGAAGUUUGUUUGAAGACUUAAGGUGUCCAACAUCUUCCUCUCUCUUGAUUACUUGGUAAGUGGUAUAUGAACACCCUCCUAUAUCUAAUGAUGUUGAAUUUAUGCCUAAUGGUGGCUAUUGUGUUAGAAAUUGUGGAUUAUUUCAUGGUUUGGAAUGAAUUGGUUGAGUUUUUUGUUUUUUGAGGAAUUUUCUGGUUUCAUAUGUUCUUGAUGGUGUGGUUGUUUUUGAUGGUUGGUAAUAAGGGGCUUUGACUCUAGUAGGUGUGAAUUGUUGAUAAAUGCAAUCAAUUUUGGAUUUGGAUUGAAUUGAGAAAUGUUAGGGUUUCAAAACCCCUAAUUCUGUCCGGUUUUAGAUCAUAGAUAGAGGCCGAAUUGGACUUUGCUCAAAACAUGAAAGUUGUAGGUAUUGAUGAGUAUGAAGUGUCUGCAAAAUUUCAGGGCAUUUGGAGUCGUAUAGAGUGAGUUAUGCCAUUUUUACUGUUGCUGUUUUUGGUGAACAGAAUGUCCGAACUGCGAUAGUAAUUGCCUGUUUUGACUGGAAUUGGUUUGGAUUUUGUUGUUGGUGUCUUCUGAUGAAAUGUAGCUUGAUGUCUUAGCUUUCAUAUACCUUUGGAAUCAAUGCAUUUGGACCUGUGUAGGCUGAGAUAGACUGAUUACAGUUUUGUGUGAUUUGGGAACCUGCAAUUACGAUUCUGGGUUGGUUUUCUGCAUUUUUGACCUAGUUGUACUAGGAUUUGGACUGAGUGGCCUUCUACAUUGUUGUAGCCCUGUCUCUUAGCUUCUCGAUGGUGGGUCUUGCACCCUCAUCCGAUAAGCGUAGCGCAUUUUGUGCCAUUACCGCAUAAGGAGGACGAAAACUGUUUUUUUGUUAAGGACAAGUUAGUGCAUUGCUGAAUUUUCUGGUUUGCUAUAAUGCCUAUAUAUGCAUAGAAAACCUUAUUGGGAUUGUGAUUGGCAUUGCUUUAUGACUCGUUAUCGAGUCUCAUUGCACUUGUUUGCAUGUUCUAGGAAGUGACGGUGGUGCACGACGUUCGUUUAGCGACGGUGCUUGACACAUCACCUACUUGAGUGUGAGUAUACUACUCACUUGAAUGUUACAAUGUGGCUUUGCUAUAUGUGAUUUUGGUGCCUUGAAGGCUUAUUUGGCUAUUGGAAUGGAUUGAGGUGAGGGUGUACUUGACCGCCCUCACCCCUUGUGAUACCGUUAAUGACUGAUUACCGUUUUACUGAUAUACUGCACUUGCUAUAUGAGAUAUUGAAUUCACUUCAUGAAAAACUGAUUGGGUGUCGUUUGGAGGAGUAUCCAACGGCCUUACUGUACUACUGAGCUCAACCCCGUUGGUAGUCAAUUGAAUCGAGCCGGCGAGGGUUUGGUCGUGAAAAUUGACAUGCCACGGGGACUGUACUGAGGAAUCUUGUAGUAAUGAGACUCUUGGUUCCGGUAUACUCGAGUAUUACCAAAAGCUACUGAUUGGAGUGCGGGCCCGGUUGGGGUAUGUUUGGUGGAAGGAAUGGGAGUGAAGUGGGUUCUACGGUUGGUACUCAUGAACGUUGACGGAGAGUCAAUGAGAUUGGAUCAAGAAUAUAAGCGUGGAAAUGGGCUCUUGAGAGCCGUCCGUAUCCUUUUACCGACUUGUCUUAUUUCUUAAUUGCGUACUUGAAAUGAAAGUUUAAGGUUAAGUGAUCUUUGUUGAUUAUGUGAUAGUUGCUCACUGAGCUUUAGCUCACUCCGUUCCAUUUGUUUUCCUUACAGGAAAAAUGACUAUUUUGAGAAAGAAAGGAUCAUACUUGUUGGUUGCCAAAUUGAGCCAUGUAUAUGUCUAUUUUGAAUAGCCCUUUGCAUGAAACCCUAAUGUGUAUUGGGUUCACCCUUUUGAUUGACAAACCGAACAUGUGUAUCCAUGAGGAAUAGCUUUUGACAUGCCAAUGUGGUUGUAAAUGUUGAAUUUCAUUGUAUUUAUGUUUGGUUGACUUUCGGAUUGAUUCGGCUUGCAAACGGCAAAAGGAAAAUUUUUGACGGAAAGGCACUGGAUUGAAUCCGGCCAGGAAUCCGGCCAGAAACUGGCCGGAUUGUCGGCCGGAUUGCGUUGGAAAAUUUUGAAUCCGUGAACUUGCUCACUGGACAGUAUCCGGCCAAGAAUCCGGCCGCUAAUCCGGCCAGGUUCCGGCCGGAUUUUGCUGUCCAGGCCACUAUUCAUCGUUUUCGUUUUUUUUUAUUUUGAUUAUUUGAUACUUGUGGCUUGUCCGAACGCGCUUUUACUUUCCCGAAACGUUCUAGAUCGCGUGUAACUGCCCGUAGUCCUGGCGAGAGUUGGGCAGGCAGUCCGCUAACCCCUUUGGUUCGCCUUAGGGGAAAGUGGGGCUGUUACAAAAACCCUCCAGAUCUGCUUCCCCAACAAAGCCUUAUUAAAUGCUUCUAUAUCCUUGAAUCCUAAGCCACCUUCAGAUUUUUUCAGUGCCACUUUUUUCCAUGACAGCCAAUGCAUCUUGCUUUUCCCAUAUGUCUCUCCCCACCAGUAGUUAGCCAUAGAUGCAGUAAUGUCUUUGCACAGCUUCCUUGACAGUUAAAGCAGAACAUGGCAUAUGUAGGCAUUGCCAUAGAGACUACCUUCAGCAUUACCUCCUUACUUGCAGUACUUAGUAACUUAUUUUUCCAAUCCUGAAGCUUUCUUCUUAUGUUGUCUCUGAUGAACCCAAACACCUGAUCCUUUGUUCUUGUUAUCACCAUUGGGAGACCUAAAUAUUUCUCUUGUGUCAUUUCUACCAUUCCACCCAGAGCACUGCAUAUUUCCUUCCUUUGUUCCAGAUUCAUGUUUUUGCUAAAAAAUAUAGCUGAUUUAUCUAAAUUGAUCAGCUGACCUGAUGCCUCUUCAUACGUUUUGAGGAGCUUCAUAAUUUCAUUGGCCUGAUGAAUACUGGCUUUACAGAAAAUGAGUGAGUCAUCUGCAAAGAAGAGAUGAGUAAUGAUAGGCCCUUGCCUACUAAUUCUCAGCCCUUUUAUCUCAUUUCUUCCUUCUGCUUUUCUCAACAGGCUUGAGAAACCUUCUGAACGGAUUAAGAAAAGGUAGGGAGACAAGGGAUCUCCCUGCCUUAUUCCUCUCCCUGGUGUAACAAAGCCUUUGAUUUCUCCAUUGCAGUUGAAAGAGUAAGUGACAGACUUCAUACAACUAGUAAUCCAAUUGAUCCAUUGUGGACAGAAUCCCAUCUUCUGCAUCAUUGCCUGCAAAAAAUGCCACUCCACUCUAUCAUAGGCUUUAGCCAUGUCCAACUUGAUUGCCAUGUAUCCUUCAGUUCCUUGCCUUUUAUUUUUGAGGUAGUGCAUGUACUCAUGGGCUAUAUUUUAGUAUUUUACACUCGCGCUACGUCAGAAAAUGGAACAUGAACAUAGAUGAGGCAUUAAAAACUUAUGUUACGUUAAAUAUUAGGAGAAGUGAUAUCUGCACUCUUAAAUUAGUUUCUAAUAUUGUUUAGAGACUAUAUAUUUUUAGUGAAUAAAUUGAAGUGUAAGAGGUUAAAUGACAAGUGCGAGUAUCAAUUUCCAAUACCAGAGUAUUUUCCUAUCAUUCUACUAAUAAACUUGUCCCUAUCUAAACCUAGAGAUAUGUCCACCAAGUCCUACUUGGGUGACAGAGAUUUUCUUGGCUAGUAGAAAUAGACAUUGAUAAUUUGAGAGGUUAAAUGAGAAGUGCAAAUAUCAAUUUCCAAUAUCAGAGUAUUUUCCUAUCUUUCCACUAAUAGACUUGUCCCUGUCUAAACCUAGAGAUAUGUCCACCAAGUCCUACUUGGGUCAGGUUAGCAGAAAUCGAUGUUGAUAGUUUGAUACCAUUAAGUCCAAAAAAUUAGGUGGGCUUGGCUCUGAUCACUACUCACGGUAUGCCGUGAUACGUGGUUGUGAUCAAAGCCAAACUCAUCUAAACUUUUUAUAACAAAAAAAUCAUUAAUUAUAAAAGUUUUUUUUAAAAAUAAAAGGAUGCAAUCUUUGGUUGGUUUUCAAUGGAUUUUACGUAAAUCUGCAAGCUAAUUGAGGUCCCUACCAAAUAAAUGGAAAGAAAAUAGUCCGUACCAUGUUAUGUUAAUUUUCAUUGGGGGGGGGGGGUGUUUGACACCCACUCUACACAUGAUUCAUGGCUUAAUUAAUUUGAGUUUACAAUAUCCACUCAAAUCAAUCUGAUAUGACAGGAGACAAAUAAUGUAUCACUUGAUUUUUUUUAUGUGUAUAUAUCAUAUCUUGAUUUUUUUUAUGUGUAUAUAUCAUAUCACGAUGCUAUUGCAAAUUUUUGUUUAAAAAUUACUUGCAUAUACAAAUUCACCCGUGGCGUGCAAAUCUUUUUUUUUUUUUUUUGUCAAAUCAAUGUAGUAGCGUCUUAAUCCCUAGGGUUCUUAGUGAUAAAUCAAAUUGACAAAUUAGUAAUCUAACACAUCACUAAAGUUGUGCAAGUUGCAACCGAACCAUUUAAUAUUCUCAGACUGGCAACAUCAACUGGUUAAACUUUUAAUUCAAGUUUUCGCUAGGAGACAUAUUUUGCUUUUCUUCUACAGUUCAAAUAGAAAUUAAAUUUAAUUUAUCCACUACAGAUAAUCAUACAAACUGAGCUAACAAUAAAAAAGGAAAAUACUGCAGGAAGUACCAUCUAAAACCAAAGAGAUAAAGAGAUUCCGCAGCUCAGUCACAACAUUGCACUUUUACUAUGUUAUUGUAUAAUUUUAAGAAUUAGUGUUUUAUACACCAUUAGUGUAAAGUUUUUUUACAUUAAUAGGUAUAGAUAUAUGAUACAUAGACAAAACGUGAAUUUAAAGUUUGAAUAGUGAUGCCGUAGCAUUCAUCUAAACCUACUUGUGUAAAAAGAAAGAAAAACUUUACACUAAUUGUGUAUAAAAAUUAGGGAUAAUAUCAGAAACCUCCCUUAAGGUUUCUCUUAAUAUCACUUGACACCCUUGAGGUUUUGAAAAUAUUAUUUACCUCCCCUAAUAAUUAUAAAAAGACUAUAUUAACCCUCAUGGGCACAUAAUUCACAACAUAUCAAAUAAAUAGAGCUUAAAAAUUGAAAAAACAACAAACGAAAGUCAUUUUCUUCUUUUUUCAUUUUCUCUAUCAUUCUCUCUUACUCAUAUUUUUUGGAUGACUAUGCAAUAUUUUAUUUGUAAAUUAUAAUAAACUAAAAUUUGUUUAUCUUUUACUUUCUGUGAUUGUGAUAAAGUGGGGUAUGAUUUAUUUACUUAUUUUAAAUUAAUUUUUAUAAUGAUUGGUACAGUUUAAAGGUUUGGAUAAGGGUUGAGAAGAUGUUGGGAAAAAAUAGAAAAUUAAAAGAAAUCAGUUUUAAGCAUAUAUAAUAAAUUGAUGCAAGUGUAUUUCUUUUCAAAAACAAAACAAAUCGCCUUAAUUUCACGGCUAAAUCACUCUCACUGCCCUUUUUUUCAUCACAUGGACAUAGGGUCCCCCAUUCUCAAUAAGAGGAUGGUGACUGCCGGCGAAGGUGGUGGCCAGCGGUGAUGAUAGUGUGUGAAAAAGGAGAAAGAGGGUGAGAAUUUAUUUUACUUUAGUGCAUUUUUAAAUAUAUUUUUGAGGUUGUUUUUGAAGUCAUUGUGGAUUUCAAAUAUAAAAACGAAUAUUUCUAAGACAGUAGAAUCCCAACAGAGCCAUAUAUUUUUUAUUUUUAAAUUUAUAUUUUUAUAGAGUAUAGCAUUGUGAUGUGGUAGAACUACAAGAGAUUGUUUUUGAGGUGAUAGUUUUCUUGAAGUGAACAAAGUGAUUUAAAAAUAUUUUUAUUUAGCAAAUGAAAGGGUAGAUUAUGGUUUUUAAAAAUUUUGUUACACAAAUAACAAAAGUAAGGGAGGUAAGUGAUAUUUUUAAAACCUUAGGAGUGCUAGGUGAUAUUAAGAAAAACCUUAGGGGAAGUUUCUGAUGUUGUCCCUAAAAAUUAAUCCCUAAGUUUAAUCAUAGUGCUUGUAACAUAAAUUAGAUUAGAAAAGCACUUGCAUAGUUCUCUAUCACAUGCUUUAUGCUGAACUACUCUUUUGAGCAUAACCAUUAUGCUAAAAAUUUCCUGACAACAUAAUAGGAAACUUGUGUUUUAUGAUGAACCAACGAGUUGAUGAAAAAGAGCAGGUUCACUAUUUGGCAAGCUCGUGAAGGAAUAUUGGUCUCUUUAUCACUCUGCAGAAUUACAACGAAAUUGACAGCAGAGACAGUGUGUGAUCCUUUCACAUGGCUUUCUAGUCAAUACUACUCCUCAAACACAGCAACAAAAAUUUCCUUACAACUUCGUAAAAUACAAUAAAACUACCAUUUGUGGGUCAAUUUCACGAGUAUGCCUAAAAUACUACCAGAAAGUUAGUGCGAUAAUAGAUAUGAUAAGCUAUUUAUCAAAAACCAAUAUGUCCUAUUUUUUUCCCCCAAAAUUUUAGAAAGGGAUUGCUCCAGAAUUGUACGCUUCACUUUGAAGUGGUCGUUUAUCACGAUAAAGUUUGUGGAGGAAGUACUCCAAUUGAUUUCAUUUUCCUUCGUGUUCACACAAUUCAGAUGCAGAUAUUAUCUGGGCUGUCUAAGGGAAGUAGAAACUACAUGUUUUGUCCAAAAGAAUUCAAAUUAGAAAAGGAAAAAAAAAGAGAAGACCAUGAUUCUGGCAUUCCUAUUUUUAACCUUCAAGUACUCCACUCUUAAUUUUAGCUAAUCAAAAUGACUUGCACACUUCCAAGAUGGGAAGCACUUGGUUUGGCCUGGAAGAUCAAGAUCCUGCAAGAUGGACACGCUUUCAGGGCUUGCAUCCGGAGACUAAACUUGGCCAAGAACUAUAGUAUAAGCUCAGAAUUUCUUGUCAUAUGACUAAUCCUGUAUGGAAGUUUUAAACCCCCCAAAAAAAAAAAAAAAAAACUGUUUGGAAAUUUCUAAUGCUUCUAAGGCACUAAGGCUUGAAGAAAAACACAUAUUCUUGCCUAACUACAUGUUCAUAUUACCACGAAAUUUUUAACAUCCUCAUAUAUUAUUAGCAAAUCUGGUGCAACCCUAGGGAACCAAAACCUGCAUGAAAGAGAUACACAGGACUAGUUGCCUAGUUUGAGGAUUUCAAUCUAACAUGACCUCUAUUUCAAAGAGAAAAUUCUUUAUUGCGCAGUUCUUUAAGAUAAAUAUAUGCAUUCUUAAGUGUUCAUCAUAAAAGCAUUUCUGUUUUCCUUUAGAAACAAAUUUUAACAAGGUGUUUCAUUUGCAUUAGUAUAUACCACAAGGACAUUUUACAGCAAGUAUCUUGAAACUAUUUUACCAAAAGAAAAAAAUAAUAAAAAAAACCGUGAAACUGAAAUGAGGAAUCUGGAAAGUACUUUAAGGUCAGUAUGUUUUUCCUUUUGUAAAUUAGGACAGUAAAUUAACUUUUGUACCUAAAAUCAGUACUAAAAUCAGGACAGUAAAUUAACUUUUGUACCCAUUCUAAACGCACACCGCUUUCUUUUUCCUGGAAAAUGCAUAAUAAAAAUAUGCAUUCCUUUUAACGUGUAUGAGUCUCUACAUAGGUAUGUGCUGGUAAAUUAAAUGCCCAGCAAGGCUUCAACAAUUGAAAAUCAGGGAAGAUUAAUCUCUUGGACAGUACAAAGCUGUGCUGAUCAUGUUUUGCAAUGCAUUGCUAUCUGCGUAGUUGCAUUCUUUAGAAAACUAUUUAACUCUUCUUCUUUUUCUUACUUCAACUAAAGGAAAAGCACGUAGAUAAUAUGUGAGAGGCAGUGAAGGAAGAUCUCCCCUAGCAAAUUUGUCGCGAAUCAUAGACAGUGAAGGAAAACCAGUUCUUCCAAAGGAAGCGUUAUGCGAUUGAGGAUCUUCCCUGCCAAGAGUCGUAUCGAUCUCUUCCGUGAAGGAAUGAAGCAUUCCUAAAGUCUCCAACAAAACCAAUCGCUUCCCAUUUUUCCCAUCAAAAAAUUUCUUGGCCUUCUUCUCGAUACAAUUUUCCGUUACAAGCUUAGCUGAAGCAUAUACAUUUGAUUUAAAUUCCCGCAUCUCUAAUCUAAGACCAUAUUUAUCUGCACAUUCCAGCUCCUCAAGAGCUUUGUCAGCAACAUCCAUGAUGCCUCUCACAAAUUGGCAACAACGCCAAUCAUUGGAACGCCCGCACAGCUCUGCAAAGCUCAGCAAGAACUUUAGAUGUUGGCUGAGAAAAGCUGACUCAGUACCCACUUCACGGAAAAAGUUCAUGGCGUCUUUGAGUUCUCGACAAGACUGAAGCAGAUCCCUCACCGCCUCACGACAAGGUAGUAAGGCUGAAUUGUGGCGUAAAUCUUCCCAGGAGUUGUAGAAGUCAGAUUCAUCAAGAAAUUUCUCCAGCUUAUUCUCAUUUAAACCAAUCUGUUCUACUAAUUCUGGCGCUUCUCUUGAUAGCAUUCGUUCCCAGCCGUGACGAAUAUUCUUCCUAUACUCAUCAUAUAACGGUGAAGUAAUUAGUAGCUUAGUUCUCCGAGAAAAAUCUCCUAUCUCCUACAGGCAGUGCAAGAGGUGCAAUAUCUUCUACUAGUUGGUCCGGCAAAGUUGGGGGUCCUUCCAUUUCCAAUACUCUGAUGACCUCACCAACUUUUUCAGUAAAUAACUUGGCUUGCAAUAUCUUGAUAUACAGUAUUUUGAGUAGGAUAGUAGUUAACUCGUCCACCUCCUCCAGCAGACAAACAACUUCAUCAUUAACCAUCUUUCCCUCUGUCAAUCCUACCCGAUGUAAUCAAUGGUAAAUUAACAAAGAAAUCACCUUGAUGUUUAGAUUUAAACCUUUAAGGCUUUAACCGGACUGCAAUAAGUAAAUAUAAAAGGAAAAAAGAAAAAGAACAUACUAAUAUCCAGGACAAAGCAAAAAAGCUGGGGACUGACAACUAUCCAUGCGAGAAAGAAGCUACAGCUUACCAACAGCAGAGGAGAAAAGGCCUUUGAUGAUCGGAAUCACGAUUGCUAGAAGAAAGCCGGCGAUGAUAACUUGUGGUUAACGAAGCAGAAGCAGCCAAGUCGCCCCAAGUGCCAAAAGUCUUGUCUUUGAUUUCUUCUCAUUUUUCUUGAAAAAAGUUGAAAAAGGCUGAAUAUUUAGGAGUCCUAGAACAGUUCGACCUGCCCUGCUAAGGGAGUUAUUUUCUUUUUUGUUGUAACUAUAGCAUUUGUAUAACUUAUUUUAACUUAUUUUAAAGAAAGAGAGAGUUUAACCGACGGAGAAUUCAGUCAGAGGAAGUCACUUGAAAGUGACAACCACAAUUAAGUGAUAAAGUGAGAGGUCCAAGACUUUAAAGUACUAGUGAUGACCAACAGCCUAAGUGGCUGUUGGCCUGCUAAGGGAUUCAACAAUUUGGCAAGAGCUAUUACUAAAUCCAAGUAGUUUGAAUUAGUUACUGUAAAUAGCAUUUGUAUCGAUUUUUGUGUGAAAUAUAGUUCAAGUUUAUCUCUAUCUCUGUCUUUAUUAUUAUUAUUUUUUGAUAAAAAAGUUCAAGUGGCUCUCAAAAUUUUAGCCUCAUAAAGUGUUAGCCGUUCAACAAUUAUAAAAAAAAAAAAAUUGGCUCUCGAUGUAUCAAAAGUGCAAAUUGUUAGCCUUUUGUGAAUUCCAACUGUUUAUGAGUGGCGGAAUUGAGGGCAUUCUUGUCCAUGUAGGAAUAUAAAAAUCCAAAAGUUUUUCUUGAAUUGAAUUGUUAUCCAAAUAGAGUAUCAUGAGCUUAAAAGUAUGCGAAACUGUGAAAGUAUGACCUUUUUUCUCUGUUUUUUGUUCCCUCUUUUUUUAUCUUUAGCUAGUACACAAUUCAUGCAAGAGAAAUUGAUCUUCGUAAGGAUGCACUGUGCAACUUUUGUUUCUAAGCGCUUGAAUUUUGUGGGAUACUUUGACUGACCGUCAAAUGCUGGAGCUCUUAUUUUACCAAUUCUAGUUAGUGACUGAAUCCAAAACAAAAUUAUAGAAGGAACAUACAAAUGAUCAGGUGCAUAUUCACCUUCGAAAUCCCUUGUAUAAUGCUUCCAAAGUGCAUAUUCAUAUAAUCAGGUGCUUCAGAAAGCAACGAAGAUUUCUACAGAAAUCUCGAGCCGACAAUUGCUUAAUUUGGAGAGUGAUACAUGGGAAACACAGCAGAUGCUACAGCGUUUGCAAAAGAGAAGCAAUGGCAUAAGCCACCGGGACUGACUGUCUUAUCUCUCGACACACAAACACAGGUCUUUUUUUUUUUUUUCGGUAACGAUAAUAUUUGUAUAAUUUAAUCUCUCGACACACACAGGUAUUACAAACUGAAAAUGUAGAGCUUGUUAUUUCUUUCCAUGUUUAUUUUCCUGAAUGAGCAUAAAAUUGGGUACCAUAAUAUUGGUCAUCAAGAACAGACUAGGAUAGAUUAGAUGCUCCCAAGUCACAAGAAUUGGUUUUGAUAGCCAGCUAGUUCAGCAAGCUUCUUUUUAUGUCUUUGCUUUCCUCUGGGCUACUGAAUUGUGCUACUGACCAUCUGGUUAACUUGCAUGAACACAUUAUAAAUCAUAUUUUAAUUUCAUAUAUAUCAAAUUGUUGUAGCAUUUUUUUUUUUACAAAAACUUUUCAAAAUAAUUGUCCAAAUGGGCUCUUACCUAUUUAAGACAUCGAUGUUUUCUCUGGUUUUAGAAUUAGGUAACCUUCGCCUCUUCCCGAACUUUUCGCUGCCAAAAAAAAAAUCUAAUUAAAAAAUCGUCUAAUGUGGAUGCGGGCCACUGGUGAGUGGCAUAAGACCGACGGCGUGGUGCCAUUCACGAUCCGAAUUAGCUCCGCUCAAUAUGGGACAUUUGACUUCAAAAUUUUGAAAUCAACUAUUGAACAUCAAAUUGAGCUCAUCCGGUCCAAUCAUUGUAAAUUGGAUGAUUGUUUUGGUUCAACCGCACCAGCACUUAACCAUUUUAUGUGUAUAUAUUAUAACCAAAUACCCACCAACUGCACCUCACAUCACCCUGUUUUAUGUCUAUCAGCUUUCUUUUUUUAAUGGAACGAAAAUAAUUUGGGAAUAAGUAUUUAUUUUUUUUACGAGUUUCAAUUGGGUACUCAUUAAAACAUCUAAAUUACACUGAAAUUAUCAUGUGAAAAUAUAGAUUAACAUUUAUUACACCUCCUAAAUUGUAACAUUUUUUUAGAAUUAGUUAUACUUUUUUUUUUAAAAGAAAACUAAUAUCUAGUACCUCUUUUAACGAGUGCCCAAUAGACACUCGUCAGUCAAACCGUAGAAUUAGAUACCCAAAUCUUUUAACCCAAAAAAAAAAGUCCAACUCAGUCGGGGGGCCAAACAAGCUAUGUGUCAUUCAUGUCUGGGGGAUUAUAUUCUCAGAAGUGAUUUUUAUUGUGAAAAAACAAGAUAUAGCCAGAGUAGUGGACUGUAUUAAAUUGGGACAUCGUAAUUCGUAAUCUUUAUCACAGCAAUAUCUUACUUGAAAUACGGGAAUUAAUGAAAGUAGGUGCACUGGACAUUAUUUAAUGUAUUUAAUAAAUUCAUAGAGGCCCCUUUGAUUCUUGACUCAUGGAUGCAAAGAAACAAGUCCCCUAAGAGUUAGGAUAAAGUUUGGUACUAAAAAAAGCUUCGAUAAAGUAUUGACUGGCUUUACAAUACAAUUGCGCUACAUCAGAAAAUGGAACAUAAAUAUAGAAUAGGCAUUUAAAAUUUGUGUUAUGUUAAAUAUUGGAGUAUAUCCCACUUUUGCUGCUAAUAGACGUGUCCCUGUUUGGAGAUUUGUCAAGCAAUAAAGGUUGUCAAGAUUUUUUUUUUUUGGGGGUGGUCCUAGUUGGGUCACCGUCUGAGAUUUUCUUGGCCAGAAGAAAUCAAAUAUUGAUACCAUUAAGCCCAGAAGAUAUUCUUUUCAAUUAAAAAGAUGCAACUUUGGUUGGUUUUCAAUGCAUUUUUUCAUAAAUCUGCAAGCUAACUGAGUGUCCUGGGCAAAAAUUAAUUGGUCGCCAAGUUUUAGCAUUCUUAAGACUUUAAUGUUUUCUGUGAUUUUGGAACCAGGUAACCAUACCAUCUUUCUGAACUUUUCUUUACCAAAAACAAAAAAAAAAAAUUUAUAGCAGGACAAAAUUAAUAGGAGUUCGUGUUAUUUGAAAAAAUCUAGUUUUAUGUGGAUCCGAGGGACCGGUGGGUGAAAGAUCAAUAUCUUGAAAUCAAUAUUGACUUCAAUGUCUUGAAAUCAAACAUGUAACAUCAAAUUCCCUCCUAUGGAGAGGUUAUUUAGGGGCAGUUUCUUCUCUCUUAAAGAUUAGAGUUUCUUCUCUUCUAAAAAUUUUUAGUGAGAGAUUUUGUGGUUAGUCUACCUCUUAUAUUAGAUAUAAAUUUUUUGAAAUUUGGUUGUCAGAUCUAAGAUUUCUUAGAUCUACCAUGUCAAAUCUCACUUUAAUAUAUGAAUUUAAAUCAAUUCAUUAUCAGAUUUAGAAGGAAGCAUGCGGUAUAGUUGGAAGCAUACACGAAUGAUCUUAAGAUUAAAAAUAUUUUAUCUUUUAAUUUUUUUAGAAUUUCAAUGUUAUACGUUAUUGAUUUUCUAGAUCUGUAUAAUUGAUAUAAUUUCUGUCACUAACGCAGAUUUAAUAAAAUGAUGCUGUUUUUUUAUUAAAAAUAAAUGUAUCAUCAAGUUGAGCUCAAGAGGUUAAAUAUAUUUUUAGUGAGUAAAUUGGAGUGCAAGAGGUUAAAUAACAAGCGCGAGUAUCAAUUUUCAAAACCAGUGUAUUUUCCUAUCAUUCUGCUAAUAUACUUGUCCCUAUCUAAACCUAGAGAUAUGUCCUCCAAGUCCUACUUGGGUCACAGUAUGAGAUUUUGUCGGUUCGCAUAAAUCGAUGUUGAUAGUUUGAUAACAUUACGUCGAAAAGAUUAGGUGUGCUUGGCUCUAUUCACUACUCACAGCAUGCCGUGAUCCAUGGUUGUAUCGAAGCCAAACUCAUCUAAAUUUUUUGUUACAAAAAAAUCAUUAAUUACAAAAAGAUUUUUUUAAAAAAAAUAAAAGGAUGCAAUCUUUGGUUGGUUUUCAAUGGAUUUACGUAAAUCUGCAGGCUAAUUGAGGUCCCUACCAAAUAAAUGGAAAGAAAAUAGUCCGUACCAUGUUAUGUUAAUUUCCAUGGCUUGGAGGGGUAGUUUUGACACCCACUCUACACAUGAUUCAUGGCUUAAUUAAUUUGAGUUUACAGAUAUCCAUUCAAAUCAAUUUGAUAUGACAGGAGACAAAUAAUGUAUCACUUGAUUUUUUUUUAUGUGUAUAUAUCAUAUCUUGAUUUUUUUUAUGUGUAUAUACCAUAUCACGAUGCUAUUGCAAAUUUUUGUUUAAAAAUUACUUGCAUAUACAAAUUCAUCCGUGACGUGCAUUUGGAUUAGUCUAUGAGGAUAUGGAUCCAAUUAGACCGUCAGUUUCCUUUUCUUUUUUUUUUUUUGUCAAAUCAAUUUAGUAGCGUCUUAAUCCCUAGGGUUCUUAGUGAUAAAUCAAAUUGACAAAUUAGUAAUGUAACACAUCACUAAAGUUGUGCUAGUUGUAACCAAAGCAUUUAAUAUUCUCAGACUGGCAACAUCAACUGGUUAAACUUUUAAUUCAAGUCCAAAAGAUUAGGUGGGCUUGGCUCUGAUCACUAUUCACGGCAUGUUGUAAUUAGGGAUGGCAACGGGGCGGGGUUGGGGCGGGAGACCCCUCCCCCAUCCCCCGCCCCACUACCUAUAAACUCCCCCCACCCCCGCCCCAUCCCUCGCCCCCCACUCCCCCCCGCCCCGCCCCGCUUCCACCCGCAGGGCUAAUAAAAAUUUGUUAUAUAAUUUUAUUAUGGUUAAGUUUUAGCAAAUAAUCAAGUACUAAAAUAUUAACACAUCAUCAAAUUAUUAUUCAUUAUAAUUUUACAAUUGAAACUUAUAAAAACAAUCAAACAAAAAAUAUUUGAAUACAAUCCAACAUGAUGAAAUAAAUAUAACUAAAGUAGUCAAAUUUUCACUUUUGGCACAAAUACAAUCACUAAUUCAUUAUUGUGCUUGUGCUUUUUUAAAAAAAAAAUAUUAUUGUAUUAAGUGUAAUUAGGGAUUUAGUAUAACCAAUUAAUAAUUUGUAUUAGUACACAUAUAUAAUUAUUAGUAUAAUUAAUAAUAUCAAUUAUGUUAUAUAUACUAAUAGACAUUAUAUAAGACAUAUAACUAAUAAUAUCAUUAUCAUAAGUUUGUAACUAAUUAAAUUAUAUAUUAUAUAUAUAAUUAUAUAUAUUUAUUUUUUUAAAGCAGGUGGCGGGACGGGGGAUGGAGCGGGGGUACACUCCCCCGCCCCCCGCCCCGUUUCUAAGCGGGCGCCCCCGCCCCAACCCCUCCCUAUUAACCCCCCGCGGUCACCCGCCCCCAUUGUCAUCCCUAAUCGUAAUUCAUGAUCCGUGGUUGCAAUCAAAGUCAAACUCAUCUAAAUUUUGUAUUAUAAAAAAAAUUAUUAAUUACAAAAGAUUUUUUUUAAAAAAAAUAAAAGGAUGCAUUCUUUGGUUGGUUUUCAAUGGAUUUUACAUAAAUCUGCAGGCUAAUUGAGGUCCCUACCAAAUAAAUGGAAAGAAAAUAGUCCAUACCAUGUUAUGUUAAUUUCCAUUGCUUGGAGGGGUAGUUUUGACACCCACUCUACACAUGAUUCAUGGCUUAAUUAAUUUGAGUUUACAGAUAUCCAUUCAAAUCAAUUUGAUAUGACAGGAGACAAAUAAUGUAUCACUUGAUUUUUUUUUAUGUGUAUAUAUCAUAUCUUGAUUUUUUUUAUGUGUAUAUACCAUAUCACGAUGCUAUUGCAAAUUUUUGUUUAAAAAUUACUUGCAUAUACAAAUUCAUCCGUGACGUGCAUUUGGAUUAGUCUAUGAGGAUAUGGAUCCAAUUAGACCGUCAGUUUCCUUUUCUUUUUUUUUUUUUGUCAAAUCAAUUUAGUAGCGUCUUAAUCCCUAGGGUUCUUAGUGAUAAAUCAAAUUGACAAAUUAGUAAUGUAACACAUCACUAAAGUUGUGCUAGUUGUAACCAAAGCAUUUAAUAUUCUCAGACUGGCAACAUCAACUGGUUAAACUUUUAAUUCAAGUUUUCGCUAGGAGACAAAUUUUGCUUUUCUUCUACAAUUCUAAUAGAAAUUAAAUUUAAUUUAUCCACUAUAGAUAAUCAUACAAACUGAGCUAACAAUAAAAAAGGAAAAUACUGCAGAAUGUACCAUCUAAAACCACAGAGAUAAAGAGAUUCCGCAGCUCAGUCACAUCAUUGCACUUUUACUAUGUUAUUGUAUAAUUUUAAGAAUUAGUGUUUUAUACACCGUCAGUGUAAAGUUUUUUUACAUUAAUAGGUAUAGAUAUGUGAAACAUAGACAAAAAGUGAAUUUAAAAUUUGAAUAGUGAUGAUGUGGCAUUCUUCUAAACCUGCUUGUGUAAAAAAAAAAAAAAAAUUUUUACACUAAUUGUGUAUAAAAAUUAAUCCCAAAUUUUAAUCAUGGUGCUUAUAACAUAAAUUAGAUUAGAAAAGAACUUGCUAUUUCUCUAUCAUGUGCUUUAUGCUGGACUAGUCUCUUGAGCACAAUCAUUAUGCUAAAAAUUUCUUGACAAUAUAAUAGGGAAACUUGUGGAGUUUGAUGAACCAACGGAGUUGAUGAAAAAGGGAAGGUUCACUAUUUGGCAAGCUCGUGAAGAAAUAUUGGUCUCUUUGUCACACUGCAGAAUUACAACGAAAUUAACAGCAGAGACAGUGUGUGAUCCUUUUACAUUGCUUUCUAGUAAAUAUAACUCCUCAAACACAGCAAUAAAAAUUUCCUUACAACUUCGUAAAAUGUAAUAAAACUACCAUUUGUGGGUCAAUUUCACGAGUAUGCCUAAAAUAAUACCAUAAAAUUAGUUAGUGCGAUAAUAGACAUGAUGUGCUAUUCAUCGUAUUAAUUGCCUUUUCUUUUCUUUUUUGGUACAGGAUAAAAGGACAAAUUGUGAAUGACUAUCUUGUAGCUAUCUACAUGUUCUGAAUGAAGGAUAAUAAUAUCUUCUUUUGUGUGAAAAGAAAAAAAUGAUAAAUCUUAAGGAUGCAUAUGCUAAGUUCUAUGAUUCCCCUAAUGCCAAAUAUUUGACAGAAACUAAGCCAACUAGUAAUUAAAAUAAGUUGAUCUUGAAGGUAAAAUGGAGGUAUCAAAAAUAUUAGUUUCCUAGAAGUUCUAUGAAAAUUUCCCUGUUUAAGGUAAAAAAAAAAAAAAAGAACCACGUUUAUUCAUCUACAUAGCCUCAUCAUAACUUCAAUAUAGAAAUCAUUUGCCAUGUGUCAUCAAUUCAUGAUAGCAUGUGUUGUAUCAGUUACAGGACUUUUGUGCAAACUUUAGCUUCCUAUAAGACAUUUAUGAUUCAAUGAUUUUGGUGCACUCCCAAUAAAGAUGUUCAAAGUAAUUUGAUUCAGCUUCGUCUUGAUUAGAUCGAGGAACUCAAGCCAAUAUGCGCCAACUCCCGAGUUGGACUUUCUGGUCACUUCAAUGUUGUCCUAAUCCAAAUCUUUACACUAGGAAAAAGAGUUCAACCAAAAAAAGAUUGCAGUAUUAAACUGGCCUCUGAGAGAGGAAUCGAGACAUAAAGUUUUCAAUACGUAGAAAUUCAUUAAACAACUGAUAAUAUUUACAUCGAUCGAUUAUUGGACCACACCAUUAACAUAUGAUAUUAUCAUAACUCAUAGGAGCAAGCACACAAUAUAUUUCAGGUUUGCACAUGGUACAACCUUCGUCGAGCUUACAUUUAUUCAAUACACUAACUGGAGAUCUUGGAACUUCCAAACACACAUGUUCGUGCCAUCUAUGAUGACAAUUUAGCACCCCUUCAUUUGAGAUGGUGAGUCUCAAUAUCCUUAGUGACAUGAAGGCAAAAGUCCAUCAGAGUAUUUGGAUCUGGGAUAUUGGGAUUCUUUUUCUCAUACUCCAAGGUCCAUGUAACCAAGUUGCUUUUGCCAUGGGUAUCAACAUGAACUGUUAUGAUGAAGGUCUUGUAUAACUCCAGCAGAUCUCCUUCAAUCACCUUGAAUGUGAUUGACCUCUUUGCCUCAUCUAUGGCCUGGAUAACCUCUUUGGCCACUUUCUUUUUUCCAUCUAAAAAAAUUGAAGAAUUGAAUGAGAAGAGUGUGAAGCUCUAAAGAUAAAAAAACAAAAUUCAGUAAUUAUUAAGGCCAAGAAAAAUAAAUUUUCCUAGUGGCCGGCCUCACAACCAAAGAUUGUUAACAGUUGACCUUUACUUGAGCCUUUCAAUUUUAUCUUUCAAUUUUUUCUAGCAGGUGAUGAUGAAAUUUAAGAAAUGACGAGGGAAGAAGGACUUGAACCAGGCACCAAGAUCAUUUGUGAGUUGAAAACUUUGCUCAAAUAGAUCUAAGCAUUAUACAUGCAUGCAGAAUCAUAAACAAGAAAAGAUGGAAAUAUUUGAAAGGGACAACGAAAAGAAGGGAAAUCAGGAGGAAAUUCAGAUACCGUGAGUAUAAUUCCAGAAGAUGACAGAUCCGACGGUUCCCCAAUUACCAUCAUGCAGCUCACAACCUUGAAUAUGAGUAGGGCUCAUGGUAGAUACAUGGUGUGGUCUGUGCCUAAAAAUUUCAUGAAACACAUCUCCAUCGGAUUUUAUCUCGAUUUGGUUAACGAGCUUACCAGUAAGACUCAUUUCUUCUAGCUUUUUUUAGCCAAGAAAAUAUGACUACUGAAGGAAGAGGGGUGAGGGAAAGCUAAAGACUGAAGGGCUUUUUAUAGUCGAGUUGUCUGCAUUAUUUAAACGCCAAAACGUCAUAGUGUACUAAGGGCCAGCUGUGUUUGUCUCGUUUGAGUUAAAGCUUGAAUUGGCUUAAGGAGCCAUUUGGUUUGAAUUUCACAGUUACUGUCAUUAUCUGUAUCAUAGGGUGAUCAAUGAUAAUAGAUUUUGAUGAAAACCCAUAGUAUAUUUAUAAAAUGGAUUUUAUAAUUUAUAAUUUAUAUUAUUUCUUUUUUUUUUAUCCAUUUGUUGGAACCAGUAGAAACGAUGGCAUUUUUUUCUUAUUUUUACAUUUAAAGAGAAAAAGAUAAAUAAUUAAAAUGGCAUUUUGUUUUCCAAUUUUUAUAUUUAAGGAGAAUAAGAUGGGUAAUGAAGAUGAUUUCCUAGUGAAGGCGAUUAAUCACAAAACCCAAAGAAGAGGCCUAUCAUUCCCAUUAGCCUCAAACAAACAUCAUAUAUGGGUAUAAUUGAAUUUGAAACUCGUGUUGAAACCCAAUUACCAAAAAUCCCCUAAUUUUUUAAUGGAUUGGGUUGUGCGCCUUAUGUAAAGACCAAAAAGCCUCAACUAGGGUAUUCACGGUAAAUGUUUUGUUGCAAAAAUUUCAAUAAUGAAAAAUGUAACUGACAAAAUGUUUUUCGUGCAUUACAUUUAUCUACUUCUCAUAACAUAUUGCAUAGACAUCAUUAGGAGUGCAAACGAGUCGAACCGAAUCAAGUUUCGGCCUAAUCGAGCCAAGGCUCAACAUAAUUUUACGAAACUCAAACUCGAGUUCGAACUCGAGCUCGAACUUAAAAAAUAAAAAAUAAUUUUAUUUUUAAAAAAUGAAUAAAAUAAUAAAUUUUAAUAAAUAAUAAAAUAUUAGGGAUAUUUAUAUGUAAUUUUACUAUUAAAAUAAAAAAUACAUAUAAUCGAGCUCGAGCCUACUCGCGAAUUAAUGAGUUACCAUUCAAUGGGGGUAUUUUUGGAGUUAACCCCAUUAAUGAGUUAACUCCAAAAAUACUCAACAAAUAAUGGUAAUACUUGGGCAAUGAUUAGGAUCCCGUUGGGACCCAUAAAGUGGAAAUACAUUUUUUUUUUUUGGUAUCAUCAAUGUUGUUAGAUCCGGACCGGAUCUGUCGGUUCGAUUGGUCCGACUGUGAAUUGGUCUUUUUUUCAAAUUGGUUUGUAGUAUAAAACUGAUUUGAUAAAAAACCUAUUGAAAUCGCAAAAAAUCAACUAAACCAAUGACCCAAUUCGACUGGUUGAUCCAGUUCUUAAACUUUUCUUUUUUCUUUUCCCUAAACAUAAUUUGAGUUACUUAAAUUGUAAUAUUUUCAUUUAUUAAUAGGAAUAAAAAAAGUUACCCAUUUAGUGUAAAUAUCAAAAUCACUCACUUUCUUAAAUAAUUUUUAAAUCAAGAUAUUUUCAUUCCUAUGAUCUCAUUAAUUUAGCAUCGUGAUUCCAACUUGUAUUAAUUUGUUUUAAUUUGAUUUUUCAAGUAGUUUUGGAGAAUGGGCAUAUUUUAACCAUGAAUUUACAUUUUUAUAUAUAAUUAUUAGGUGUAUAUUUGAUUGCAUGUGUAAUAUUUUUGGAACAUUUUUCAUGAUUGGCCAAAUAUAACCAAGAACUUAAUUUCAAUAUUUUUGAAACUUAUAAAAAUAUAUAAUAAUUAUAACAUCAUGCUGAUAUCAGCAGAUCUUUGAGAACGGUUCAAUUGAUCUAACCAGUUGACCCCUGACCAAAUAGUUUAGCUGAGUCGCUAUCGGGUCCGAGUUUAACAAAAUUGGUUAUCAUUUGGUGGUGCAUGAUUUACCAAUCCAUCAACCAAUAUUACGAGCACUACAACUAAAGUACUCUUAUUUUCUUGGCAUGCAUUGCAAUUGCACUUUUAUUUUUUUUGUUUUGUUUUUGGGAUAUAAAUUAUCCUUAAAAGUUGUACUUUAUUCUAGUUGGAGUAAAAUAUCAUCAGCGCUAAAAAAAAAGCUUUUUGUUCUCUUUUUCUUUUUUUUUUCCCUCUUCCCCACGAAAGCAAGUAAAUUUAUAUUUGAGAGAGAGGCAACAAAAUUAGACAGGUUAAAUAAAUCCUUAGUUUUCUUUUUUCUAUUUAGAAUGCUACUGAAGCACACAAGUGAAAAUCUCCCUGUAUUAUUCCAUUUCUUAUUUUUAUUCAACUUAGAUCUAGGGCAAUGAAAUCAGAGAUAUGAAAAGAUACAUAUAAAAAACCAACAAAGGAAAAUAGAGGGAAAGACAAACCUUGCAUUAUGAAAAAAGUAAACAAAUAAUAAUAUAAGAACAAUAAGAAAAGGAAUAACAAAAUAGAAGGCUUAUUGGACUUUUCAUAGAUGUAUUGGGUUAAUAUUAAUAAUUUUUUUUCUACAAUAGAUGAUUUGACAUUUGAGCUACUAGUCUUACCCAGAUAAGUUCCAAAGUAGGUUAAUUUUGUAUAUUAAGUAAUUUUACUUAAUUAACUCCAUGUGUAUAAUUUGGAACCAAUGUAACCGUAACUGUCUGAAUAACAAAAUAAUCACAUUAAUGUUUAUAGUACAGUGCAAUCUUAACACAUGAUCGGCAUUCUCCAUUAUUUUCACGAGUCGUGCCAACAGCACUAGGCACUCCAUCUUUUACUAUCCCUGCAUUUUCGUGAAUUUUGUCCAUGAAUAAGAAGAAAGCAUGGUGUUGGAAAUUAAGAGUUAAAUGUCAAUAUAUAGCUAAAACCUCCAGGAUGAGGACUUUAUGUAAGUAAUGAAAUCGGUUUUAUGCAUGUAAAAAUACCAUAACAACACUUAGGCAUAAAUUAUAAAGCCCUCGUUUUAUUUAUGUUGCACAAAGAUUCUUAUAACAGCUGAUAGAUUGGUUACAGAAUUACUAACAUAUCAAAACAGUACAACAAGCAAACACACAAUUACUUAAGUCUUCCACAUUGGACAUAUACCACAACCUUUUUCAUCAAGUUCACAUCCUUCACAACAUAUGCUUACAAAUAUAGCAACUUGUAAUCAAAUUUAUGCUUCAUAUGAUCAUGAUUCGGAAAUCAAAGGCCCUUCAUUUGAGAUGGUGAGUCUCAAUAUCCUUUGUGAGUUUGGUGGCAAGGUCUACUAUAGUUGUUGGAUCAGGGACGCUCUGAUUCAAUUUCUCGUACUGGAGGGUCCAUGUAACCAAGUUGUUUUGGCCAUGAUUUUCAACCUGAACAAUAAAGGUGAAGCUCUUGUACAACUUCAACAGGUCUCCUUUAAUCACCUUAAAUGUGACUGACUUCUUUUCCUUAUCUAUAGACUCAAUUAUCUCCUUCGCCACCUUCUUUUGUCCAUCUGAAAAGACGUGAAUAGUGGAAUUAAUUAACCGAUACGUUAUGUAUUGGAUUUCGAAGCCGAAAGGCAUAAUUUUAAACGGCCAAAGUCUCGCCAGCGCAACUUUAAGCAACGUAGACUUGUUGAGUAUUUAAGAAUACAUAAGCAACUUAUAGAGCAAAAAAAAAAAGUAUUAAAAUUGUAAUAAGUAAAACGAUGGAAAGAAUCAGAAACUUACCGUGAGUAUAUGUCCAGAAGAUGAUAGAUCCUACUGUUCCCCAAUCACCAUGAUGCAGCUCACAACCAUGAACGAUAUCAGGGCUUAUGGAGGACAUUUCAUGUGGUUUGUUUUUGAAGAGCUCAUGAAACACAUCUCCACUGGACUUAAUUUCGAUUUGGAAAACCUGUUUACCAGUUAGACUCAUUUCUUCAGAGAUCUAUUAACCAAGAAACGAAGACUGAUGAAAGCAAGGGGUUAAAAAUGGUUUAGGCAUGAAUAAUUGAACAUGAAUUUAUAUCAAUGAGAAAAAUGCUGUUUUCUUUUCUUUUGUUUGCAUAUCGCUUUCGCACUAUCUUACUUCAUAGAUCAUGCAGUAGUGCAAUGUACUAUCAUUUAUUAAAUAUUCUGACUAUUUUAGAAUAUAAAAUUUAUAAGGAUAUUGUUAUAGAAUUAGUCUGGGCGUUAUUUGAUUCCAUACAAGAAGUUUUGCAAUCCGUACUGUUGGUGAUGUAUAUUUUUCCCUUUAAUCCAAGUAAAACAUACAAAGGAUGCUUCUUCUUGCUUGGGAGAACAAAAAGUUCUAAAGAGGGAAAAAAAAAGAGAGCAAAAGCCCUUUUGCCAUCCCCAGUUCGGAAGUCUUAGAGCUGCCUAUGGAGCAUGGAAAAUACUUAGAUUAGCAGUGCAGCCAUCAAAGAUCCAUAUCACCAAUUGUGACUACUUACAUGGCAACAUGGUUUGUAAAUAAGCUCAUAAAUCGUGGAUCAUUCAAGAAUUUUCCAUAAAGUAUAGAGGCUUUGCAUAGGCGAGCAGUAAAUCCUAGCCUAUUAAAUUUGGACAGGAUAUACUGUUCAUAUGUUUAAUUGUAGCAAAUAUAUCUUUCAUAAGUACUUCAUUUAGGUAAUGUGUAUAUGGUAUGGCCUAUGGGUACUAAAAUUGCCAUUUGUAUACUUUCAUGAAUUAUUUUCAACUUUGGUGACGCUCAUUCAAUUUGUAAACGAUUUUUAUGAUCAAACAAGGUAACUUUUGUUUCGAAGAAAUAGAUCUGCAAUCUUACUAUAAUUCUUUGGUCAUACUUAAAUUGUUAAUCUAGCAUAGGGACUUUUUAAUGUAUAAUACAGGCUUCAAGAAAUUAUGAACAAUAAAAUACAAGUGAUCGAAACAAAUAAAGCACUUACAAAAAAAAUAAGUUAGGGCAAAAUACACUUUACCCCCUUAUGGUUUAUCGAUUUUUUAUAUAACCUCCAUAUGGUUUCAAAAGCUAUACAUAACUCCCUCAUAAUUUGGAUUAAAAUAUCAAGAUGACGGAAUUUGCAUACCACAAUGGAGCCAACUAAAAUGUCAAAAGUAUUCCUAUGUAAGGUUAAAAAUUAUUUAUUAACUAUGAGGGGAUUAUGUAUAUAUUUUGAAAAUUAUAAGGGAGUCAUAUGGUAAAACAUAAAACCAUACAAUGUUAGAGUGCCAUGCAUAUUAUGUUUACAUAUUUUAGUCACUUCAACCAUUUUAGUUUUAUGGGUUCCGUUACAAAUGAUCAUUUUCGUUACAUUGAUACUUUAAUCCAAACUAUAAGGGAGUUAUAUAUAACUUUUGAAACUAUAAAGAGGUUAUGUGAAAAUUUACUAAACCACAAGGGGGUAAAGUGUAUUUUGUCCAAUAAAUUAAGUAAAAGUUAAAUACGUAAAAUACUUAGAAGCCAAGAAGGCUUUUUGUCUAACGAUUAAGAUUGAAACUCUAGAAAUUAGAAAUCUUGAAUUAAGAUCUCUCAUCUCUCCCUCACGUCUUAAUUCUCACCCCUCCUUAGAUAAAAAAAAAUUUUAAAUAUAAAAUAUCAUUCCGUGGAAGUAAUUUGUUUGGAGCUCAUUCUUCCCAUGAUAGAGUUGAGCUUGUGAAUCAGAGAUGCAUUACUUCUUUACUCUCCCCAACACCUUAUUGUUUAUCUAUAACAGUCAUGAGUCUUUAUCUAGAGACAACAGGAAGAAAGACAAGUUAGAAGAUUUGCCAAAAAUGAAUAUUAAACCUUGUAAUAUUCAGCAAAGGGUGCAAAAUAUUCAGAGAUGCAUGAUUGACAAUUACAUAACUUGUAAAUGCAGAAUUCCAUUAAUACGUGUGUACAUUAAUACGUAUGUAUUAUCAGUAAACUCAUAGUUAAACAAAUAAAGUAACAAUGUGUCCACCAUCCUCAGAUCUUUCUGGGCCACAACAUAAUCGCCCCUCGAAUAUGAUGGAUUACGAGUUAUUAAUUAGUCUUAAACUGUUUAUGAGUAUAAUAAUAUUCUCGUAGAAGUUAUUGUGCAUUAGGAUAUAAUUAUCCACUCAAUUUACUGUCAAUUGAAUUUUCUGCUUUCCAAUUACUUAUAGAAUUUACAUACACAAACCACAAAUAAUUUGUAUAAGUUUGUAGCGAUAAACAUUAAGGUGCCUCGAUGAUUUGGCCACUCUUUGGAAAGAUGAUCUUCAAGAUAAGAGAGUACAGCCUUAUUGCCAUUGACUAGUCAUGAUCACCAAGAUGUACAAUACAUGGGCUCUUAUUUAAUUGAUGACACGAUCCACCAGCUUUAUAUGUCAGUAUUUUUUUUUUUUUUUUGUGGCAAACCCCGUGCACGGGGUGGAAUGCCAGUCCAACUUUUAUUAUGAAAGAUAAAAAAUACAUAACGAGAGACCACACCUUACCUCCAGCCUAUGAGACCGAUCAGACAAAGUUACCAUCCGUGUAUACCCCUACGAAAACUAGGACAACCCCACCUAACUAAAGUAACAUGGCAAUGAGACCGAUUAUAUGCCGGUCCUUCAAAUUAAUUAAUGUACCCAAACAAUUAAACGGUAGUUGCCAGGCAUACAUUUGUGGCUAGUAUAGAUGGCAAUGGGUUGGCUGAAAAUCUGUGAUGAAUAUAUAUAUAUAUAUAUAUAUAUAUAUAUAUAUAUAUCCCAAUUACAAUUUGUCGAUACAUGCCUGCACAAGUUGAAAAAAUGCGAGAAACCAAAAGGAAAAAAAAAAAAAAAUUUUGUGUAGGAGACCAAAAUCAAGACACAUAAAUAAAUUUAAAAAAAUGACUUUCAAGGAACAAAACUCUUUUCCUAAUGCAUGACACCUGAUAGAAAAUGACUUAUGUAUUUGUGCCGCUUGUCCAAGGAAAAAAUAAAACUAGGUAAGAGAGGGGCAAGACAAGGAAAAAUUUCAUGAUAUAUCAAUACUUCUGCUAAUGGGCACAGCAGGGCAAGGAUCUUAAGAAUGAAUAUAUGAAUUCCAAUUCAAUUAUUCAAAAAAAAAUGCUAGACUAAAUCGAAAUGAGACCUCAUAGUGUAAUAAUAUCGGUCAGGCCCUGAUUCUCAAUAUCUAUCUCUUCAAUUUACUCUGCAAACUUAUUAAACCACAUUCUUAAAAAAAAAAAUCCAUGGCCCGCAAUUUUAUUUGAUAUAUUCACAAUGUCAUUUUUCCCCUCUUUUACUGGCUUUGGGCUUCCUUUUUUAUAUAUUUUCUUGACAACAACUCUUAUCACACGUAUCAUGGCAUUUUUAUUGAGCUUGACGUCAAAUAAAUAUUCAUCAUAUCCUUUCAUUGGAUGCGACGGCAGAGAAAUUGACUCUAUAUUAUUACUUCGUGCUUGAAGACGGUAAAAUAAUAAGAUUUAGAUAAGCACAAAAAAAAAAAAAGGAGAAGUUGGUCUACUACUAAACUUUGAAAUUAUCAUUCAUCUCUUGAAUUGUAACACUUUCACAAUAAAAGUUUUUAUCCUUUUGGACAAAGAAUAAUGCCACACCAACUUCUUAUCUGUUGCACUUAAGGCGCUAAAUAGACGAACCCAAAAAAUAAAUGCUAAAUGAACGUAUUUUCUAGCUAUCUAUAUCUAUCUCCAUGUUAUUAUGAUAUCCAACAAUUUGCAAUUGUGAGGUUAGCUACAGCCUGUGGUGCGUAUUUUUUUGGCACAAUUGGUGGUUUCCUUUAUUGUCACUAGUCAUAAUAGAAAAAACAACUCACUCAUGUUUGGAUAUAUUAUUACUUGAAAAAAAAAAAUUAUACUUGUAUCAGAAGCACAUUUUUUCAUUUUAUUUUUAUCUUUCGAAUUUUUUCUUUAUUUCACAAACUUUACAUACAUUGUUAUUAAAUUCAGCCCAUAUAUCAACCCAAUUCAGUAACUAGUUCAAUGGGAUAUUGGUUCAACCCAGGAUUCACUGAUUGACUCGAUGGUUGUAUUAUAUAAUAAAAUAAUGUAUUUGGAUUAUUAAAAAUAAUAUAAUCAUUUAACAAGUUGUUGAACCGCCAAUUUUUUGAGAUUUUACGAAUUGAAUUGAUAAACCAUUGACUAGUUAAUGUGCUCCUCUCUUAAUUGAUCUAACUACUUACCUAGCCCGAUUAGGUAGCUAGUUCACCAAGUUGUCUAGUUGAACCUAGGGGUGUAAUCGAAUCGACUCGCGAGCAGCUCGGUCAAAAAUUUGACUUGAACUCGGGUUGACCGAGUUCGAGUCUAAUUCGAGCGCCUCUAUAAAGCAAACGAGUCGAGUUCGAGUAUUCAGAAGCAACGCUCGAGAGCUAGUCGAGCCUUAUUGAGCUUUUUAAUUUUAAUUCUUUAAUAUAUUAUUAUUAUAAAAUUACUCUUAUAUCCAAAAGAGUUAUUGAAUUUACGAAAUGUUUCAAGUCGAAUAAAAAUUUUAAAAGAGCAAUAAUGUCUUUUCACUAAAAAAUUAUCAAGAAAAUGAAAUUUUGUAGCACGAUAAGACUCGAAUUGACUCGAACCCAUGCGAGUCGAGCUCGAGCUCCAAUAAUACUACUCGCUCGAGCUCGAGCACCUUUCUUGUAUGUCGAGUCGAGGUCGAGUAUGGCACUCGAUUACAUCCCUAAUUGAACUGUCGAAUUGUGUCAUGAUUAUAUCAUAAAAUGUACUAUAACAAUUAUUUCAAAUAAUGCCUUCGUCAAAUCUCCAAACAGUAACUUUGGACUGACUUUCGAACCCAUUGUUGUUGAAGCAUACAAUUCGUUGUAGGAACUAUCCCAAAAAACAAAAAGAAGGUUGGAACUAUUAAUUCAGGUAGGAUAAAUCAAACAAAAACAAAAGUAUAGAUUUGGUCCUCGUAGGCAAGAUUAGAUAUGACUGGUAAUUGCUACAGCUACCGAAACAUCAAUAGAUAGCAACAUUUCAAGAAUUGAUAGUACAGUCCUAUCAAUUGAUUACUAGGACCGUCGAUUGAUAGUAAAUUUUUCCGUCAUUUUCGUAACAUGAUAAAAAUUUUCUACACAGUAUACAGUAAAAGAAAAACUCCAAUCUAGGAGUCAAGACUACUCGUGAAAUAUGUAGUACAAGAAUUUGAAGUUUUCUACUUUUAGCUGUCGGAUUUUUGUUUUUUACUAUGGUGCAUUUGAAUUGUAUGUUAAUGCAGGGUCAGUUAGCUAGUCGUGAACAACAUAUAAUAGUACGUAAGGUAUUUGGACCCUACGUCUGAUGUAAGGGCCAAAUUGGUGAGUAAUAUCUAAGUGCCUCUGUAAGUGUAAGUGUAAGUGAUCUAUAGCUUCAAGAGUAUAUCCUAAUCUUUGAUGAUGAUUGGAGUCGAAAUUAUUUAAACUUUAUUCUUACAAAAAAUGAAACAUAAGAGGAAAAUAUUUUUCACGAAAACCUGACUUCUUUUUGUAACGAGCUUUGUGAGGAAGAACUAAUUGUUCUAUAUGGCGAAGUUUCCAUUACGCCAGUGCAUUAUGCACCACAACCUAAUUUAUGAUGUGCUUCUGCUUCUCAUUAUCUUGGUCUAAUUCUAUUUUUUCUUCACGAGAUAAGAAAAACCAUUCCCAACGUAGACAUGAAAUAAAGUUAAAUUCAAAAUGAGUUACUAAUAUGUUUGGUUACAAUCUUUUAAUAUUGAAUCGAUUUCACCUUUAACUUAUUUUAUGUUGUUUUAACAUUGUCUGACUUAGAUGCACGAUUGUAAUGGAGGAAUUGAGAGUUGAAAAAAAAAAAAAAAAAAAAAAAAAAAGGUUUCGCUUACCGAGUUUCUCUUCAGCUAAUGGAUUAGUACCCAAAAAAAAAAACUUCACUAUGGGCUUUUGGUUUUUCGAUUGGCCGUUACAGUAUGUACCUGAAAUUAUGUACCUUCCCAAAAAGUCCAAAUCCUUCACUCUCAUGGGCUUUACCUGGGAUUGUUUUUAAAUUUUUUAACUUCCUUGCGUGGAUACUGAAAAAGCAGUAAAGUACAAAUGAAGCAUCUUAAGACCAUAGAGGUAUGGCCGUUAACAAAAGAAAUUCGAAAGAACAUAUCAUUUUAGGUUUGAAAUAGGGGUUUACAUGAGUCUACUUAAACUCAACAUGUUAAUGUUCAAAUUUGAUUGAUUAGUUUAUUUGCCAUACCGAACUCAAAUAAGCUUUUAUCAUACUGAGAUUGAGUAUCUUGAAUUUUCACAUGUAAAUUUUAAGUUUUAUACUAAUUGAGUUAGAUUCCAAUUGAAGUCGAAACUUCUCUGAGGAAAAAAAUUAUUUAUAUUUGGAUUGAUUAGUUGGUUACUUAAAUUCAAAUGAGUUUUUACAGUGCCAAAUUUGAUUUGAAUAUUGAGUAGGUAAUUGUGGAUGAUGCAACGCUUGGAAUAAUACUUGACGAUAUUAGAAAACUUAGGCCCUAUUUGACAACUCAAAUCAGCACUUAAAAUUAAUAAAUUCAGAUUUUAAUAUAUUCAAAUGCAUUUAAUAACAAAAAAUAGAACUUUUGAAUUAAUUAAAUGACACUAAAUUUUUUGGGUAAAACUUGCUCUGAAAAAAUAAGUAAUAAGUUAUUGAGUUAUCACUUAAUAUGAUAUACACUUAAAUAUAUCAGAUUUAGUAUUUAGCAUUUCAGUAAUUUAAUGGAUUCAGAUAUUAGUUUUCAAAUUUUAGUUUUAUUAAACACGCCCUUAGGAAGCGUUUAUGUAAAUAUUAACUUUCCCUUUAUUAAAAGGGAAGGUAAUUGUGUAAUUCACAAGUUGGCAAAAUUUAGCUUCAACGUGCUUAGUGAAACUUUGUGGAAGGCGUCCUUCCGCCCUUUGAUUAGUUGGAUUAGCCAAAGAUGACAUAGGAGCUGUUGCUCCAAUUAUGUAACUACUUUUUGCAAUGGCAAUACAUUUCAGUUAUCAUUUGCAAAAAAGAAGAAAAAAGAAAAAUUUAAUCUUUCAGCUCUAAUUUGAGAAAGAAAUAAAGUUUUAUAGGAUUUUACUCAUUAAAACAAUUAUCGAUUAAUGGAACGCUGGACUUUGAAGCUCGAUGCUUAUACAGAAUGAACAAUCAUGGUUAAAAAAUUCACAUAUGUUUGAUAGGUUCUAGGGCAAUUUGAGUUCAUUAACUAAAAGAGCCAUGCAAACUCGAGCUCCAGGUCGCACCACCACCAGAAACCAGACAAGUAAUAGAAGGAAGAACCAGUAGAGACUAAAAAACUCAUACGUGCAAGCAUCAAAUUCAUUUCAGUUCUCCACACACAUAAUACAAUCGUCGUAUGAUUCGGCUCAUCACAGCAUAGGUUUUGUAGAUUGACCUUCCAAUCAUUGUUAAUUUCACGCCAGAUCGAUAUGAUGACUAGAUGAUCCCUUUAUUUGAGAUGGUAAAUCUCAAUAUCUUUGGUCAAAUUUAUGCAAUUGUCCAUCAAUGUAUUUGGAUCUGGGAUGUUCUCAAUUAAUUUCUCGUACUCGAAAGUCCAAGUCACUAACUUCUUAUAUAACCAUAGGUAUCAACAUGAACAGUUGCGAUGAAGGUCUUACUAUAUAACUCCAUCACAUCUCCUUCAAUUACCUUAAAACUAUGCCAACUACUUUUCCUCAUCUAGCUCCACAAUUAUCUCUCCUUUGCAUAUCUCUGUUUUCCAUCUGUAAAACAAACAACAAUUCGGUAAAUGAAUCGAAAGAGUAUAGAGUCACAUAUAAAUCAAUUAGCAUAGAGAGCAAGACCCCGGGUUGCGUGUUUGCGUGUUUGUGUGUGUGUUUUUUUUUAACAUAUGAUUACAAGUAACCAUAAUAUAACCACUAGAGUCAGCUCAGAGAUUAAUGAAGAAGAGCUCUUAGAGUUUUCACUGCUGUCAGGUUCAAAUCCAUAAAUAUUGGGAUAAAAACAAGCAUCUGACAACAUAAUUUGUCUCUUGGAUGGGUAGAAUAACUACAUAUUUCUAACUGUACUAAUCCUUGCCUUAGCUACAGUCGCGAAGCCACACUAUGCUGAGGGGGGAUAAUUUUCCCCCUCAACUUUACAAAAUUUAAAAAAUAGUUUUGAAACUAUUAAAAAUAUUUAUAUUUUUAUCAUAAUAGCACCUCCUCAAUUGUGAAAGGUACACGUUUUCCUCUACAUUGUCUCCCUAUAUUAUGAGAAAUUUUCAUUCUCCUCACAUUAUCUUCCUUAAACAACCAAUUUUUAAGACAUACUUCCUAUAAUACAGAUGUUUUAAAGCUAUUAAAACACAAAAUUGUUAAGGACUUGAAUAAGAAAUAAAUUGAAUAAUUUCACAACACAAAAAAGUCACAAUAAAAAUAUUAUCUUUAAUUAAAUUUCUCUUUACAUAAUAAUGACAUUAUCUUAGGUGUAUAAUAUUACCCCCACUGGCUAUAGGUCCUAGCUCCGCCAAAAAUUGACCAUAUCUUUUAAAGGAGAUAACAACAUGCCUAGUCAUUUCCUCACUUCUGAUACUAAAAAAAAGAUAAAAUACAGUAAAUUUUGGAAGAAAAUACCAAUGGAAAUAAUGACGAAAUUAAAUCCAAAUUUUUACCGUGGGUAUACUUCCACACUUGCAUGGCUCCUACACUUCCCCAAUCACCAUCAUGCAAUUCAACACCUUGAACAAGUGAAGGGCUCAUAUCGGAUAUAUGAUGUGGUUUGUCUCUAAAUUAAGAUCUCAUGAAACACAUCUCCAUUCAACUUUAUCUCGGUUUGAGAAACCAGCUUACCAGUUAAACUCAUCUCUUCUUAGUUCUGUUAAUUAACCAAGAAAGGCAGAUCAAAGCAAAUACUAUCAUUGAAAAGACUACAGGGAUAUAUAGAGUCAAUUGUCAGGGAUACCAUUAAAAAAAAAAACCAAAGAAAGAAACGUGAUUGUGCAGAAAUACAAGUUGGGCACUUUUAAAAGGUCACAAUUUCGAAAUUUGCACGCAAAAAGAAUUUUAACUUUAUCAAGGUUGGUGAUGCAUCCCUCUCGAUUUUAGGAGGUCCAGGAUUGAAGACUUUUCAAAACAUGGAAACUAUAAUAUCUAAAACCUUAAUUUAAAGAUAAACCAUUGAUGAUGAUUGGUAUUAUCAGGAAGACAAGGGACAUAUUCAAGAAGAUGUACAAUCACACACAAUUUUAGCUGCAAGAUGUAGCCGACCUCUAAUGUAUCUGUACAUCUUGCUAGUUAGCGUAAUGAACAUUGUCAGAGAUUCAAAAUCGUGUUGGCUGAGCAAAUGUUAGCACAAAAUUGAAACAUUAUUUUACGUAGCGCUAUUAAUAGAUCUUUUAUCGGCAUUGAGCUAUUACGCAGUUUGAGUUACGUAGAGCUAUUUGUAAAUUUAUUUUGUGCGGAUUUGAAUAAACUGAAAAGAAUAAAAACGACAUCUUUUAAUGCACUACCAAUUAUUUCUGGAAAGCCAGCUCGUAGUAUAAUGCGGUCACCCAGACUCUAUGCACUAUUAAUCUGACAUAUUUACAUUUUUUUUUGGUUCAUAUACUACAUGGCAUAGUUAUAUUAUUGAGCUUGAAAUCAAAUGUUCAUAAAAAUUGGUCUCCCUAAUUUAAUUUUAUCAGCCCACCCUCCAAUUGAAUGCCACGGCCAAAGAAAUUGUAACUAUACUCUAUUAAUAUGAGUGAAUACCAUCAAACAAAUGUCCUACAUGAAUGCAUUAUUAUCAUUGAAUCUGAUAUUUCAAAUGCAAAAAAAAAAAAAAAUCACAUUUUGUACAAACACUUAAUUAUAACUGAAUGUGAUAUUUUGAAAUUGACAUUCAAUACAAACUUUUGUCUUAUAUUGAAUUUGAAUUUUUUAACAUGCAAUUAAUACAAAAUUUCAAAUUUAACUGAAUUCAAUUUCUCGUAAAUCAUAUUUAGUAUAAAAUCCUAAUUUUAACUCAAAGUGACAUUCGGUAUAAGCUCUUAAUUUUAUUUGAAUUUGAUUUUUCGAAAGUCACUUUCAAAACAAACUAUUAAUUUUAAGUAAAUGAGAUUUCCUUGUAGUCACAUGCUGUACAAACUCAUAAUCUUAGCUGAAUUUGAUUGUUAAUUUGUCGAAACUUGAAGUAACGCAUUUGAUAUAUGUAACAUAUUUGUGCAUUUGGUAUUUGAUCAAUGUUUCAAAGCAGACUUGAGUAACAUAUAUAUUUGGAGACGUACUGAUUUAUAAGUCAAUAUUCCUAGCUAGUCAAUCCAUUUUCAGGAUCUUAAUCUUUUUUUUUUUUUUUUUUUUUUUUUUGUGUUUGCUGAUUCUGUUUAGUUCAGCUAAUCUUACUCGAAAGCCAAGGCACAUUGAAGAAAGAAAGAAAGAAAAUUAUACACAAAUAUUACAGCACAAAAACAUUUUAGGCAUCAAGCCAUCAUUUUAUUUAUAAAUAUUCAUUGUAAUUAGUAUAUCAAACACACAAUCACAGCCACAACAAAUUUAAUAAAGCUCUCUCACCAAGCUUAUAACAUGACAUACAUAACCUUAACAAGCUUUUAUUUCAUACUCACACCAUUCUAUCUCUUAUUAUUAUUCAACUAGCGAAAUAACUAUGCAUGUUCAUGCCUUGACAAGUGAAGCAUCCACGUCUUUUCCAGCAUGAAUCAGCCAGUGGAGGUACUUAGUUGGAGCAGGCUCAUUCUCAUUGAUAUUCUCAUACUCAAUUGUCCAUUUGGCAUAGUUGGACUGACUUUUUGGAAUAACUUGUAAGGUAGCCUUGUAGCUCUUUAAUUGUUCCAAAAUAUGUCCUCCAACUGCUUCUGCAGUGACAGUCUUGUUCUCUUCAUCCACCGUAAGCCUUUCUUUCAGAGUCUCAACUUUUCCAUCUGGGCAGUAAAAUAUUUAUCAAAUUAUGCCAUUAUUAUAGGGAUAUUCUACCAAAUUGGUGGCAGAAAAACAUUAAGUUAUGAUGCAUAUCAUCUUGAAAUUCCCAGGAAAAUCACCAUAAUAUCAAACUGUUCUACACUAACUUUUAAAAAAAAAAUAAUUCAUGCAACUCAAAUUAGUAACUAUCAAUCUUACAAAGUAGAGAGUUGGUUUUUGCUACCUAUUGCAUAAGUCCAGAGCUUGACAGAGCCCUUAGUUUUCCAGUCACCUUGAUGAACUUUAACACCAUGAACUUUGUCGGAGCAAAGAUUUGGAAGUUUGUGCGCUUUACCACCAAAGCUGUGGAAGAACUCAUCAGGAUCAGACUUAAUCUUUAUCUCAGCUUCUAACUUUCCAGCUAGAAUUGGACUAGCCAUAAUUGGUUGUAGUAAUGCUGAAAAAUCGCUAUGCACCUUUUCCUAGUAAAUGUUCUACCAACUAAACUGGCUGCACCAUGAUUUAUAGAAUCAAAUUUUCAUUUCACAGUAGCUUUUAGAUUAUUACGUAGAUUAAGUCAACAUUUUGUGCAAAACUGUUUAGCAUAGAUGGUUAAUUGAGUGAAUGCAAAACUUUUUUAUGACAAAGUAUGUUCUAUUUGCAGUAACAAACUUGAUAGUUUUAUUAGAGAGGUAAAAAAUGUCAUAGCAUUUAUUCACGUGGUAAGUAGACAAAAAAAAGAUUUUUUUUCCAAACUUUAUAAUGUUUUUGGGAUGAUUGGAAAGGGAAAUCAGAGUAUGUUGACAAAUUGUUUUUUUUUUUUUCCUUUUUUUAUAGGUACUCACGCGUAUUGUUACAAGAAUGGAAAUGAAAAAAAUUUAUUUUGGCCCUUCAAAUCAAGAAAUUGUACAUUUGUCCGCUUCAUGAAUGGUGAAGCACAUCAGAAAGUCAUGUUUUUUUGUUUAUUCAUUUUUCUUUCUUUGUUCGAUACUCAACAACACGAUGGAUACGCUCAGCAAAAGUCGCAAACGCCAAAAUCUUGAUGAAAGCAGCUCUUCAGCCAUCAUCAUGUUGAAAAUACUGCAAAACAGUAGUGAAGGGCAUUGCAUUCAUGUAUCAAUAAGGCUACUUCUAAGACAAGAGAAAAGGAUUUGAAUAUUUUCUUUUUAGCUGCACCAAUCUAAUUGUUUGCUAAUUUUGGGCAAUUGACUAGUAUGAUCAUCUCAUACAUUAUCUGUAUUUGAUAAUUGAUAUAGGUAAUUACCUGCCAAUGAAUAAAACCAAUUACACGGUUUAAAAAGGGAACCUAAUUGGUACAAAUUGAGAUAGUUACGUUGACAACUACAUUGUGGCAUUGGAGAGAGGGUUGAAUUAGAUGAUAAGUUAAGAGAGAUUGUAAGUAAGAGGUUUAGGGUUAAAGACCUCCCACUUACAAGCCAAAAAAAAGACAACUUCAAGGUGGCAUAAAGUGACUAAAUUGAAUGUUCAAUUUAAAAAGUGAGAACUAAUGCCAUAAUACAGAGUAACAACUUCAAAGUGGUGGUUGCUAAUAAUUGUCAUCAUAUAUAUGCAAUAUUUAUUGAAAACCUAGGACCAAUUGCCAUAUACAGGGAUAAAGAUCUUACUAAUCAGUUGAUCCAUCUGAUUCGAUUACAUUCUUUUUCUUUUUCUUUUGCUUUUCAGAGAAUUGGAAUUUUAUUGCUGUAAAUCUUUUUACUGCAGCAGAAAUCUAUAUGCUCCACUACAAGCAUAUAUAUUAACCCUUGAACUAGCCAGUCCAGGUUUUUUUGUUGGACUAGGCUCAUUCUGGUUCAGUUUUUCAUAGUCAAUGGUACAUUUGGCAAAGCUGGAGUCACCUCUGGAGAUAACUUGUAACGUUGCUUUAUAGUUCUUGUAGUGCUUCAUACAAUCUCCAUCUAUUGCCUCAGCAGCAUUGGUCUUGUUCUCCUCGUCAAUUUUGAGCCUCUCUUUGUAUACCUCAACUUUCCCAUCUAUAUUUGCAUCACAAAGAAAUUCAUUAGUGGCUUUUCUUAACAUUGAAUAAUGUUUUACUCUUAAUUUGUUGUUUCCUAUAUUAUCUAGCUAUUAGGCUCAAUUUGCCACAUUUUGGGAAAAACGAAUUUAACAAGAAAAUGUAAUGGAGAAAAGUAUCAAUUAUUAAAAACUAUUGAUGCUUCGUUACGCCAAACUAAACUACAAUAUAGACUCCUUAUCCUUGAUGUCUUUCUCAUUUCGUUAGGAAAAUUAGAUAAUUGACUGAGUAUGCUAACUACUUCACAAGCUAGAUCGCAUAAAAAAAAUAAAAAUUCAUAAAACUUAAAGGAGUAAAUGAACAUUAAGAUACAGUAAAGUGAUGGUUUUACCUAAGUACAACAAAUAAGAAGUAGGCGUGGCAUUAUUUUUUGUGCAAAAGGGUAAAAACUUUUAUAAUGAAAGUGUUACAAUUCAAGAGAUGAGUGGUAGUAUUGAAAGAAAGAGUGUAAGUGAGAGAUUCCGAAUUCGAAACCUCGCACUUACACUAAAAAAAUGAUAGUAAUUUUAAAAGUUUAGUAGAAGGUCCUCUUCUUCUUCUUCUUCUUUUCUUUGUGCUUAUCUGUUGCCUUUAUAAAACUCAAUAGAAAAAUCUUAUUAUUCUACCGUCUUCACAUAAGAAGCAAUAAUAUAGAGUCAAUUUCUUUGCAACCAGUGAAAGGAUAAGGAGAUAAAGUCAAUUGAGGAGGCUAAUUACGAUAAUAUGUUAAGCUCAAUAAAAAUGCCAUGAAACAUAUGAUAAGAGUUGUUGUCAAGAAAUUAUACAAAAAGAUACCGAGGGAAGCCCAAAGCCCGUGAAAGGAAUAUAAAAAAUAAAAGAUUGUGAAUAUAUCAAAUAAAAUUGCGGUCCAUGGGCACGAAAUAAGUUGAGUACAAAUUUUGGUAUGAUCGAUUCAUAAAUUUCUGCUGAAAGAUUGUCUCCUGAAUUAUUUGUGGACAUCGAUUGUGAUGGCUCGGAAAACUUAGUUUCCUCUAAUUCAACAAAUUAGUUAUAUGUUGAUUUAUUUGAUCGAUUCAUAUAUAGCUUGCUUUAUCAGUUACCUUUGAUUCAAAAGUCAGUCCACUGUUUGCAGUACUUACUUAUAAGAAUGUGGUUUAAUAAUUUUGCAGAGUAAAAUUUAGAGAGGUUUUGAGGGCUUAGUUGACGAAAAUUUAACAAAUAUAUGGAAGGCCAAGCUAAGAAUCAGGGCCUGACAGAUAUUAUUACACUAUGAGGUCUCAUUUCGAUUUACUCUACCAUUUAUUUAUUUUUUGAAUAAUUGAAAUGGAAUUCAUAUAUAUUCAUUCUUAAGAAAUUGUUCUAAUAUUGCCCCUUUCCUACCUAGUACUGUAUUAUUUUUUCUUGACAAGGCGCACAAAUAAAUAAGACAUUUUAUUUUAGUUGUCAUUGAUAGGUUGCAAUUUUAUCAUUUAUUUUAUUAUUAAUUUUCCCUAUUACCUGACUUGAUGUGAAUUAAUUAUUAGAUUCUACUCACUUUUCGUAAUUUACAUUUAUUUCAGAGAGUAGAACAAAAAUAUCACAAUCAAGGCCAAUUUGACAGUCAUCGGGAAAGAAUUCAAAUAGCAGGCAAUUAAAGGCAUUCUUGGAACAAGGAGAUGCAAGACCUUUUUGGUAAUUUUGAGCCAAGACAGCAACUAAAAAAGGGAAAAGAAAGCAAACCUGGGGAAGCGUCCAGAGGCUUCGUCCUCUCCGCAAGGGGGAGCCGCCGCACAAGGCAGGAGCAAUAGAGAGGAACUAGAAUUGGAAAUGGCAGGAGGGGAGCACUACUCUGGAGCUUUAGCGUUGACUUUUCCUUCCUUUGCUUCUUAGUAGUUUUUGUCUUCUCUCGGAUGUCAGGAACAAUUGAAGCAUUGAAUCAUUUCCUUGUAGCUUUUUCGUUUGAUUUUUCCUUGUGACCUGUAGUGGAUUCCUCCUGCCACAUGAUGGCCGCAGCUCUUGUUUCAAUUUUGUAUGGGUUUUGUUCAUCAAAUAUAAACUAAUUUUCUCAUUCUAGUCAAGGGACAACGGAUGCUCUGAUUCGACUAAAAUUGUGAGAUCGCUUUAAUUUUAUCCUUUUCUUUAUUUAUUGGUAUUCGCAUAUUUCCUGAUUAUAGUACUUAAGAUUGUUUAAUUAAUUGAUUGUCUUGGAUCCGGAUAAUUAGUUAAUUUGAUAAUCUAUUGUCAAUUGGGACGUUAAAUCCGUAAUUGUUUAAUUGUCUCAAAAUAGUGAUAACUGGCAUGAUUGGGUUUGUGUUAGGGGGAUGUGCGGGCCAAUCUGAAAUAACCCUGGUAGUGCGUUAUUUGGUUAGAAUAGGGCUCCUCUAAUUCGUAAGGCAAUUGAGGAAUUAAAUCUUACGGGCGUACCUAAGAUUAUUUUUUAAUUAGAGUAGUGAUUAACGGACGUACCUUAAUCACCGAUACAGUAAGGAGGGGUUAACUGUCAUCGCUUGUUUGGCAGUUAUAACCUAUUUAUUAGUAAAUAAUUGGAAUUGCCUUUGUUUCAAUGAUCAAUUAGGUGAACCAUUGCUGAAGUUAUUUCUUGGCUAGAUCCUUAAUUAUCACUCAUUUGAUUUUAGUAAUUUGUUAUUUAAUUUUUAGUAGUUUCUUAGAUUUUAUUUGAAUUUCUUUGAGUGUCACCUUCUGCACAAAAACAUUCCCCUUUGUCACUGUGAAUUUGAAAAGAAACAAUUACUCCCAGUCCCUGUGGAUUCGACCCUACUCACCGCUAUCUACAGAAAUUACUUUUAGUUUGAGCAGGUUUUAUUAUUGCACAGGUUUCGACACCCUGUCAGUCAUGAAUUAGGAAAAGAGCUUUUUUCCUGAAAUUCAUUUUUUAAUGUUUCUUGAUUUUUGUCUCCUACCAAGAAAAAAAAAAAAAAAAGUAUCUGUCCUUUUGGUUUCUCAUAUUUUUGCAACUUUUGCAGGUAUGUAUCAACAAAUUGUCAUUGGGAUAUAUGUGUGUGUUUGUGUGCGCGUGCACGCAUGUGUAAAUGUAUGUAUGUACAUAUAUGUGCAUAUGUGUAUGUAUGUACAUACAUACAUAUAUACAUACAUAUAUAUGUAUAUAUAUGUGUGUAUGUAUAUAUAUGUAUACAUAUAUACACCACACCACACACCACACCACACACAUGCAUAUAUAUAUAUAUAUAUAUGUGUGUGUGUGUUUAUGUAUAUAUAUGUAUGUAUGUAUGUAUGUACAUACGUACGUUCAUCAAGGAUUUUCAGCCAACUCAUUGCUUUGUGUACUAGCCACAAAGGUAUUCCUAACAACUACCAUUUAAUUGUUGGAUACAUUAAUUAAUCUAAAGGACAAACCUGCAAGGCUGUUGGAUCUCAUUAAUUAAAUAAGAGCCCAGUGUACAUCUUGGUCAUCAUGACCAGUUAAUGGCAAUAAGGUUGUACUCUCUAUCUUGCCGAAGAGUGGCCAAAUCGAAGAGGCGCCUUAAUGUUUAUCACUACAAACUUACAAAAAUUAUUUUGGUUUCUACAGGUAAAUUCUGCAAGCAAUUGAAAAGCAAAAAGUUCAACCGGCAGAAAAUUGUGUGGAUUAUUAAAUCUUAAUGCACAAUAACUUUUGCGACAAUCUUAAGCCUAAUUAAUAACUCGUAAUCCACCAUAAGCCGUGAUGAUUGCUGCGCCCAAUGCGAUAGGGAAAAAAUAAAAAAAAAGAAACUCGUUUUCCAGUCACCUUCGUGCACUUCAAUCCUGUUAACUUUCUCAUUCACAAGAUCUGGGAGUUGGUGUGCUUCAGCGCCAAAGCUAGGAAGAACUCAUCAGCAUCAGACAUCAGCCUGAAUUCAGCCUCCAACUUACCUACUAAUUUACUAGUCAUAGUAGAGAGUUCCUACUAAUUGAUCAAACCGAAAAAAAAAAAAAGAAGAAGAAAAGCCCUACUAAUAACCUUGAACAAUACUAUGUUUUAUGCAACUCAGCCACUUGACUACCUGAUCUAUAGAUGCUUCAUUAAUUGGUUGGCUCCCACAAGUUACAAAUGUGUGGUUCUCUUUUCUUUUAGCUGCAAAAUAUGCGUGUAAUCGUGAAGAUGAACGCAUGUUGCAAUAUCUUCUCAUGCAAAUGAUAUACUGCUGCGUUUAGCCAAUACUGUCACACUUGAUUAUUAGUUAAAUUGGUAAAUGCUCCACUUCUGUCUCCAACGGGGAAUUCAAUGGGAAAUAAUGAUGUGGGGUAUACUUCUUUUUUUAGGGGCGCCGGGUUAUACAUUUUUAUCUAAUCCUUAUCCAUAGAAAGCAGAAAUCAAAAUUGCUCUACAUUUCAAUUGAAGUCCAUGAUAAUUUUUUGGACAAGUUUGAUUUGUUUUGUACAGUUAUAUGUUUAGGACAACAUGCCAAGAAUCGACCAAAAGUAGACUCACAAAACACUAGCGUACGUAGCUUAAAGGACAAUUUCGAUUUUGCAUAGGUAAUGUUUUGAUAGAUUUUCAGCUUGCACUUUAAACUUCUAUUUUAAAGUCUUUUAGUUUUAUGAAUACACUUUUUUUUCUGUAAUCUAUCUGUAAUCAAAAUAUAUAAUGGGCUUUGAGUAUUCCUAAGAAGAAGCGCAAUUCACUUUUGCAAAAGAAGUAAAAUUAAGAAGUGAAAUUGUUAUUUAAAUUUAUAUAUUUGUUGUGCAGGUGCGUACAUUUAUUGUUCCUAUGCAUACAUUGUAGAGUUCAAUUGUAACUAACAUUGUGGAGAUACUACACGCCAAUGUUGUACUUUCUGCUGGUUUAGUUCACCUCUUUGGGGACAUUUAGCAAGAAGUCAAGAUAUGAUAAAUAAGUGUGUGUGAUACAGCAAAAUUUUAUUAAAUUACAUGACGAAAUUGUGAUCUAACUGAAGUUUUGCUCAUGUUCCUUCGUUAGAAAAUCAAUUAACGUGUUUGUUAUCACAAGAUUACUUAUGCAAUUUAGAGAUCCUCUUUUGAUUAAGAAACCAAAAGAGAUAUUUAAAGAGAGGAAACUAGAGAGAUCCUUGAAGUUUGAAGGUUCAUUAUGGUGAACCGAUGCACUUAGCAUUUAUGUCUUCUUCAAGCCAAAACACUGAGAUAGAUAUAAAGCCACACCAAACAUUUAUUGAUCUUUGCCUUCAAAAUUCGUCGAAAUUCACUAAUUAGAUUGAUCUUUUCUACACAGCAUAUAAUUGUAAUUACACAUGCAAUUCGAAAUUCAAGUUACUUGUAUUAAAAGAAUUUUGCUAGUUCAUCUAUGAUGAUACGUAAAUCAAAGAGUGCAUGGGUUAGAAAAGUUAUGGCAUGGUAUCAGUGAAUGUCGCUCGUUUUGUGGAGUUCUAAACCUUGAGGUGGUUCGGAAUUUUAUUGCAGCCAACUUUGAUCCUAAUGGGGGGGGGGGGGGGGGGGGACGGGGAUAAAAUCAGGCUUUUCCAAUAGAACUGGCUCACAGAUUAAAAGGGUGUGAUCCCUUUUCCCUCUUGCAUGUUGCAAUUUGAUUAACUUCCAGUGCGUUUAGGAAAACAUUAGUAUAAAGGAGUGAAAGAGUGCCUGAAAUUUGCAAUGGCGAAAGUGUAUGGACAUUAUUUGUGCAGACAUUUGAGAGAGAAUGCUGAGCUGAUAAUCCUUGAUGGAGCAGGGCAUUCAUGGGGUUAUGAAAAAAUCUAAGGAGUUAUAUAAGCACCUAAAAACCUUUCUCAUAGGCUGAAUCAACCAACCGACUUUAGGCACUUCAAUCCUUCCUCUUCAACUCACAGAAGAAAAUUUGUCGUUCAACUCAAUUUUCGAGGCUAAAAAUGUAGAGGAAAGCCUCUAAUCAAUUGAAUUUAUAGGUACACUUUGUUUCCCAGAAUAAAUAACUGACAAUGAUGGUUAAUAAUUCUUUCAACAAUGUUCCAUUCAUGAUGUAUCUUUACUCAAGCUAUUGUAGAUCAUACAAAUUCCACUUGUGGAAGGAAGACGGGAAAAUUAAACCAUGUUCAUGGCUGGCCACUAAAUCCUUUGUUAAUGACUUCUAAUCAACUACUACUAUUUCAAAGAUACCAUAAGACCACUAAAAAUUCAGCUAAACACAUACCAUUCUGGGUAAACGAUGUCAUGGCCCUCAAAUGACCUAAUCAGCCUAACUUCAAGGGUGCCUAUUAUGAAAAGGACCAUAUGCCCAAAUUGUUUCACAUCCUAAAUUAUCUAAGUAAAAGUAUAUUGAGACAAGAAAAAAAGAAAAAAAAAAGAAUAGAUAAACUAUGCUCCCUUUCUUUUCAAAAUAUUCAAUCGGUAAGCACUAAUCAAACUGAAUAGUCUCAAAAGCAUAACUCAAUCAUAUAAUGAUCACAGAGAAUAGCGAAAAAAGAAAGGGAGAAGAAGCGGUGGUCUAGUACUCUGGUCGCAGACUCAAAUUUUGGUUUUUGGAGAAGGGUCGGUAGUAGUGGUUUUCGACAGAGAAUGAUAGAGACUGAAGUUUGAGAGUCUGAGAGUGUGGACUUAGGGUUUAGUUCUUUUAGGAAUUUUAUUUUUAAAAUUUUUAACGGGAUCAAAUUGACUGCAAUGCCCAAGAAACUAGCUGUACUACAAAAGUUAAGGGUAGAAAUUUCUCAAUAAGUUCUGAACACUUAUGUGUUUUAAGUCAUAUAAAUUUAAUUAUUUAAUAUUUACACCAGCGCUCGAUAGCACACUAUAUUCCUACUUGCACUCGACUCAUUAAAACAAUCGAACAUGUUUGAAAUUGAUUCAAACAUGAUCAAAGUCAAAACAAGACGAUCCAUUGAUCAAGCAGCUCCAUAUGUGCACCCGAGUUGCUUGAUUCGCAUACAUUCCUAUCGCAAAAUCAUAGUAAUUGAACCUUCAACAUCGAGUAUAGGAUUGGCCUUUGUUAUUCACCUAAUGCUUAAGUACAUAGCCUGACAGAGCCGGCAUUCUUCCAAUCACCUUGAUGAACAUCAAUGCCAUGGACUUUCUCGGAACCCAGAUUUGGAAGUUGGUGUGCUUUACAACCAAAGCUAUUGAAGAACUCAUCAGGAUCAGACUUGGAUCUUUAUCUCAGCCUCCAACUUUUCUGCUGUAUUAGCCAUAGUUUUUUCUAGCUCUACUAGUAAAAAAGCUACUGAUUUUCAGCUCACCUUCACCUAGUAGAAUGCAAAUGCUAACGUAUAUGUACCUUAACCAUCGGACCACCGCUUAUAUAGGAUCAGUUCCAUUUUUCCGUACAUUUGUGAUGGUUUGUACUAAUAUCUUUGCUUUUUAUCAAUUGUGUUUUAGGUUUAUGUAGUUAUACCGCUCAUACCUAUGCUUAAAUUUCAAUAUACUAAUUGGGCUUAAGUAGCAAAGUUUUGAAAUUUAAUUUAAAAAGAAAAAAAAAAAAAAAAAGAAAACCUGGCUACAUUAUUUUUGGAUUAGGUCAGGAAAUUUGCCUUGCUAUUCUUCUUCAUCAUAGUCAAGACAAAAUUUCUGUUGUUAGACUAUUACCAAGAUUAGGUUAAUUAUCUAUGUCCUUUGAUGUGAGGCAACAUGUCCCAGAUUAAAAUUAAGGGGCAGAUAAAAUGUCAUAUUAAUCCAAGAAAACCCAACUGCAACCAGAACUAGAUUUCAUGCCAUCACCUAAGACGAGUGGGUUAGAAAGAUUUGUUUGCUUGAUAUGUGAUAAUACAGGCUUCGUUAAUAAGUUAUUAAUGCGAAUAUGCAAAACAAAUGGUUACAUUAUAGAUUCCUGUGCUUUGUGUUAAAGCUUUUUUUUUUUUUUUGGCAACAAAUUUUUGGACUGCACGGAUCAUUCCUUGCUGCUUUUAGAUUUCAAAACAGAAGCUACAAAGUACAGAACAUUUUCAGUUUUAGAAAUGCACCUCGGUUUUUCAAAAGGUGCAUUGACUACUGUAAAGAAUAGUUUCAGCUCCAUGAGAUCGAUGCCAGUAAGAUAGUUAAAUCAGCAGUGAUAAAUGUUAUGCAAUGAACCACUGUUAUAUAUAGGAAGCAUGCUGCGAUAAUGAUACCCCAUGAGGAAAAACAGAAACCCUAAUAAUCAUAGCGAUGAUAGUAACACUAAACCUAGAGUUAUGAACUAGUUCUUCGAGUUAAUUAAGAAUUUCUUGGUCACAUCUUUGUAGUCAAGUCAUCCAAACAAAAUUGUAUUCCCUCGUUUAUCCCAAUUGUACCAAGAGACCAUUAUUUGGCGAAAAAGACAACAGAGAAAACAUGUCAGACAUAAUCAUAUAAUCAGUGCUCCCAUAGCCAAAAUGCGCAGGAUUAGAUGUAGUUGGGUAUUAAUGGAGCAAAUUUCUUGACGUCUUCACUUGAGGAGAAGACGACAAACUGAAUUUAACUCAAAAAAUAAUAAUAAAAUUGCGUUUAAAGGAGCUGCAAUGAAUUUAGUUAGGAAUAUGGAAUUAACCUAUCUGGAGAAAGAUGGACAACAUUAAGCAAACAACAUGCGUUUGAAAAAGACUAGCAUUGAUGAAAGGGUUAAAUGCAAAAUACCCCCCACAAACUAUAUACCUAGUUGCAGUUUACCCCCUAAACUAUAAUAAUAGACAUUUUGCCUCCUUGAAUGAUAUGUUUGGACAAAUCUACCCCUUUUAUUUUAAGCAUUGUUAUUUUUCUUUUUUCCCUAUCAUUUUCUUUUUAAAUUCUUCCUUUUUUUUCUUUAAACAUUGUUUAAAUAAGUAGACUAGAUUAGUCAAAAUUUGUUUAUUUCUUAAUUUCAUAUGUCAAUAUUUUAUAAAAAAAAAAUCUAUGGAAUACAAGAUUUUUUUUCCAAAUGUUGAAGUCAAUGUCAUUUAUGAAAUUGAACUUUUCAAAUAUAUAAUAACAAAAUAGAGAAAUUGAUUAAUCAAUUAUUAGUAGUAUCAAUAACCAAAAAAAUGAACUACUAUUGUUGUUUAUUCUUAUUUUUUAUUUCACUACAAAUAACAAUUGCUAACUUUUCUUUUUUAUGUGAUAUAUAAUAUGUUACUUUUAUUAUAAGUAGUUGAGUAACUGUGAACUCUUAAUUAGUUUAUUGGCACUUAAAUUGUUGAAUUACUAGAUUAAUACACUUUACAAUAUAAGCUACAUAUAUUUUGUAAUAACAAAGAGUUUAUGACAAAUUAUUAAGAAUGAAUUUAACAAAUAAACAAAUUAAAAAAGCAGUUUAAAAAAUAUUAAAAUUUUUUAUGUAAGUCUUUUCACAUCGGAGAGAGGCAUUGGCUAGUUUCACGAAAGAAGGAGAAACAAAAAAAAAAUGAAAAAAUGAAAAAAGCUAAUAGAGAAAAAAAGAAAGAAAGGAUUUAAGAUAGUAGGGGUAAUAUUGUCCAAACAUAUCAUUUAAGGGGGAAAAAUGACUAUUAUUAUAAUUUAUGGGGUAAACUGCAACUGGGUAUAUAGUUUAUGGGGAGUUUUUUGCAUUUAACCCUUGAUGAAAAGACUAAUAAAGUCAACAGUAUGCCCACACAAAAUUCAAUUUCCAAGUCACCAUUCCAACCACUUCUUUGACUAAUCCUAAACUUGGAGGUUGAGCUCCAUAAAAAAGUUUAUUCAAAGGCAAAACGAUUUGGGAAUUGCAAUGGGAAGCAAGUCGUUAAAUGAAGUAAUCAAACAUCACUUAGUAAAGGCUUACUAAACUAGUUAAUAAAGAUGUUGUUGGGCUGCUGUAUUCACCAUGAAUUGAUUUAAAGAUGAAAGUUCAGGAUCUUUAACAUGGAAUAUGGUGAUUUUUCUCCAAUUCUUCCUGGCUUUCUCUUUCUCUUUUAUUCAGGUCUCCCCGGCAGGAAAACAGAUACACAUAUAUAUAUACACACACAAAAAGAGAGAGAAAACAUACGAGAUCCUUACAAAAUUUGAAGGUUCAUUAUCGUGAACCAGUGCACUAAGCAUUUAUAUCUUCAUCAAGCCAAAAAAAAAAAAAGAAAGUUAAGAUAGAUAUAAAGCCACACGAAACAUUCAUUUUGUUUUUCAUCAUUACACGUAGAAUCGUUAACACAUACAAAUUACAACCAAGCACUAACAGCAGUAGAAUUGCUAACACUUAUACAAAUUACAACCAAUCACUAGCAGGAGUAGAAUUGCUAACACUUAUACAAACACUUGUACAAAUUACAACCAAUCACUAGCAGGAGUAGAAUUGCUAACACUUAUACAAAUUACAACCAAGCACUAACAGGAGUAGAAUUGCUAACACUUAUACAAAUUACAACCAAUCACUAGCAGGAGUAGAAUUGCUAACACUUAUACAAACACUUAUACAAAUUACAACCAAUCACUAGCAGGAGUAGAAUUGCUAACACUUAUACAAAUUACAACCAAUCACUAGCAGGAGUAGAAUUGCUAACACUUAUACAAAUUACAACCAAUCACUAGCAGGAGUAGAAUUGCUAACACUUAUACAAAUUACAAUCAAGCACUAACAGGAGAGCAAAUUUUUGGAGGCUUCACUAAGCCCAGACAAUGGGGUUCAUUAAAGAUUCUCUUAUAUUAACUUAUAGAUGUAUUAUUUAUUUUCUGCUUUGAGAAGUGAAGCAUCCACAUCUUUUGCAGCAUGAAUUAGCCAUUGGAGGUAAUGAAUUGGAGGACGCCCAUUCUCACUGAUGUUCUCAUAUUCAAUACCCCAUUUGGCAAAGUUUGAGUCACCUUUUGAGAUAACCUGGAACUUAGCGUUAUAGGUCUUGUAUUGUUCCAAAAUGUGCCCUUCAAUUACUUCGUAAGUGAUUGUCCUGUUCUCCUCAUCCACUCCAAUCCUCUCUUUUACAGUUUCAACUUUCCCAUCUGUAUAAAUUUUCACCAAGGUAGAUAUUAAACAAAGUAAUCCAGCAAAGUUAAAAGCAGUUUUUGGAUCUUUUCCAGUACUAAAAUUGUUUCUUAAUCGAUGAAGACGAAAGAUACGUCAAGUGCAGGGUUGGCCUUUGUUACUCACCUAUAGCAUAAGUCAAUAGCUUGACAGAGCCUGUAGUCUUCCAAUCACCUUCAUGAACAUCAAUGCCAUGCACUUUAUCAGAGCAAAGACUUGGAAGCUGGUGUGCUUUGCCAGCAAAGGUGUGGAAGUACUCAUCAGGAUCAAACUUGAUCCUUAUCUCAGCCUCCAAUGUUUCUGCAGUAUUAGCCAUAGUUCCUUCUAGCUCUACUAGUCACAAAACCACUGAUCAGCUCACCUUGAUCUAGUAGAAUGCAAAUGCUAUCGUGUAUGGACCUUAACCAUCGGACCAACAUUUAUAUAGGGCCAGUUCCAAUUUUCCGUACAUCUGUGGUAGUUGGACUAUUAUCUUCAAUCUCUGUCAAUUAUCUUUUAAAUUUAUGCAGUUAUACCAUCAUACCCCAUAUUUUCAAAAUUAGACAUCUCAAAUUUGAAUGCGCUUAAAUUUGUCUUGCCAUUUCUCUUUUUGAUAGUCGAGAAAAUUUUGUAUCAUCUGGAACAACUUUUAAUAGGAUUAGAUAUAUUAUCUCUGAUAUAAGAAUAGGAGGUAACAUGUCACAGAUUCAAGCUCAGAGGAAGAUAAGUGUAGACGUAUAGUAAUUGGCGAAAACUCAUUGUACCGUAUACUUCAUUAUAGACAAAAUUCUGUCCUUUCACCACAUAUUUGCGAAAUGAAAGCCCUCAAAAAAAAAAAAAAGUGAUCUAGUGGCUUAAUUUUAUGAUCACACCUAUUCUUUUCGGCAAAUAGGCCCCAAUUCAUCAAUCAAACUUUAGUCACAGGUCUUAUUUUACAGAUCAACCAUGAGACAAAAAGCAAGACUUGGUACAAUCUCAUGACCAAUCGCUCGAAGUUCAUCAAACACAAUUUCGACAACAAUGAAAGCAGUAGGUACCCAUUGGCCAUUUCGCCUCAUCCUUCAUGUAAAACUUUAGUCAAGAAAAAAGCUGGAGUAACAUCAAUCGAGCUGUUUACCUCAUCGGACCUCCUUCUUCAUAAAUGCCAAUCCAUCCACCAUCUGAAUGAGACAUUACAUUACUUUGCUCAUAAUGCGCUCCCCACUCUAGAAAUUAAUAUUUGACCAUUUCUUCGCAAUAUUGCUAAUUAUAGUUUAGCAAAAUUGCUUAGCUACAAUGUUGUCCUCCAGCACCAAAAAGCAUCUAUAACCCCCAAAUUUAGUUCUUUUUCUUUUUUUUUUUCUAUCUAUGAAGUAUCUCUUUUUCCGACAAAUAGACAACAAGGUUUUAAAUUUCUUUUCUCAAGUUGGAGGGCCCAAUUGACUGACAGGGAUUGAACCACUGUCAGACCAAAUGGAUGCACUACACAUCCGUAUGAAUUUAAGCAAUUUAAAGUGGCAAAUCACAUACAGUAGCAAGUAGUAAAAGGUAAAAUUUGAACUCUUGACCUCCUACCCCACCAAAUCUUAAAGAAUAUGGUAGUGACCAAUAGCCCAAAUGUCUGUUGGUUUAUUUCUAUCUCAGUAGUUGUUCACCCAAUAUUCUAAGUACAGAUUUCUCGGCCCUUUUCAUGUUAAAAUGAAAAAGAAAAAAAAAACAGUAGGAAGUGCUUUGUCUGUUAUUAUUAAGGAUAUAAUUGUUAGCUAAUCUUCUUGAUAGUAAAAACUUUACUUUUUCUAGUAUAUAUAAACAUCGAAUGCAGGUUGUGUUUAUCAACAUACUACUCUUUUAUUCUUCUAUUUCUCUAAAAUUUAAAAAAAAAACAUAUGUUUAUUUGAACCAAAUGCGCAAGCUAUAUCGCGUAUUUUGCCUAUACAAACAAUUGAAGUAUCAUAAAGUACGCUUGCGGGGAACUCUAAGGAGUUAUUCAUCGUAGAAAAGUUGUAAAAUAAAAAUUUAUUGAAAUAUAAAGAAAAGCUCUUAAUUUUUAUCCUAAAACAACUUUAUCAUUCCAAACCCUUGGAGUGAACCAAAAUAUGUUCUCUCUAAUAUAAGAAGGAUCUAAAAUUCUGCAUUCACUGAAAAGUUUAUGCAACAAUUUUGUUACUAAAAAGUGUAAAAUGAUCUCAAUUAAUUAAGCAAUGCGUCACUCGUGAUUUCAAUUUGAAGUUGAAAUUUCAAUGCAUCACUCAUUAAGCAAUACAUAGUUGAAAUUUGAAGUUGGCUACAAUGAAUUACUUUCACUCAAUUAUCACACACACACACAAAGAGAUAAUCAUAUAUAUGCUGGCUAUUAGAUAAAAAUUAAUUAGUUGGGCUGGCAGCCUUUGAUGACUAUCAAUAGAAGAUACACUAUUAGUGGAUACGCUCCCACAAGCUGAAGUCAAGUCAGUCACAAUAAAGACGAAGCCUGUCCCUAAAGUUUUAAUCAAAACACGUUUCAUCCUUAUAGUUCUAUAAUUUUGAUCAAUUUCAUCCCUAAAGUUUCAUGUAAACACAUUUUAUCCUCAUAGUUUCAUAAAAUUAACCAAUUGAGGACAAUUGAAUAAUUGUUAACCAAUUUGGACCAAGUAUCAUUACAUAACUAGCAUUUCCCAUUGAUAAUUGUAUUAAUACUUAAUUCGGUUAUUGAUUAAAUUAUAUAAAUAACAAUGAGUGUGUUCGGAUAAAAGAUUAUUACUUUUAAAUUUGUGAUAUAAUAUAUGUGAAAUAAAAAAAAAAUUAAAUGAUAGAUAGACAAUUUGAAAAACAUGUAUAUAAUGCUACGAAACAAAAUUUUAGAAACAAAUGGCUAUCGAAACAGUUCUUUCUUUCACGUUAAUAUUUUUCUUCAAUUGAUUGCAGUGGGAUUGUUUGAAAGAUUUAUCCAAUUGGCUAUAAUGGUGUUAUUUCUUCUCCAUGACUUCGUUUCCUCUCAAUCUUUUGAGAAAAAUCCACUUUUCGUCCUUCCACUUUGAGUUAGAGAUACAUUUCGUCUCCAAACUUUUAGACACACUGCAUUUAGUAUAUGAAUUAAUUAUUUUUUGCCACUUUUAGUCCAAAAACAGUAAAUUACUUAAUUUGGAGGAAAAAAGUCAUGUGUUUGGCACGUGACCGUUAAGUAAAAUCAAUUUCUCAGUCAAAAUUAAUAGUCACGUCAGCCUUCUCCAUCCAAAUUGAAUAUUUUACAGUUUUUGGACGAAAUGUGGUCCAAAAUAAUUAAUUCAUAUACUAAAUGUGGUAUGUCUAAAAUUUUGAGGAUGAAAUGUGUUCCUAUCUUAAAGUUCAAGGACGAAAAGUGGAUUUUUUCCCAAUCUUUUUGUUCAAUUUGUGAUUAAAAAGAGAAUAAUGGUGGUUGAAAAUUUCUUAGUUUUUUUUAAAUAAGAAAGUGAAUUAAAAAAUAAUUUUUGAGAUUUUUUGUUGAUCCAAUAUUUUCUGAAUUUUACUAACAUGCAUGCUAUGGUCAAGUGAUGAUAUUCCAUUCAAAUUGCCUGUCAAUUCAUCAAUUAUCCUUAAUUAGUCAAAUUUAUGAACUUAUGAGGAUGGAAUGUGUUUACAUGAAACGUUAAGAAUGAAAUUGGUCAAAAUUAUAAAAUUAUAAUGAUAAAAUGUGUUUUGACUGAAAUUUUAGGGACAAAAUUGCCCAACACCUCAAACAAUGAGGAUGAAAAGUGCAUUUUUCCCUAAAAAUAAAAUGAACCUUCGUUCUACCCCUUAUGUUUUUGGGCUACAGUCCUUUUUAGUUAGUACUAUGUUGAUAUUCAAGAUAACCGAACGUAUAUAGCUAGACAUGUUGCUUUUGAGGAAUCUAGUUUUCCCCAUUCCUUGGUCCACCACCACGUCAAAAACAAACCAAUUCAAUCCACCUUGACUUGUUCUACCAAUUCAUGUUUUCAAAUUCAAUGGAUCCUACAUACAUUUUUUAUCACAAACCGACUACUACUCUAACGGAUACCUUUAUGGUGAGAACGGGUUGACCGUGCCUAUGGUAGGAAGGCCUCCAGAGGCCGACACGUGUUGCAGGUGGAUGGAUUGCAGACGGAGACGUUUAGCCGUGGAAUCGCGCGUGGAGAUGCAACGUUAACAUGUUGUCCGCUGCUGCAAGUUAACAGCAGAGGUUCGUACAGCCGUUUGCGUUUUCCAACGCAGUUUGGUGGGCCGGGGCAGUGUAAUUGCAACUCAGAACCACUGCUCAUUUAUACAUUUGCAAAUCUACCCGUUAGCAAGGGGAAAAUGCUGCCAAGGCCCUGGGCAAAAAAUUAUGCGUAAAGAACGAACCGAAGUUUGAACAAAUAAUAAAUGUAAACCGCGCAUGCGAGCGGGAUAAUAACUUGGAAGAAGGAAAAGCAGAGGAGAGGUAUCCGUACUACUCCCUCCAUCGUACUUUGAUAGUCCAAUUUUGCUCUUGCGUCUGUCCCAAAUUCUAGUACAUUUUUCAAUUGAAUUGAAAAAUUUAGUUGUAUUUAAAUUUUCGUAAAAUAGCCUUAUUAAAUAUAAGUUGUUGUUACUAUAUACCCACUUUAUAUAAUGAGAGUUGAUUCUUUUUUUACCAUUAAUUGAAGUUUCCAUAAAGUUGUAAUGUAAUUAAUGUGAUGGUAUUUUAGGAAAAAAGUUACUUAAAUUGAUUGUUCGAACAAAAUUAACUGCUUUUUCUUAGACCGUGCGAAAAACAAAUUUGAACAGUAAAUGUGGGACGGAGGGUGUAGUUUCGAGACAACGGCUCCAAACACUACCUUUAUGGUAGGAAACCUUUGAGCAAUCGUAACGUAGGCAGACCCGUAACAGGUGUAUUUGUAAAAUGAGGAGUUGACGCUCUGUUAUCUUGCAGUGGUAACACCCGUGCAGAUAAACAAAACAAGACGUAUGCGGAUGCAGGCCUUUUUCCCCUCCAAUUGCUGCGUUUAAUGUGCAGUGUUUCCCCACUGCUUUAAUACAUUUUUAAAAAUUGUGAAACUAUAGUUUUGUAAUAAAAUUAAUAAUAACAUACCAACAACAAAUACCCAUGACAUAAAUAUACUAAGCAAUUACAAAAAUAUUUAUGAUUAUGCACAUGUAGUUUAGAAUUUGCUCCCAAACACCGUGGAACUAAAUUUUUCAUUAAAUUUGAAGACAGUACGGAAAAAAGACUGAUUAAUGAAAAACGAUGUUAAAAAAUUUUGAAUUCACCGUCACAAAACAUGAAUUGGUGGGCAAUACCAAAAAGCAGGAUACUUUAAUCAUAUAAUGAAGCAAAGUCAUAAAUUUGAAGGCAAAGUUUUCAUUAAUAAAAAUGCCAACUCUUCACCGCUUUGUUAUCAGGCGUCCGAUGUAUGAGGAAAGUGGCAAUAAUUAAUGUGGUAAUUUAUUCGGUUUAUAUAAGUUUUAAAAUUCUUUUUGAGUUUCGACAAAAAAAAAAUGAAAAAUGUGUAAGACAAAGCACAAAAGUCAAUUUGAUUGGUGUGUUAGGGGAAAGAAUAGCAGAUAUGUAAUGUACCUGUAUUUGACGUUCAAAAUACUGCAGUGAUGUUUGUGAAAAACACCGUAAAAAACAUGUAAUUAAAAUGGAACCAAUUUUGAUUAUUUAAAAUACCCAAUAUGUGAAUGUGUUUUAACUGAUAUCCAUUGAUAUGCUAAAGCAUCGUUAUCCCACGAAAUACCAGCACCUUAACACCUAUUUUUUCCAUAAACAAAUUUAUUGAUGACAUAAAAUAAAACUAUACCCAUUUUCCAAUAAAUGGGUAUUUCUUUGAAAUACCCAGUGUAUUAUUGGAAAACGGUUUUAUUUCUAUUUCAUCCAAUUAAUAAAUUUGUUUAUAGGAAAAUGGAUAGUAUGUUGUUGUAAUAGAUAAAGCCAUAAAGAGGUGGGGUUGUAUUCGAAAACAAGUACAUUAAAAUUUAAUCGGGUUAAAGAAGUUGUAUUCGGAAUAAUGGGUUUUAAAGAGAUGAAAUUUGAUGAAAAAAUGAUACUUUACGAUAUCAAUGAAUAACAGUUGAAACACAUUCACAGACUUGGUAUUUCAAAUCACAGUAUUCAUUAUUUAAAAUACCAAAUUUGGGAAAGUAUUUGAACUGUUAUCCAAUGGUUUCGUAAAAUAAUAUUUUUGGUGAAAUAGCAGUUCUUGAACAACUCUUUUGCCACAAACAAAAUAAUGUAUCGGAAUAAAAAAAUCUGUCAUCCAAUAAAACACCAGCUCUUUAUGACUUUUAUGUAUUACAAGAACAGAGUACCCAUUUUCCCAUAAAACAGCAGCUUUUUAUGGCUUUUAUCUAUUACAAGAACAGAGUAUAUAAAUGUAUAUACGUGUUAAUAUUAUGUAUAAAUGUAUAUUAAUAUUAUGUAUAUUAAUAUAAAUGUAUAAAUGUAUAUAAUACAUAAUAUAAAUGUACAUUUACAUGUAUAAGUGUAUAUUAUUAAAAACAUAUAAAUUAUAAAUCAAUAUUAUAAAAAUGUAUAAAUUAAUAUAUUAUAAAUAUAUAUUAAUAUUAUGUACAAAUGUAUUAAUAUAAUUAAUAUAAAUGUAUACAUGCAUUAAUAUUAUGUAUAAAGGUAAAAUUAAUAUUUUGUAUAUUAAUGUAAAUGUAUAAAUGUAUUAUAUUAGAUAUUAUACAUAAUAUAAAUGUCUAUUAUAAAUAUACAUAAAUAUUUAUACAUUAUGUAUAAAUGUACAUUUAUAUAAAUGUGUAAUAUAUUAUAUAUUAUAUUAUCUAAUAUUUAUGCAAAUAUAUUAUAAAUAUAUAAAAAUAUACUACAAAUAAAAUAAAAAAUUUGUAAUCUGUAUGUAUAAAUAUAUAAUAUUACAAAUGUAUAAAAUAUAUAAUACACAUUAAUAUUGAAUUUAAUUUAUGCAUAAUAUACAUAUUAAUAUAUAUUAUGAAACAAAUUUUAGUAAAUAUAUUUAUUAAUUUAUAUAUAAAUAAAUGUAUUUCUAUAAAUAUAUAUUAUUUAUUUCAAUUCAUAUAAUAUAUAUAAUAUUAUACAUAAUUGAACUAAAUAUAUUCACAUUGAUAUAAUAUAUAUAAUAUACAUAAUUGAAAUAUACCUAUUCAAAUACAUCAUUGAAGUAUACAAAUUGAAAUAUAUUAAAAUAUAAUUCAAAUAUACAUAUUAAAAUACAUAAUUCAAAUUUAGAAAUUUAAAUAUACUUACUACAAUUCACAAAAUUUAUUGCACGAAUGCCGUAAAUACAGGGUGUUUUAUUGCAAACCUGAUUAAAAUUUUGUUCCCGUAAACAAAAUUUUCCACCCCUACAACGGGUACUCAGUUCUUAUAAGCUAUAAACAGUUACUGUUUUAUUCGAAAUCGGUUUAUUUUACUUUCUCUGCCACAUACAUUUUCAAAUGGAAAACGGGGUUCUCUGUUCUUAUAAUGGAGCAAAGUCGUAAAAAGCUAGUGUUCGACUGAACACCGGUGUUAAUUUUGUUUUUAUCCGAUAAAUAAAUUGUGUUAUGCAAAAAAAAUUAAAAGGCUACUCUAUUCUUAUAAUGCUGGAUAAGCCAUAAAAAGCUAGUGUUUUACGACAAAAUGGAUUUAUUAUAUUUUUAUCCCAAAAACAAUAUGGUAUGUCGAAACACGGACACUGUGUUCCAUUAACGGACGAAAGCCAUCAACAGCUACUGUUUUAUUGAAAAACAGGCUGGUUUUUUUUUCCGGAUAAAUAACCAGCCGUUAUGCAAACAAAGCGUACUCUGUUCUUAUACUAGUGCAAAGCCAUAAAGAGAUGGUGUUUUACGACAAAAUGGAAUUAUUUCAUUUAAUUUCCUAAAUAAAGCGGUUUAUGCAAAUACGGGUACUUUGUUCGUAUUACGGAAAAAAGCCGUCAAUAGCUGCUGUGUUAUUGCAAACGGGUUUUUUUUUUUUCAUUUUAUCCAAAACCUACUUUUUUUUAUGCAAAAAUUGGGUACUUUGUUCCUAUAAUGUGGGAAAGCCAUAAAGAGCAAGUGUUUUAUUGUAAAACCGAUUUAUUUUGCUUAAUCCACCAUUUACAUUUUUUAAACGUCCAAAAGCGGUUUUAGAGAUGAGGUGUUUCAUGCAAACUUGGUACUUUACCAUGCCAAUGGAUAACAUUUCAAACACAAUCAAAGGUUUGGUAUUUUAAUUAACAAACAUUCGGUUCCGCUUGGCUUACAUACUUUUCUGGGUACUUUUCAAAAACAGCACUCUAGUCCUUCGAUCGUGAAAUACAAGCCCUGUACAUUUCGGCAUUUCCUUUCCCUUUUACACAAAUCCUUUUGACUUAAGUGCUUUCCAAUCACUAAUUUUCAUUAAUAUGUUUACAUUGCAACAAACAAUUUAAUUCCGCAUAAAUUGCAAAAAAUUAGUAUCUCAACUAUUGGGACUUUGCUGAUUCUUUGGAGGUCUGAUAACAAAGCCGUUGAGAGCUGGUAUUUUUAUUACCGACACCUUUUUUCCGUAAAUGGACUGCUUUCUAUGAUUUUCCUUUACUAAAUGUCAAAGUACCGCCAUUUAAUCACCAUAAAUAUAUCUCUUUGUUCAGAACUUUAAACAAUAAUGCUAUUAACCUGUAUCUUUCCCUUUCAGACCAAGUUUUUUGACUUGUCCAUUUUUUCUGCGGCGCGGACAAAAUUCUUCGGUUACUUUCCUAUAAAACUUUUACACAAAAAAUUUAUAUAUGCAUAAAUUUUUUGUGUAAAAAAACUAAUUUAUUCACAUACGAUCGAGUAUUUAUCCAAGUAUAUUAAAACUCCACACUAAGUAACGUACUCAAUUUUAAUCAUGAAUACAACACUUUUCUGUUAUUUCAAAUAACAAAAAAAAACUGCUUCGCAUAAGUUUUUUUUCAUAACUGCUGUGCGCUAAUCAUUCUUUCUUUCUUCAAAUUUCUGAACCUUCUUUACGCACAUUUUUUGUCCAAGGCAUUUGCAGCAUUUUUGCUGCGGUAAUGGGUACAUUUGCAAAUACAAUAAAUGCCUCUCCUUCUAACCUGCAAUAAGACAUCCUGUCCCAACCCAGGACGAUAGUACGGAACUCUGUGUGCUUUGUUUGCUUCAUUCCGCACGCUGUCUGCUUCAUUUCCUCUCCACGCGCUCACCAUCACUUUAACGUCUCCGUUUGGACCGUUUUGCCCCCAACACGUGUCGCUCCCUGCCACCAUUCCUACCAUAGGCAGGUUCCCACCAUAAAGGUAUCCCUACUCUAACCCUUCUUGUCAAAGUCAAAUCAACUGACCCUAUGCUACUCCGUCACGUAACCAACCAGAACAAAAACACUACUACUUUAGCAAAACUUAUCUCUAAACCUUCUGUGGAGUCAUCUGAACUUAUCUCUAAAUUGAAAUAUGAAGUUAGCUGACAAUAAAUUACUUUCACUCAAUUAUUACUUAACAAAAUAAGUACAGUAUAUUGAAAAUCAAGAUGAGAAUGUGGGGUUGGGACUAGGGCUGCAAACGAGUCGAGCCGAGUCGAGCUUUGAACUAAUCGAGCCGAGUCUCGACUAAAUUUUAUCAAGCUCGAGCUCGAGCUCGACGAGCCGGCAAAUUUCGAGCUCGAGCUCGAGCUCGAAAAAAAAUAAAAAAUAAUUAUUUUAUUUUUAAAAAAAUAAAUAAAAUAAUAUUUUUUUCUUAAUAAAUAAUAAAAUAUUAAGGAUAUAUACGUAAUUUUACUAUGAAAAUAAAAAAUAAAAAAAUAUAUAUAUAUAAUAUACGUAAUUUUAUUAUUAAAUAAAAAUAAAAAUAUAUAUAUAUACCCAAGCUUGCGAGCCGGCUCGCGAGCUAACGAGCUUAAUAUUCUGAGCUCGAGCUCGAUUAAUAGCGAGCUCGACUCGAGCUUGAAUCGAGCCGCUCGCGAGCGGCGCGCGAGCGGCUCGAUUCGUUUGCAGCCCUAGUUGGGACAUCUACAUUUGCUUUCUAGUAUAGCGUCCAUUUCACCAUGUUCACAUCACCUUGGGCAGUUGCCUGGAGAGUGGCUUUUACGAAAACACAGGUCUAAAUUUAAUUGAAAAAUAAAAGUAAAUAUCAAAAUGGUGGAAUUAAAACAAGCAUGUAUAAGCUGGAAUCCAUCAACAAAAUUUUUAAAAAAAAAAGAAUAAAGAGAUUAAUUUGUUAAACUCACAUAGUAAUUUUCAAGGCCAUAAAACUAUAUGUUCAUCCCAGAUAGAGUCUGAUCAUUAAUCAUUUGGAGUACAUGACAGGCCAGUAUAAUUUCUUAUAUUUGGAUAGACUAGAGAUCUAUGUAGAUUCUGUGAUUCAAAUUUUGUCAUACAAUCUCACCAUUUGAAGAAUUGAUGGUGUAAAAAUUUGUACCACAAAACCAAGCCUAUUCAAGUUUUUACCUUCUCGGUAAACUAUAUCAUUACUUAGUUUUAUGGGUAUCUUGUCCUUGCCAAGAAAACUAAUGAAAUGACUGAUUGUUUUUUUUUUUUGGCGUGUAAAGGCAACCACUUGAGUGAUUUCAGGAUAGACAAUGAUGACUUUAAGCCAUCAAAGUUUACUUUGCAGUAAAAAUGUAUGGCUCCAAAAUUUUUCUCAGUCUUGUUAAAAGCUGUCAUAUAUAUAUAUAUAUAUAUGUCUGCUUUUUCUCCUACAGAUUAAUUACUGACUAAUAACUUUCUUGGCCCAUGACAAUAGGAACCGUCCGUCGUGGUGUCACAUACCUAAGGGAGGUUCGCACUGAUAUUUCUAAGGUAGGUAGGACCAAUAGGAACCAAAAGAUGACUCAGGAGCAUCAAAAUUCGGUUUGGACUCUGGACCCAACCACUUUACACUAGAGCGCGUUGUGCAGUACAUCCAUGGGCCUUCACCUUCCCCACCACAAAUUACAAGGACAGGACAGGAGCAUAAAAAUUGGCCUUCCGUUGCGGCCUUAUCUCUCUACACUACACUAGAACGUGUUGUAUGUGUAUCCAUGGGCCUGGUCCUGGGCCCUCCCAACCCCACCACUAAUUAAACGAGAUGGGACAGCGACCCUCGUGUCCAUUUGUUUUGUUUGUGACACUCAAGACAGCGCCAAUAGAGGACUGUGUCAACUAUUCACACCAUAGACUCAUCUUCGCCUAUGAUAGGACAGCAACCUUUUGACCAUACUACCGUGGGCUGUUUGUACGUGUCAGAAGAGUAAAAGGUAAACGUAACAUGCUGUCUAACCUCUCGUUUAGGUCGUGGUGGAUUGCUGGUUUUGGAGUUUCUGCAUAAAAAUGUAGGGUUAAUCACAUUUUAUCCCCUUAAACAAUACCCUAUUUUUCAGUUUACCUCCUAACCUUUAAUUUUGCUCACUUAACCCCUUUUAGGACAAAAUUGCCCUUGCAUUAUUUUGACUUUUCAUUUACCUUGUUUUCUUUUCUUUUAUUUCUUUUUCUCUUUCAUUUUUAUUUAAUUCUUUCUCUUUUCCACAAAAAUCUUCACCUUAAUGAUUGAAAUUAAAAAAGAGGAAUUGCAGAGAUCUAUCUUUUCCUUCAAUGAUUAAAAAAAAAUUCAAAUCACUUUUCUAAAAUACAAUUUUUUUUAGCCUUUCAAUUCUUUUAAUUUUGGGUUUUCCUCUUUCCUUUCUAGUUUCUCAUUUUAUUCCCAAUAAAAUAUCUUAAGAUGAAAUUGUGACCUGAUUAAUAAUUAUCAAUUGAAAUUUGUGACACGUGGCAUCAUACAAAAAAUCAAAAUUAGUUUUUUAUGUCUUUUAAACUUUCGCCCAGAAAUAUGCAAUUACAAACUCAAAACAAAAACAUUCGUGAAAAUCGAAUUUUCUAUUGGGAAGGAUGAUAGAGAGAAGAAAGAGAAAAAGAAAUAAAAGAAAGGAAAACAAUUUCAUCUUAUGAUAUUUUCUUGAGAAUAAAAUGAGAAACUAGAAAGGAAAGAGGAAAAUCCAAAAUUAAAAGAAUUGAAAGGCUAAAAAAAAUUGUAUUUUAGGAAAGUGGUUUGAAUAUUUUUUUGAUCAUUUAAGAAGAAGAUAGAUCUCUGUAAUUCCUCUUUUUUAAUUUCAAUCAUUAAGGUGAAGAUUUUUGUGGGAAAGAGGAAGAAUUAAAUAAAGAAGAAAGAGAAAAAGAAAUAAAAGAAAGGAAAACAAGGUAAAUGAAAAGUCAAAAUAAUGCAAGGGCAAUUUUGUCCUAAAGGGGGUUAAGUGAGCAAAAUUAAAGGUUAGGGGGUAAACUGAGAAAUGGGAUAUUCUUUAAGGGGAUAAAAUGUGAUUAACCCUAAAUAAAAAAGAAAGAGAAAAAGAAAUAAAAGAAAGGAAAACAAGGUAAAUGAAAAGUCAAAAUAAUGCAAGGGCAAUUUAGUCCUAAAGGGGGUUAAGUGAGCAAAAUUAAAGGUUAGGGGGUAAACUGAGAAAUGGGGUAUUCUUUAAGGGGAUAAAAUGUGAUUAACCCAAAAAUGUAUUAUUAUAGUGAUUGGAUGUAUGCAGAAAAAUGAUUAGAAAAUUUAUUUACGGAAAAAAUGUGAUUUUUUUUUUUGAAAAAAUGACCUUCCAAAUGAUGUCUAGAGUCGGGUACAAACUACCCACAACGAAUACAAACUACCAAUCACAAUUAUUAGAUUUAAACCAUGCUUUUAUCUAUUGUCUGAGACUAGUAAUUCUUAAUUUCAGCAUCACUAGAAAAAUGUAAAACCGAUUCCGCAGGUUUAUACUUGGUGAGUUUGAAACACUUCUCUUUUAAACUUUUUUCUCUCCCUUCUGACUAAAAACUCUUUUAAUCAAAAUCUCCUUCAUCUCUCCCAUCAGAAAGAAAUCAAAUCUGAUCCUUUUCAUGGGAGGAAGUACUCUUUAUAAUUUCUAGUUUCUCUCAUUUGAAUAAAUUAUCUCCUAAGAUUUCAUAAUGAGAGAUUCUUCUCUCUUAAGAUUUCCUAGUAAGAGUUUCUUCUCUCCUAAAUUAUUUUAGUGGGAGUUUUAUUCUCUUCUGGGUUUUUCCUUGUGAGAGUUUUUCAGGUUUUUAUCUUUACUAAAUUUGAAAUUUUGUAGAUCUAGAAUCUAGUUUCUCAGAUCUGUAAUUUCUCCAUUAUUUUCAGAUCCAAAUUUCUCUUUGAACUUGAAUCAAUUUUAAUCAAAUCUGAUUGUCAGCCAACGUGCACUAAUAUAUUGGGAUACAGCGAUCCAUCUGGAUGGAAGAUAUAUGGAAGUUUAAUGUUAUCUUUAUUUGUAUUAUUUUCUUAGAUCUGUUAUAUCUAUUGAUUUCAGAUAUAUAAAUAUAUAUAUAUCUGUGUCAUGUUUGUUUGAUAUAUUUUCUGCUAUUAGUGCAGAUUUAUUUGAAUGAAAUGAUCUUUUCUAUAUAUAAAAAAGGGAUAAUUUCAGAAACCUCCCUUGAGAUUUUUGACAAUUUCAUGAAGCCCCCAUCAAUAAUUUAAAAUUACACAUACCUCCCCUAUCAGUGCAAAAGUACUCUACUACCCCUCAUAGAAUACUUAAAGACAUUUUUUGUUGGAAAAAAUUUGAAUAUCCAAACCAAAAACAAACACAGCAACAAUUGAUUCUCUCUCUUGGAUGCCCCUUACCUUGCUUUUUUUCCCACAUCCUCCUUUGCCCAACUUCCCAUCGGCCCUCUCCAAUUCUCGUCUACCCAACUUUCCUGUUCUACUUUAGGACACUAAGUAUUGCCCAUCAACUCUUGCCCGUGCUUGUCCCCCUUCUUUUUCCUACUUGACUUCUCCUUUUUUUUUAUUUACUUUUUCUACAUCAAUUCCCUUCUCUUUGCAAACUUGAUUUGAUUAGACUCAUCCCUUCCUCCUUUUUUUUUUUCCUAUUCAGGGUGUAGUGGGUUUGAUUUUUUUUUUGUAUCUAUGUUCUUUAUCCAAUUUUAGUUGAUUAUGGGGGAUAAAACUUGGUGAUGCCAAAGAUCAAUCAUUUGAGUUUUUCAAAAAUUAGUUUUUCCAAUACUAUAAAAAAUUUUAAAAAGUACUCUAAAAGGUACUCUAAAAAGUAGUCUUAAAUUUUUUUUAAUGUUUAAAAAAUAUCCCAAAAUAUAUUCUAAAAACUCUACUACUCUUAAAUAUUCCAAAAUAUAUUCUAAAAAUGUUUCAAAAUAUACUCUAAAAACUUUGCUACAGUCAAAUUUUUUAAAAACACUCCCAACGGCAGCUAAUCCAAAUGGAGCCCAAGAGUUUGAGAAAUGGAUCUUUGGUUUCCUAAAAUGGGUUGUUGAAAGAAAACAAAAGGCUGCAAAGGGAGGAAGAGUAAAGGGAUUUGACAUGUGGGAUUGGUUGUUGAUGGAGUGUUGGUUUUAGAUAAAAUUUGAGGCUUUUUAUUUCUGGUAAAAUUUGAUGGAGUAUCGAUUUAAUUUUAUCAGUUUAAUAAUAAGAGGCGGGUGUAUUUACCUUGUAGAGAAAGUGUUGGGGCUGGAUAGAGAGUAAGAAUUAGCCUAGGCUGCCGAAAGUACAUUGGAUUGCGAUAUUUUGCGUGCCUACAAUUGUUGGAAUUGCUUUUGAUUCAGCUUGGGAUGUUUGCUUGGCUUUUCCGAUGGUGUUGCCAAGAAAAAGCAAUCAUCAAAAUUCUUUUUAUUUUAUUUUUUAAAAAUUUUUGGUAGAGAGGAUUUCUUGGCUUUUGAUAGUCUUGCUUGGAAGAAGACUAUAUGAAGGAAAAUGUAGGCCAUUGGGUCUAUUUUGAAGCAUAAAUAGUGAAAGCAAGGGUGGUGGGUGUAAUUUUUAAAAUUUAAGGAGACCUCUCUGAAAUUGUUUGAAACCUCAGGGGAGGUUUCUGAAAUUAUCCCAAAAAAAAUUCAGCAUUACUAAAGUAAUUGUAUUGUGUUUAAACAACUUGUUUAUUUGCUUUUUCCUCUUUCACAUCUACUAACAUUUAUCAUCGUAAUCAUAUUUUACAUGUAAUAAUGUGUAAAACAAAACCAUCGUAGUUAGCAAUUACUCCACUUCAUAUUUUAGUCCUUUGCAUGGUUUUACCCAAUUACUCAUGGUCACCAUUGCUAGAGUUAGGCAUUGAUUUUAAAAAUUGUAUCAAGUAUGUAAUCCGUUUUCUCUAUUGUCCAAUAAAAUGUCCUCACUAAUUAGUUUUCUUUUUCCAAUUCACUAUUAUCUGCGUAAAUGAAAAUAAUAUUAUUCGUCGUGGAAUCACAUUUUUUUAAGUGUAUUUGUGUUCUAUCAAUAUUCAGUGACAAAUACAAAUUUACAUUCAUUUGUCUCUUCUUUCAUUGUUAAUAUCCAAUGCACAAAUUUAAUAAAAUUAUAUAUUAUUUUAUUUCUUAUAUUCACUGAAUUAUAAACUGCCAAAUUUCUAAUAUAUUCUCUAUGCCUUCCAAUUCAAGAAAACCAUACCAUUUCUCCUCCUAAAUACAAAGUUAUAUAUCAAUUAACAAUGUUUAAUAGACAGCCCAUUUAUGCAUUUUCCCUUAAAGGCUCUUCACUUAUUACACUUUUUUUUUUUUAUCUUACACUUUACUGCAAUGGUAUGACACGCUAUGAUAUUUCAUACAAUGACCCAAUUCAUUUUUAUCAACAAGAUGUGGCCAACAACCAUGCACUUGUAACUUUUGCGCAGCAUAAUGAACAUUGUCUAAUGUAAAGGGCUAUAUUACCUAUAUAUAUAUAUAUAUAUAUAUAUAUAUAUAUAUAUAUAUAUAUAUAUAUAUAUAUAUAUAUAUAUAUAUAUAUAUAUAUAUAUAUAUAUAUAUAUAUAUAUAUAUAUAUGUAGAACUCAAAUUUUUAAAGAUUUCUAAUAGUGGCAACACCUGCAAUUAAGAUCUUAUAAAUUCUCUUAAACUCUCUUGACUCUUAUAGAUACUCUUAACAAGAUUUAUUAACUAAUGUUUUAUAUAUAACCUACUAGACUUAUUGUGUAAGAAAUCACUUACGCAAAAAAUUACUAAAUAAAGUAUAAAUUCCUAAAUUACGUACAUAACUACUAAAGACCUGAUUCUAAAUAAAACUACUAAAUUAUUAGACAAAAACUUGUAGUCUUGAUUCAUUUGCCAGCAAAUCAAUCAUAUAGUAUUUGUUAGCCACUAAUUUUUUCAACCCAUAUCAAGUCUUUUACGUGCCACCAAUAAUGGCUCUUUUAUCGGCAUUGACCUAUUACCCAAUUUGAACUUCAUCCCUGCAGGAAGAACGACGAUCUAAUUUGGACAACAAAGAACUCAGGGUGGGUGGGGGGAACCAGAAGAGAUGGGACCUUAUGGCCCUGCUCGCCAACUCAGUUAUCUUAUAUUGGGAUACAACGAUCCAUCUGGAUGGAAGAUAUAUAGAAGUAUAAUGUUAUCUUAGCAAAACGUGCACAUCGUGCUUUGCUUUGCCAUCUAAUCUUCUUCUUCUUUUGUUUUUUUUGCUUUGCUAUCUAACCUGACUGUUCUGACACCAGAAAUAUUUGUAAAUUUAUUUCUUGCCUGACCUCUUUUAAUGCAGUAUCAAUUACUUCUGGAAAGCAACUUUGCUAUAUAUCGCAACCACCGACACCCCAGGCACUAAUUAUUUGACACGAUAACAGUCUUUUUUCUACACAUGCUUCAUGCUUCAUGUCUUUUUUAUACUUUGAUCUUAUCAGCUCAUUCUACCAUUUAAUGCGACCGAAAAGAAAGUGAAACUGUCCCCCAAAUCUGCCCGAAUACCAUCAAAUAAAUAGCCUACAUGAAUGUGUUAUGUACUAUAAUCUUUUUCCUAUUGCAGCUUGAUGAAAAUGGGAAAUAGUUUUACCCUUCAACUCGUAUAGACAAUCAAUAUACACAAUUUUUCUUUUACUGCAGUUUCUACAUUGAUCUCCUUUUUCUAAUAUUAAGUAACACGAUGAAUUAAUCUCUUAAACUUCCAAAUUGCAGUAAUUACAGACAGAUGUUUGCCAACUUACAACUACAGCUUGGCUAAAUUUCUCAAGACAAAGAAAAAUAUUUUUAAGUAGGCAUCUAUGUGCAAUGUAGGUAUGAAACCAGAGAAUUCUAGUAGGGUUAAUUAGAAAUAUCCAAAAAUAUUCAGGCAAUUCAUAGAAUUAUACUUAUUAAAGCAUGUCCUAAUAAUUAUAGUGGAAGUAGUUUAAAAAAAAAAAAAAAGGAAUGUUGGGAACAAAUUAAGCUAAUUAAAAAUAAUCAUUUUCUUUGUUAUACCUACCAAUUUCAUUCAAAAAUAAUUAUUGUCUUUUUCAUACCUAACAAUUUCAAGUUAAUUAAAUCACAGUUUUUUUUUAAAAAAAGAUAGUAAGACAAAAUUGUAUAGUUUAGCUUAUUAAACAUUCAGUUUUAGAUAUUUAUCAAACAUUAUAGAUAGAUUCAGUAUUAAGAUUCAGACAUUCAUAUAUUUCUUUUCAGCACUUAAAAUUUAGCAAAUUAAUUGUUUCAAUAUUCAGUUUCAGAAUUCAGAUUCAAUUUUAUCAAAUAGGACCUUAGUGUGUACUCCUAAUUGUAAUUGAAUUUGAUAUUUUAAAAUUGACAUUCAAUACAAACUUUUAUGUUUAACUAAAUUUGAUUUUUCAAAGCCACAAUUAAUACAAAAUCUCAAAUUGAACUAAAUUUGAUUUCUUGUAAAUCAUAUUUAGUACAAGAUGUUAAUUUUAACUAAAUGUGAUUUUAUAAAUGUGACAUUCACUACAAACUCUUAAUUUUAACUGAAUUUGAUUCUCUGAAAGUCACUUUCAUAAAAAAAAAAUUCAAUUUUAACUAAAUGAGAUUUCCUUACAUUCACAUUCUAUACAAACUCACAGUUUUAGCUACAUUUGAUUAUUUGUUGAAACGUGAUGCAACAUGUUUGGUAUACGUAACUUGAUGGAACAUAUUUGUGCAUUUGAUAUUUUAUUUGAUCAAUGUUUCUAAACAAACUUGAAGUAACAUAUUUGCGGACGUACUAGUGUAUAAGUCAAUAUUCGUAGUUACUCAAUUUGUCAGGAUCAUAAUCUGUUUUAUCUUUGUCGUUGCUGUUUAGUUCAGCAAAUGUUACUCCAAAUCCUAGGCACAUGAAACAAAGAAAAUUAUACUUCUUUUUUGGUACAAAAAGAAAAAUUACACUUCAAUUACUGCAUUAGUAUAUGGUAUUUUACAAAAUUGGUGACAGAAAGAAUAAGUUGUGAUGCAUAUGUCAUCUUACGUACCUUAAUAUGCAACACUGGUCUGGAGUAAAUAAAAAGGAGAAUUUAUGUAAUCAAAAUAGCAAUUAAUCAAUCUUACAAUUUUAGUAUUGAGUUAGUUUUUGUUACCUAUUGCAUAAGUCCAAUGCUUGACGGAGCCCUCAGUUUUUCAAUCGCCUUCGUGAAGAUUAACACCAUGUUCUUUGUCGGAGCAAAGAUUUGGAGGUUGGUGUGCUUUACCACCAAAGCUAUGGAAGAAUUCAUCAGGAUCAGGCUUGACCUUUAUCUCAGCUUCUAAAUUUUCCAGCCAGAUUUGGACUAGCCAUAAUUGGUUGAAGUAAUACUGAAAAACAACUAUGCAUUUUUUCCUAGUAAAUGUUGUAUCAACUCAACUGGCUGAACCAACGUUUAUAGAAUCAAUUUUCAUGUUGCAGUAGCUUUAAGAUUAUUACGUAGAUGAAGUCCACAUUUUGUGCUUAAGAUCUCAAUUGGAGAAAACUUUCAGAUGAUAGUAUUUACUACUUGCGUAAUUAGCUUGAUAAUUUUAUUAGAGGGGUAAAAAAUGUCGUAGCAUCGGUUCACUUGGUAGUAGACAAUUUUUUUUUCCCAAGUUCUACAAUGUUUUUUGGAUGAUUGGAAAAGGAAUUCAGAGUAUGUUGACAACUUUUUUUUUUAAGGUAGUCACUCGUAUUGUUGCAAGAAUGGAAAUAAAAAAAAAAUUUGGCCCUUCAAACCAAGAAACUGUACAUUCAUCCACUUCAUGAAUGGUGAAGCGCAAUAGAAAGUCGUCUAUUUUUUUUACUUUUUACUUCUUUUCCUUUCUUUGUUGGAUGCUCAACAACACGAUGGAUUUGCUGAACAACACCAUGAAAGCAACUCUUCGGCCAUUUCCAUGUUGAAAAUUUCAGAAUGGAAACCUCAAUUGUUGCAAAGUCGAUGCUUGACAACUUUAAGGUGGCAUAAAGUGACUAUCAUGAAAGUUCAAAAUACAAGUGAGAACUAGCUAUAGCAUUAAAGUGAUUAUCCGAAUUACUAUACCGGACCCGGAUCCGACCCGUUUACCCGACGGGUCUUUUAUUCUAUGUUCCGGAUCCGGAUCCGGCGGGUCCCGGAUCCGGGUCGGGUCUACCCGAACAAAUUUAGCAAAAUUUAUAAUUUCUAAUAAAAAUGAGAAAAAAAUAUAUUCGUAAACUAAUUUCUAACUGAUGCAAAGAAAAAACCAAAUAAAAAAAGAAAUCAAAUUGACUUUAUUCAAAUACAUCAUCCUAAUCAAAUUAUAUUGAUAAAUAUAUAUUUUUUAAAUUAUUAAUUCAUUUAUAUCCGAAUCCGGGUCUAAUACGGGCCAGAAUACUAUAUUCCGUAUCCGACCCGUUUUUUGUUUGACAAAACGGAUCCGGAUCCGAAAAACGGAAUUAAAUCCCUACCCAUACCCGCAAUAAUUUCACGGAUCCGGUCCGAAUCUGGGUCUAGACCCGACCCGUUGACAGGCCUAUGCUAUAGUACAAAGUAGAGGUGGCAAAAUGGGCGGGAUGGGCGGGAUUUGCUUGGGUUUAAAAUGGAACCGAAUCAUAUGGGUUUGGGCCCAACCUUACCCAUAUAUGUUUUGGGACUAAGUUGGGCGGGAUCACUUUGGGAUGGGUUUAGAUUGAUCCCGUCCAAUACCCAAAUCUAUUUUCUACAUAUUUUUUUCCUUUAAUUUAUUUUUUAUAUAAUUUUAAUAUUUUUUAUUUAUUAAAUUUCUUUUAGUUUUAUUAAAUAAACAUGCAAGUGGCUUUAUACUCAAGAUUAUCACCAAAAAUUGGAUAAACAAAUAAAGGAAAAGAUAGAUAUACAAUCAUGACUAUAAAAAUUGUUAAAGAUAAUUUUUGAAUCUAAGACUCCGUUUGGAUUGGUUAUUUUUUCAAAAAAUAAGUUUUUCAAAUACAAUGUUACAGUAAUAUACAAUAACUCAAAAAAACAUCCCAUCCAUAUUAGUAUAUCAAAUAUUUCAAAAAAAAUUUAUAGUAAAAAUUUUUCAUUUACACUAAUACAAUAAAAUAUUUCAAAAACACCCCUCAAAAAUAGUUAAUCCAAACGGAGCCCUUACUAUUUGAGUCCAAUGGGUACCCAAGCAUUUUCCAAAAUUUCCCAUCAAUUAAUGGGUACAAUUGGGAUUUGUCCCAUUUUAAACCCAAUAUCAAAUUCCAAUAUCCAUCCCGCCCAAAGUCUCAAUGGGCAUGGGUAACCCAUUGGGACUUGGGACAAAUUGCCACCUCUAGUACAAAGAAACAACUUCAAAAUGGCAGCUGCUAAUAAUUGGCAUCAUACAUAUGCAACAUAUAUUGAAGACCUAGGACCAAUUGGCAUACACAGGGAUAAAGAUCUUACUAAUGAAUUGAUCCAUGUAGCACAAAGAUAUGCAUCUAAUUCGAUUACAUUCUUUAUUUUUUGUUUUGCUUUUCCGAGAAUUGCAAUUUUAUUGUACUAAUUCCUUUUACUGCUGCAGAAAUCUAUAUGCUCCAUUACAAGCAUAUAUAUUAGGCCUUGAUAAGUGAAGCGUCCACAUCCUUCCCCAUAUGAAGUAGCCAGUCCAGAUAAUUAGUUGGACUAGGCUCAUUCUCGUUCAGUUUUUCAUAGUCAAUGGUGUAUUUGGCAAAGCUGGAGUCACCUCUGGAGAUAACUUGUAACGUUAUUAUAUAGUUCUUGUAGUGCUUCAUGCAAUCUCCAUCUAUUGCCUCAGAAGUAAUGGUCUUGUUCUCCUCAUCAAUUUUGAGCCUGUCUUUGAAGACCUCAACUUUGCCAUCUAUAUUUUCAUCACAAGUAGAUUCAUCAGUAGCUAUCAGGCUCUAUUUGCCACAUUUUGGGAAAAAAUCAAUGCAAAAUGAAAAUUCUAAUGGAAAAAAAAAUAUGAAUUAGGAACGUUUCAUGCUUCAUAACACCAAAUUAAAUUACAAUAUACACUCCUUAUAAUUGAUGUCUUUCUAAUUUUCUUAUGUAAAAAUUAAACAAUUGACCAAGUAUGCCAACUACUUCACAAGCAAGGGCACAAAAAAACUCAUAAAAAUGAAAGGGGUAAAUGGACAUCAAGACACAAGUGGAAUGGUGGCUUUACCUAUGACAUAAGUCCACAGCUUGAUAGAGCCCUCAGUUUUCCAGUCACCUUCGUGCACUUCAAUCCUGUUAACUUUCUCAUUCGCAAGAUCUGGGAGUUGGUGUGCUUUAGCGCCAAAGCUAUGGAAGAACUCAUCAGCAUCAGACUUCAGCUCGAAUUCAGCCUCCAACUUACCUACUAAAUUAUUAGCCAUAGGAGAAAGUUUCAAGAAUUGAUUAAAAAAAAAAAACUACUAAUAACCUUGAUAAUACUAUGUAUUAUGCAAUUCAGUCACACCUGAUUUAUAGAUGCUUCAUGAAUUGGUUGGCUCCCACAAGUUAGAAAUGUGUGGUUCUCUCUUUCUUUUCUGCAAAACACACGUGCCAUCAAUGAACAUAGAUGCAUGUUGCAAUGUCUUUUCAGGCAAAUGAUAUAUUGCCAGGUUUAGCCAAUAUUGUCACACAAAACUAUUAGUUAUAUCGGCAAGUGAUGCAAUCCUAUCUCCAACAGCGAAUUGCACUGUGAAAUACUAUUGAUCAUAUGGGAUUUACUUUGCUGUCUAAUCCCUUAUCCAUUGAAAGCAGAAAUCAAAGUUGCUGUACAUUCCAAUUGACAAUUCCUCGGGCAAGUUUUCUUUAUUUUGCUAAGCUGUGCGUCUAGGGCAUCAUGCCAAUUAAAUUCAACCAUAGAGAGGAUAAUUUCCACUUUGCGUCCACAAUGUUUUAAUAGAUUUUCAGUUUGCACUUGAAAAUUUUAAUUUAAAUACUUUAUCAUAUUGGAAAUUACAUAUAUUUUUCUCUUAAAAAGUAAAAUUACCGUCGUUAAACUACAUUACGUUUUACCACAAAUAUUUUUGUAAUCUUUUGGUAACUCUAUGGUUUAAUCCAGAUAUAAAAUGGGAAAAUAUACAAAUUGAGUAUCGUUGAAAAGAGAGGAAAUUAACUUUUGGUAUGCAACUCCAAAUAAUGUAGCUAAGAAGCCAAUAUUGCUUUACACCAGUUAUUUAUAUUCAUCUACUUUUUACGUACCUGUACACAUUUGUUAUUCCAACGCGCAAGUUUUAGAGUACAUUUUGACUAACAAUAGUUGUGGAGAUUUCUGCUUGUUUUGUUCACCUCUUUGGGGACAAUUGGCAGGAAGUCAAGAUAUGAUAACUGAUUAGGGAGAGUCUAGGGAUAUCAUCUUAAUUUGCCAUGUUCCAUAUUAAAGUCCACCACACCAUAUCUCUAUCAUACAUCUCAGGACGAAAAAGCAACAUUUUACUAAACUACAUGGCGAAAUUUUGAUCUAAACUAAGUUUUUUCUUGUGAAAUUGUGAUCUAAAUUAAGUGUUUUUCGUGUACUUUUGUUACAUAAUCAAUCUGCGUGUUUGUUAUUAAUAGUUUGCUUUUCAAAUUUAGUGAUCCGCUUUCGAGUAAAUAGUUGUUUAUUGUUAUUAAUAGUUGUUUUUGAUCAUUUUGUGUAGAAUUACUAACACACAUAAAAAUUACAACCAAGCAUUAACUCGAGAGCUUAUUCUUAAAAGCUUCACUAAGCUCACUUCUAUUCUAUUGCAUUCAUUGUUUUUUUAAAACGUAUAUGGUAUCCAAGUCAAGAUAGCUAUAGAGAUAAAUAUUUCAUAUGUAAAAAGAAUUUUCAUAUAUAAACUUAUUUUCGUGCUUUGAGAAGUGAACCAUCCACAUCUUUUCCAACAUGAAUUGGCCAUUAGAGAUACUAAGUUGGAGCAGGGUCAUUCUCGUUAAUGUUCUCAUACUCAAUACUCCAUUUGGCAAUGCUCGAGUCACCUUUUCGAAUAACCUGUAACUUAGCCUUGUAGUUCUUGUAUUGUUCCUUAAUGUGUCCUUCAAUCGCUUGAGAAGUGAUGAUCUUGUAAGCCUCUCUUUAAUAGUUUCAACUUUCCCAUCUAUUUGAAUUUCCAUCAGAAUAGAAAUUAAACAAAGCAAUCCAGCUCAAUUAGAGGCACUUGUUCUUCUCCAAUGCUAAAAUUAAUCUUCAAUCAAUAAAGACAAAAAGUAUGUCCAAUGAUGCUUAUGUAUUCAUGAUGUCCUAGGAAGUAAUCAAUACAAAAUAAAAGAAAAAAUGUCCCUUAAUUCUCAUGGAUGAUACGACAAAAUUGAAAAAUAAUAAUAUGGACUUAAAAAAGUAUAUAUUGCAAAACCAUAGUAAUUGAACCUUCAAAACAUCAAGUAAAGAGUUGCCUUAAUUUGUUAUUUACCUACUGCAUAAGUUCAUAGCUUGACAGAGCCAUCAGUCUUCCAAUCACCUUCAUGAACAUCAAUGCCGUGCACUUUCUCAGAGCACAAAUUUGGAAGCCGGUGUGCUUUACCACCAAAGCUAUGAAAGAACUCAUCAGGAUCCGACUUGAUCUUUAUCUCAGCUUCCAACUUUUCUGCUGUGUUAGCCAUAGUUGUUUCUAGAUCUAAUGCUCACAAAUUAUGCUACUGAUCAGCAAGAACCUUGACCAAUAAUCCAAUGUAUUAUGCAAUUCAAUUUCUUUACCACCUGAUUUGUAGAUGCUUCAUGAAUUCGUAAUGGCGCCCACAAUUUAGAAAUGUGUGGUUCUCCAUUGUCUUGGCUGAAAAAUAUACGUGCCAUCAAUGACAUAAAUCCACAUGUUGCAAUAUCUUUUCAGGCAAAUGAUAUGCUGCAGGGUUUAGCCAAUAUUUUCACACUUGAUUAUUAGUUAGAUCGGCAAAUGAUGCACUCCCAUCUCCAAAAGAGAAUUGCAAUGUGAUAUAAUGAUGCGGGAUUUACUUCGUUAUGAUCUAAUAUUAUCCAAAGAAAGCAGAAAUCAAAAUUGCUGUGCAAUAAAUUGAAGUCCAACAAGGUUUAUAUCCAUGAUAAUUAGUCAGACAAGUUUUCUUUAUUUUGUGAAGUUAUAUAUUUAGGGCCACAUGCCAACUAUCAACAGAUAGAGUGCCUCACAAAUUCCAUUUCAGACAAGUUUACCUUAGUUUAAUUGAGUUGAAAGAUGGUACAACAAAAAUUUAGAUAUGAUGUAACUAAAUUAAAAUAUAGUGUAAUAAAAAUUGAAAUGAUCAUUUUGCCUCGAAAUGAAAUCCUCAACGAUCCAAAGAAAUACGGACGCAGAACACUAGCGUAACCUAGAGGACAAUUUUGACUUUGCAUAGGUAAUGUUUUGAUAGAUUUUCAGUUUGCACUUUAAAACUUUAUACAUUGAAUUUUACAUAUAUAUUUUAUCACGAAUACACUCUUUUUUUCUGUAAUCUUCUGGUAAAUCUAUGCUGUGGUCAAAAUAUAUAAUGGGCAGAUAUACAAAUUGAGUAUCAUUAAGAAGAAGUGAAAUUAACUUUUGAUAUGCAACUCGAAAAAUUAGUUAAGAAAUCAUUGUAGCUUUACACUUGUUAUUUAAAUUUGGAUUAAUACACUUGUUAUUUAUACAUUGUCAGCGUCGGAUGAAUAGCAACUAUGCAAAAUUUAAAUUUAAAAUUUAACUUUUACAUACAUGUCAUGAAUCUAACGGUGAUAGUGUAUACACUGUUAGUGUAUCUAAGACUUACUCGUUAAAUUUUGUACACUCAUUACGUACAUUUGUACAUUUAUUGUUCCCAUAUAUGCAUUAUAGAGUACAGUUAUAACUAACGGUGUGGAGAUACUUCACCCCAGUAUUGUCUUUCUGAUCGUCUAGUUCCCCUAUCUGGGGACAUUUAGCAGGAAGUCAAGAUAUCAUAACCGAGAAGUUAUGAUAACUGAGUAGGGAUAAAAUCAUAAUUUGCCCAAAUUUCUACAAUAAAUCGCAGGAGAUAAAGCAAAAUUUUAUUAAAUUACACGAUGAAAUUGUGAGCCAAAUAGAGCAAUUGCUCAUGUUCCUUUGUGUACGUAACCAAUUAACGUGUUUGGUAUCAAAAGAUUGCUUAUACAAUUUAGAGAUCCUAAGAAACAAUAAAAAAAGAGGUGUUUAAAGAGAGAGAACUUAGAGAGAUCCUUGAAAUUUGAAGGUUCAUUAGGGGUCAAACAGUGAGCCCAAAAAAAAAAAAAACUAAGACAGAUAAAAAGCCACACGAAACCUUCGUUUUAUUUUUUUUUAUCAGCAAACGUACAACGGUUAACACUCAUAUGAAGUACAACCAAGCCUUGACAGGAUGGCAAUCAUAUGGUAUAUAUUACCCAUAGAAGUAUCAUAUGGUAUAUAUAGAUAUAUUUAUUUUCGUGCUUUGAGAAGUGAAGCAUCCACAUCUUUUGCAGCAUGAAUUAGCCAGUGAAGGUACUUAGUUGGAGCAGGAUCAUUCUCCUUGAUGGUCUCAUACUCAAUGCUCCAGUGGGCAAAGUUUGAGACACCU